GACUAAUCUGGCUUAGUACAUCAGUAGGAAGCUUAAUUCCACCCUCGUAGAGAGAGCGCACAUCUUGAAAGGUGUUAAACUCAGGGUUAUUGAGUUGUAAUGUAACUACAGAUCUCAGUUGAGGUAUGACAUUUUGAGAUGCUGAUUUGAGUAUGUAAACAAGAAAGUCUGAUGACUUUGUGUGUCCAAAAGAUUCAUCUCUUGGAAGGUAAACAGUGGGACUUCGAGUCUCACUCUUAGGAUCUGUUCAAAUAUAUAAUAACAAUAUAUGUUUUAGAAACAAUACCAAAAUCUUUAGAAUCAUAAGCAGGGUAAACAUUUGGAUCAACCAAAAAAACACAUGUUUAGUCCAAAAUCUGACAGAAGUGUUUGUGGCCUAACCUGUUUUAGUUUUUCUUCUGCCAGUUCUUCCCCUUCGAGGGUAAGGGAAAUCGCUUGAUCCCCCAAGAAUUUGACGCGCCAAUUGAGGUUUCGAGUCAGGCUCACCCAAAUCAUUGUAGACAUCGUAAUCAUAUAUUCUUUCCCAUUCCUUGCGCUCUCCAGUUCCAUCUCCUCUUAAAGUCUUCAAUUCUUCUUGUCUGUAGUACACUAAUGGAGCCGGUGUUUCACUUGGAAGGUAUGUCUACAUAAAUUUAAUCAUUCAAAAUAUCAAGUUUUAGGAAAUAGGCUUAAUAUUCAGCAAGCUAUAUAGUUAUUAUGAUAAAGUGGAUUUGUGAUUUGAGACAUCAGAAAGAGAUUGGGAGUUGCAAGUUCUCAACUCCCUCUACUCGCAUUUCUAAAAACUAAUUACUAAUAUUUGUCGUUAUAAUAGAAAUAACAAGCUACAUGUGUAAUAGAAUUUUUAUUCUUACCUUGUUGGCAAAGAAGAUGCGGUCGGUUUUGUACUUUUUAGAAUUGUAAAUCCAUGAGUUGCAGACAAAGUGGAUGGAUCCAUGGUUUGGAACAUCUUCAAGUGUCAAACUCACAAGGAAGAAUUCACCUUGCAUAAAAUUAUCGAUGUAAAAAGCUCCGGGAAUUCCCAUGUUACUGUCCCAUUCAAAAUGAAUACUGAAAGCAUUUUGUUUGUCUCCCAAUGUUGGUAUGGAGGUAAGAAGACCUUCCAGAAAUGUUUCCUUUCCCACUUUUCCUUUUCCAGCAGCUAUAUUAAAAAUGUCAAAUAUUAUUAGUUUCUCAAUUUCACUAAUCCAUGAUUUUCAAAGUUUAAUUUUAUUCUUUUACAGAUCCAUUUUUCUUUUUACAUGAUCAUCAUCCAUCUUGCCUGAGUUAUAUCGAAGGGAAAUAAUUUCAAUAUUUUAGUGGUAAUUGAUUGUACCUGAUCAUUUAUAACCAAUAUUCUACAUCAAAAUCUCCAUUGCACAUUUUUAAUUUAAUAAAAAAAACAAAAGGGAAAAUAAGGUAAAUCUUAAUGGAUUGAUGUAUCAAAAACUCUUCUUGAAUAAUAGGCUGGCUUGGUGGUGUGGUGGAAGAGUUAUGGAGUAAUUAAUGCAGUCUGAGUUCAAUUCUUACAUCUAGCAAAAACUAACAACCGACAUAAUACUCAUUCGAUAUUAUUUAUAAGAAAUAAUGAAUUUUUUGAUUUAUUGAAUAAUUAAUGUAUAUGAUAUAUAUUCUAGAUCGAAUACAUAAAUUAUUCAAUGAAUCUAAAAAAUUAAUUAUUUCUUAUAAAUAGGAUUGGAUGAAGUAAUAUUUAUUGCUUAAAAAAAUAAAACUCCUCAAUAUUUUGUUGUUAAAUCAGAGAUAUCCUCCACGUGCAAAUGUCUGUCACUUAUGUUAUGUCACACAAUGUUGGUAAAAGAGUCUAAGUAAAGAGAUCAUAGAAGUAUGAAAAGAAGCAAUUUUAAAUAGAAAAAGAUAGUAGAAUUUACAAUUUUAAAAAUCUAAUAAGACAGAAGUUCAAAUAUAAAGUAUAUAGAUGGGGAUGUCAAAUUUUAAAUAGCUUAUGGUACAAGAUUAAUUUAAAAAAUUUAAGUGAGCAUGUGCACCCAUCACGUAGAUCCAUACAUACCAAAUGACAAAGAUAAAGUCCAAAACAGUUGCCAAACGCCAAAUAUCACACUUAUUUGCAUUAUAUAUACUUCUUUUUUUACAAAACCAUUAGAUAUACUCCCUUUAAUAUACAUUGGAUAUAAGUUUUUAUAUAGUCAUUUUUUAUUCCAAUAGUACUAUUUUUUCCAUAUCAUUUUAUUACUUAAUCAAAUGUCCAAAUUAUUUUAAAUAGUUACUUAAAUAAUUUCAUAAUUUCUUUAUUUUAAUUAAGAAGAGACAACGAUGAAAUUUUUGUCUGUCAAGUAAGGAUAUAGUUUUGCAGUUAAUAAAAGAAUAUAAACACAAUUUUUUUCUUUUCAUAAAUUUCAUCAAAGAAGGUAAUCAAUCUUAUUCAGAAUCCGUCGAUCAGACACUAAAUGUGAUACCUCUCUCAAUCAAGAUUCUAAAAUCAUUCUCGUCCGUUAGAUCCAAUUACUUCCAUUGGUGUACACAUAAUUUAAAUAAGUUAUAUCAAUCAAUUAAUUAAAAUGCCUAUUUCUUGUAUGAAUUAAACAUAGUGAGAAAGGUCCUCGUGAACUAGCUCAAUUGAUAGAGACAUAUAAUAUAAUAUAUGCAGGGGUUGAAGUCCGAACCCUAAACAUCCGACUUCUCCAUAUUUAAAAUGUGUGAGCUCCCGUCACUGGGUUAAUUGACAAAAAGAAAAAUAGAGUGAGAAAGAGAAAUGAGUUAUUACCAUCAGCACUUGUAGCACUAAUCAACCUGAGAGCUAUAGAACGUCCCAAGAAGGAAGUGGCAGUAUCAAGUAUAUUGCCAGCAACAUCACCAACAAUACCAAAGGCACCACCAAUGAUACCAGUAGGGCUUUUAGCAGCAGUGAGGGCGUUGAUAUCCAAAGUAUUCUUUUGCAUCAACACCACAGUUCCCUUCAACUUUUGGCCUCUAUCAAAGAGACCUGUUACACCAGAAAACAUCUUUGAAUAUGCUUUAAAUGUAUUACACUAUAUAUGGUAAAUGAAAGAAAGGCUUGUGUCUUGUAACCAUAGGGGUGGUUAGUAUUUAUAGUAGUUGAUGAGAUUAGGAUCACAAUGUUAUAGUUCAAAUGAGGUGAUAUUUUUAUUCAACUACUCAUUUACAACAUGGUGGAAUGCAAUUGGUCACGUCUUAUGCUAAUUUUUUAUUAUGAGUGAUUAUCUCGUGGUAUAUAAAAUAAUAAUAUAUCCGAUUGCAAAAUUAUUUUGGUAGUUGUUAUAUGUGCCAGCCUUGGCAUUAUGUUCAAUAAUAAUGACUCUGUUUGCUCUAUUGUUAAUUAUUACUACUAUCUUACGUGUCUGCAUUGGUUUUCUCGAGUUUUCUCAUAUUUUUUAAAGUGGGAAAAUCUCUACCCUUAAAAUUCAUUUCUUUCUUAUUUUAAUUUCAAAAUCUCUCCUCUUUUUUUUUUUUUUUUUUUUUUCUUUUUCUUUUUCUUUCUCUCAUACUAUCAAAUCAAGAUUAGGAUUGGACUUGAGAUACAUUUGCUUAGUCACAAACAUAAAAAUGAGUCAUUUAACACACACAAUGUAAUAAAAAAAAUUGAUUUGGUGUUGUGGUCUAAUUUAACACUUACUAUAUAAGUAUUUCUCCAUCCAAAGAUGGAUCCAAAAAUCUAUUAGCAAUUUUAGUUCACGGCCUAAUUUAUUCUCUUGUUUGGGAGUCUUUUGUAACAAUUUUUGUUUUUUUAUUUUGGGUUGACGGCAAGACCUUUGUCUUUUGAUGUAACUAUACUCUUUUUCCUUGUUCUUUUGGCACUUUCUGUGCUGGAAUAGCAGAUAUUUUUCAAAUAUAAGCAAUCAACGUUUGUUCUAGGGCGCUCUAUAUAUGGAUAAUGUUAUCAGCCACGUUUUUGACAUUUGCAUCAAUUUUUUUCUUUAUAAAUGAUGAAUAAGACAUGUAUUACUAAUGAUGGUUGAUAUUCCAGCUAUCAUGGAAUCCAAGUCGCCAUAGUACAAUGUUUUUAAAAUCCCAGCUAUGUUGGCAACCCAAAACAUCGUGUGUCAAAUGCGCCACAUCUUAUAUAUUAUUAAUAAUAAAAAAUACAAAAACGAAAAAAGUUGAGUUAAACUCAACAAAGCUAAUUAAAAUGAUAGGUAUGCAUACCAAACCUAUCUAAAAAAACCACUGAUAAUAAAACUAGGACAUAUAUACCACCAUUGAAAAUCUCCAAUUAGUUUACAAAUAUCAACGAAAAAACUUCUCCUUUUCCUCUUGUGACAUAGAUGAUCUCCAGUAGGUUUCUGCGUUUUUCCUCUUCAGUUUCGUGUUUUGCUGCUUGCGUUGGGGGUGUGAAAAUUAAACACUGAUGACUUGUGAAAAAAAGAAGCAUAAAGGGCUGCUGGACUAAAGUCUGAUAAUUGUUGGUCCCUCUAUUAUUUUUGUUAUAUACACCCCUCUAUAAACGAUUAUUGUUAUAUACACCCUCGUAUAAAAAAAUUAGGUCCCUAAAGGCAUGGGCCCUAGGCUGCCGCACCCCAUCCUAUAUCUAUGGCUGGCCCUGAAUGUUAUCGUUGUAAUAGAAGUGGUUUAAUAUAUAAAAUGAAAGACAUAAGGUAAAUAGGGUAAUGUUGCAUUAAAAAUGGAUGUUGGUAAGGCAUGUGGCAUUGAUAGGUCAUUUGAAAGAAAUUUUGAUGAAGAUGAGGUUAUGUCAGUAGUGAAUGAACUAGAUAAUGAUGUGUAUUAAAAUGGUGGAUUAUUCCAUUAUUGUUAACAAUGAAAUCACAUGACCAAUCAUACUCGGACGAGGCCUUCAUCGGAGAGAUUCUUUGUCUCAUUGUUUAUUCUGUGUGCAGAAGGCCUAUGUGCUCUUAUUAAGUAUGUCGAGGCUAGUGGAGAGCUUCAUGGGGUCAAAAUUUGUCGAAACACUUUGAUUAUUACUCGAAUUUUAUUUGCAGAUGACUACUUUCUAUUUUUCAGGGAAGGUGAAGCGCCGAGACUCAAAAUAUGAAGCAAAUUUUGAGGUUGUACAGAGCAACGUCUGGAUAUUACAGCUUAAAUGCCCAACAAUCCCUUCAAAAUGCUUUUACAACAACCUUAGGGGGGUCAGGCGGUGUUAUGCACAAUGAAGUACAUCGGACUACCCUCUAUGAUUGGUAGAAGAAGGAAUGUUACGUUCAGCUUUCUCAAAGAUAUGACUGGAGCAACAAGUAUUUGUGAAAGGAAGAUAUAAUGAUAAAAACAUGUACUGCAAGCAAUACCAUCUUAUGGAAUUAGAAUUUUCUUACUUUCUACCAUGUUCUUUGAUGCCAACGAAAAGAUUAUUAACACGUACGUACUGGUGGGGUCAUGGUGGUUCCACAAUUAGAGGUAUUGACUGGUUAUCAAGGGACAUGCUUGUUGUCUACAAAUUUUUUGGAGGUUUGGGGUUUAAAUACUUGACGUCAUUCAACUAAGCAAUGUUAGGAAAACAAGAUCGGAAAUUCCACACACACUUGGACUGUUUGGUAUCAAGACUGUUCAAGGCGCUCUAUUUUCCUCAUGGAAGCUAUCUAGACCGAAAGUGAUGACAGAGCACUAUAUGACAUUUUGGGCUAUGUUUUUAGUACUUUUAUUUGCAUUUGAAGACAUAUAAGUUGAGAGAUAGAGGAGUUGUUAAUGGUUUGGGAAACAUAUUGUAUUGUUUUCAAUCGAGCCGUUGUUCUUGAUGCUUGACAGUUUAAGGAACCUCUAGGGUAUGUUUUUUAAACAUCGUUGUUCCUUGAUUGAGGAACCUCUAGAUAUUUCAUGAAGUGUAAUUCCUUUAGAUGACAAUUUAAGAGUCACACGGGAUGUUGCAGUCAAAAGAUGUGAUCAUGGCUUUCAUAAUUGAGUUAUGGAUAAAACGACAUCUGUAGGAAUAUUCUCUCUAUAGUAAACCACCGUUUAUGUAAUUUUUAGGUUUUAAUUAAUAGGUACUUUGCAUUAAUCCAACAAAGAGGGAAGAGGGAAGAGGGGAUUCAAGGAUUCCCUAAUCACCGUUAUACAUCUAAAUCACACAAACAUAAUCUUUCUUUGGAUAGGGAAAUUUAACCAUGCAAAUCUUUUUUUCAUCUCUUUUCUAUUUUCUUUCUAAUAAGUUUUGCUAAUUACCGAAAAACUUGCUACUUUAUUAAUUGUUAUGAUUUGGUGCACUUGCCAAUUUCGUCCUUCAGAAAGCUUGGACAUAAAUCAAAGCUUUAGUUGGAGAAGAAUAUUUACCGCUAAGAGAGUAGUACAAAAAGUUGCUCGGUGGAAGAUCAGAUCGGGUACAAAGUUUCAAUUUUUUAUGCUUUGUGGGUAAAAGAUGGGACAAGUAUUCUAGGAGAUGGUCAACCUCUCAAGGUAAUUCAACAGGCUAAAGUGCACAAUCUCGUUGAUCAAGAAUUUCCCGUAUAGAACAAUCAUAUUGUAAACCAGUGUUUUGAUCAACUUAUAAAUGAGCUCAUUCUGAGUACUCCUUUAAUUGAGUCUGUUAAAGAAAGAUAAAUUAAUUUUUAAAUCAAAGAAAAAUGAACAUUACUCGGUAAAAAUUGUGUACAAGAUUUAUACAUAAAAUAGUGCAGGCAACUCAUAUUUAUGUCAGUAAGGUCAUUGGCUGGAAUUUAGAAGUUAAAGGUGCAUCCCAAAGUGAAGGAUUUCAUUUGGCUGAUUUAUCAAGGUUGCUUACCGACGCGUGUAAGGCUGAAAGAUCGAAGUCUCCAUUGUCUGUCUAUUUGUAUGAUGUGCACCGGUAACUAUGGGGAUGCAAUGCAUAUAUUGUUUGAUUCUCCGUAAAUAGGAUAUGUAUAUAUUUUUCUCAAGUGCAUUAAUUUUAUCAUUCAUAGCUCCAGCCCAGUUUAUAUUUUUAAAUGUUUCUUCAAUAGAUGAUUUGAUUCUCACAUAAUCAACGGCAACAAUAAAACUUUGAUUGUGUGGAAAGUUGUUUAGUGGAGACAUAUUGAGAAAUAUGUAUGAUAUCUAUAUAUAGAGGGACAGAUCGAUAACAUUUGCAAUCAUCUACAACAGGCCAUGUUACCCAAGAACAAUCAUCAAUAAAAGAAACAAACCACCUUGCCCCAUAAAUAUUAGAAACAACAAGAAAUAUUAGAAACAGGGGCCGAUCGGCAGACAUCAAAAUGAAUAAGAUCAAAUGGUUCAACACUUUUACGAAGAUUCAACGAAAAAAGUGGUAUGUGUACGCUUAUAAAAUGGAUAUAUAUAUCACAUUUAAAAGACUAAAUCGAUUGCAUUAAAAAACAAAGAUGGAAACAUAAACUUCAUUAGUUGAAAAUGAGGAUGACAAAGACGUUUGUGCUGAAGCCAAAUUUGAGAGGCAGAAUAAGACUCUGACUAAGACUGAAGUGCAGAAGACAACACCUUCUGAUCAAUUCGUGCAUCAUACAAAUAAUAUAGCCCUCCUUGUUCCUAAGCAACUCCAAUCGUCUUUCCCAUUACAAGAUCCUCGAAAGCACAAUGUGAAUCAAAAAAUAUUACUGCACAAAUAUUAUCCUUUAUAAGCUUACGAACAUAGAUAAGGUUAUUCCAAAGACAAGGAACAUGAAGCAUAUCUUUCAACUUAAAAGGUUCAAGGUUAAUUUCUCCACAACCAUCUACACGAGUAUGAGAACCAUAUGCAGCCGCAAAAAAGAAUGUCAUAUGAAGAAAUUUACUUCAAAAAGGCCAAGAACCAAUGUCAUAUGAUCAAUAGCACUAUAGUCAAUAAUAUAAUCAACAUUUCAAGCAAAAACCACAUAUAACUAUUUUCAGUCACAUUGGCUGAUAACUACAAAAGAAUCUCCUCAAAAGAACAACAAAAAGAAGAGGCUUCAAAUAACAAAAAAUAGGCAACAAGGUAAAAACCGUAAGUCGCAACAACGUAAAAUCACCAAAUAAAAGUCAAACUGAAUCACAAAGGGUCCUCAAAGAUGCUGGUAGUCACAAACAAGCACAAAACAACCGCUAUCAAUCAGUUAGUGUCAAGAGUACCCACGUAAAAUAGUAUCUUGGUCUUGGAUCAAGAUUUUGACCCCUUAAACGAACCAAUUAUGUGAAGACUAUAAUUUCUAGGAAUAAAUGGUGUCGAAUGGUGGUUCACAAGGUGGCAUGUGCAUCGCACUUGAUGGAGCUUCACUUUAGAUUGGGCCUCUGCUCUCAACUUCUCAAGUUCUUCUUCAAAAAGUAUUUGAGAACAAAUUUUUAUAGCCCUUUCGUUUAAAAAAUCUUUUUAGUUUUGCCAUAUUAGUUGAUGUAUGAUUCUUUAACUGUAUUUACAUUGGAAAAACAAUUGGCAGUGGAAAUAAAAUCAUUAUGAUCUAUUAUUGCUUUUUCAAUGUUAUCAUUUUUUUGUCAUGCUAUAUUGCAUAUUUGCAUUGAGAGCUUUUUUGUCAUGAAAUAAAAUAUGAAGUUUGCAUUUUAUAUACAAAGUAAAUCACACAACAAAAUAGAAACAUAGUAACUUUUAUUGAUGAAAUACAUUAUAACAAUCAAACAUGAUAGUUUUUAUUGAUAAAACACAUUACAGAAUUAAAAACAAACGUACAUAAUAACAUAACAUGACGAUAUACAUAGGGGGCGAGGGAAUUGGAUUCCUCCUCCUCUUUUAUUAAUAGCGACAACGCAACAACCACGACGUUUUUUAGAUAGAGACACUGUUGGGAAUGCCUCUGCAAGUCAAUCCUUCCUCACUAGAAGGAUAAAGCAGAGUGUAAGGCAUCUUCACUGGUCCGUUACGAUUCCUCAGUGUCUCAUCAUUGUUCCUUUGAAUGAGUUUUUGCUCAAUUUCAGCCAACUUCUUUCCAAACCUCUUAAAGGACUCUUUUGGCUGUGAAUCAGAAGUCCAGAGAUCACCUUCAAUUCUCUCUCCAAGGUAUUGCUCAUCAGAAGCAUGCCUUGACAAGACUUCUAUAAUGGUCAAGUCAGUAAGAGUAUCAUUCUUGGGUGUUAUUGUCCUCAGAUAAGACUUCUGGUAGUCCUUAGCAAGCUCAUCAUACUCAGGGGAUCCCUGCUCAGGCAUGAAUCUUCUACUUUUAGUUGGUCGGUUAACGAUAUAUCCUCCAUACGGAUAUUGUCCAAAAUUAACUGCUGCAUGAAGUGCUGAAGCAAUCCAUAUGAGGGUGGUGCAAGCUUCAAUCAACUCCUCACGAGUUUGCAUCUUAAACCACCAUGUAGCAUUCUUCAAGUCACCAUGACCGACCUCUACAAGUUCUUUCCAGAAUGCUUGGAGUUCAGAAUCUUGUGCAAUAGAUGCAUCUGACUUGUAGUAGAAAUUGACAUAUUCAUCAACCCAUGAUUUAAUAGCAGCCCAUAUUUCUAGUCCAUCUGAAGCAUAAGGGUAGUCCUCUAUUAGAAGUCGAAGACCAUAUGCUGAAGUAGGGUCCUCAACGGCCACUCCUCUAUAGAACAAGCAAAGGAAGAUAACAUUAACAUACAAAAAAAAAAGAUAGUUAGGAAAGUUACUUAGAGUUUGUUUGAUUGGUAGUUACUUUGUUGAUUCUCUACUAGCUCUAUACAUGGCUACAAAGUCAAACAUUUACCAUUGAACUGAAACCGUGUGGUAUUAUACUUGAGAUCAAUAUCUUUUUAAAAAACGGACUGAGUCAAGAUGUAAUGUUUUGUAAGGUUACCUUUUGAUUAGAUCAUUAGGUAGGCCUUGCUCAGUGAAAACCCAAUCCUUGUAAACGACAGAAGACAUUUCCAAAGCAUACUUUCCCCACAAGAAAGUUGACUCGAUAAUACCCUCGGCAUUGACCAACACAUUUCGUGCUAGUGCAUUUAUGUUCAUCGUGUCACGAUAAUGUGGAAGCAGAAGUUUAUGAAUAGGGUGAACCACACUUAGAUGCCUAUUUGUUGCUAUGACGAAUGGCUCAACUACAGCAUGAGUGUUCAACCUGUCACACAUUGUAGAUAAAUUUUCAUCAAAUUACUCAUAGAUGUAUAAAAUUUAUUUGAUUGUUUAAAUAUCAUAAACGAAAUUCAUACCAAUGGCUAACAAGUUGGUGAUAACAUGAAUCAUUUACAAUUACGUAAGCCUUGGCAAGGAGCCAAAUUGAAGCUUCAACACCUUCACUUGCAGGCAAGUAAACUUUGCUAACAGGACCAAAACUAUCACCUUGAGGGUGUGGCCUACUUAGUUCAAUGGCCAAUGGCUUCAAAGUUCCAUCAUCUUGCAAGAAAAGAAUGGUUCUAGUAGCAUAGGCCUUAGUCUCGGUUGCAUUUAUUUUCCUCAAAUAUGGAAAGAGUGGGUCGUGGUGAUCCAGUAUGAACAAUUUAUUAUUCUGGAUAGCCUGUUCCACAAAAUAAAAUUUAGCACUGUUGAAUUAUUUUUUUAGAGUAAAGUUGUUGAAUUGGGUAGAGAUUUACCUGUUCUACCGUGACCCCAACCAUGUUUGGCUGCAAAUGUUCUUUGGUUAUGGUGCUGGUAUUAUUACCAAAGAGUUGGGUAUCUAACUUGCUCUUUGGUGGAAACUCCUAAAAUAAAUGUACGAAGCUGUGGUUAAUUAAAACUUAUAAACAUGGCAUGAAAAGUGGGAAAAAUAGCAUUUGUUAGUUUUUCAGUAUUUUCUUAACAAUGUUAAACCAUUAACUUUACCAAGAGUUUUUUUAUGAUGUGUGGAUUCACCCCAGCAAUCAUCUCCCUUGCAAAUUCCUCAUCAGUCAUCCAUGCAGAAUGAUCGACUGUUCAAAAUUAAAAUUUCAAAAGAUCCAUGAACUUUAUUUCUCUGAUAUAUGUUAAUAGUAAUAGGAAUGUGUGACUAAUUAAUAUAAACCUUGAAUCACUUUUGGUGGUGGAAACUUAAGUGCCGCUUCACCAUCAGUUCGGAAAAGUUCCUUGAACAAUGGUAUUGGGCUAAGUUCACUUAGUAUAUCAGUAGGAAGCCUGAUUCCACCUUCAUAGAGCGAGCGCACAUCUUCAAAGGUGUUAAACUCAGGCUCAUGGAAUUGUAAUGUAACUAUAGAUCUUAAUCGAGGUAUGACAUUUUGAGAUGCAGAUUUGAGUAUGUGAACAAGAAAGUCUGAUGACUUUGUGUGUCCAAAUGAUUCAUCUCUUGGGAGGUAAACAGUGUCACUUCGACUCUCACUCUUAGGAUCUGUUCACAAAUACAAUAACAAUGUAUGUUUUAGAAUCAUAAGCAGAGUAAACAUUUGUAUCAACAAAAAGACUUAGUAAACAACAUCAGGGAUAAAAACAUUAGUUGUCAAGUAGAAUACAAUUUCACAUUUUAGUACCAUAUCACUUAAUUUUUGCCAGAAUUUCUUAAAAUAUAACAUACUCAAGUGUUAAGAUAGAACGUAAAGUUAUAACCUUUACGAGCUGCUUUCCUGCCGGUUCUCCCUCUUCGAGGGUAAGGGAGGGUGCUAGAUCCUCCAACAACAGGACGAGCCAAACUAGCGUUCUUGUCCACAUCACCCAAAUCAUUGUAGACAUCAUAAUCAUAUAUUCUUUCCCAUUCCUUACGCUCUCCAGUUCCAUCUCCUCUUAAAGUCUUCAAUUCUUCUUGUCUGUAGUAGACUAAAGGAGCUGGUGUUUCACUUGGAAGGUAUGUCUACAAAAUUGUAGUCAUUGAUUGUGUCAAGUUUUUGGAAAAGAGAAUUUAUAGUCUAAAAAAAUAUUUAACAAGUUAUACAUGUUGGAUAUAAUUUAUAAAUAUUCUUACCUUGUUGGCAAAGAAAAUGCGUUUAGUUUUGUAAUUUUUAGCGUUGUAAACCCAUGAGUUGCAAACAAAGUUGAUGGUUCCAUGGUUUGGAACAUCUUCAAGAGUCAAGCUGACAAGGAAGAAUUCACCACCUUGCAGAUAAUUCUCAAUAUAAAAAGCUCCUGGAGUUCCCAUGUCAUUGUCCCAUUCAAAUUCAAUACUGAAAGCAUUUUGUUUAUCUCCCAAUGUUGGCAAGGAGGUAAUAACACUUGCCAGAUACGUUUUCUCUCCCACUUUGCCUUUUCCGGUUUUUCCUAUACAAAAAUUGGACUCUCAAUUUCACUGAUGAUGAUUUUAAAUAGUAGUAACACGUUAUAGCUAUUCCAAAAUUUGAUGUUUUUUACAGCUCAAAUGUUCUUUAUACCUACUACAUAAUUUCUCAACAUCCACUUGCCCUUAAUUAUAUCAAAUUGAAACUAAAUUUUAAUAUUUUAGUGGUAAUUGAUAGUAACUGGUUAUUUAUGAAUAAUAUUUGGGUAUUGUUAAAAUAAGAUAAAGAAGUUGUUACCAUCAGCAACGGUAGCACUAAUCAGCCAGAGAGCCACAGAACGGCGGAACAAGGAGGUGGCAGUGUCAGCUACAGUACCGGCAGCAUCACCAACAAAAUCGAAGAAACUGUCAACUACACCACCGGCGCUUUGAGCUGCAGUGAGUUCGUUGAUGUCUAAGACAUUCUUUUGCAUCAACACCACAGUUCCCUUCACCUUUUGGUGCUUAUCAAAGAGACCUUUCACCAAUGAACUCAUCUUUAAUGCUUAAAUGUAUUACACUAUCUUUGGUAAAUGAAAGAAAAGCUUGUGUUUUGUUACCAAGGGGAUGCUUAGUAUUUAUAGUAGUUGAUAGGUGCAAGGUUAGUUCAAAAGAAAUAAUUGUUUAUUGUUCAUUAUUAUAUGUUUUUUACAUAAUUAAUUUACUAAAUAACAACACAUUUAAAUGAAGAUGGGUAAUAUAAGCUGGCACAUUACAUAAAUAACUCUUACCAAAAAAAAAAUUACAUCAAUAACUGAUAUCUACGUGUUUUUUUGUUUCUGUCACUUGAGUGCGAUAUUUUUUGUUCGUCAUCUUGAUGCAUUGUUGUUUGAUUUUUUGUUUUGUUGUGAUGUUCUUUUAAUUUAAAUUCAGUCAAUGACUUUAGCUCUAACAUUAAAAAUUUGGAGGGAUAAAUAUUAAGUUUACUUUGAUUUUGUGACUUUUAUAGACAUUUUGUUACUUUAUGUUAUUAAUUUGGUUUUUUCUAGAUUACCUUUGAAGAAUGGUGGGUAAUUUACCCACCAACCAAUGAAAAUGAGCAAUUUAUUGGUGGGGUCAAUAUAGUUCAUGGAUACCACUUAAAAAUGUGCUUAUGUGGCUAAUGUGUAUUGGUUGGGAUAAAUUACCCACCAUUCUUUCAUGGAUACCCUAGUUGUCACCUAUUAAUUUACAUGUUGUGGUUUUAUUCUCAUGUUUAACUUAAAUCAAUUCAGCUACUCAAUCUCCUAUAAUAUUUUCCACGUGUUCUAUUAAUUUGAACUGAUGACUGUUUUGGUUAGUAAGAAAAAGCACGUUUAAAUGCAAUUGGGGCACAAUCUUAUGCUAAUUUUUCGAUGAUUAUCUUGUUUUAUAUUAAUAAUAUAUUCGUAGGUUUCAUUAUUAUUUAGAUUGUUUUAUGUAUUGUUAAUUAGGUACUGACCUGUAUGCAUUGGUAGUUUCGAUCAGGGUUGAAAUAGAUGGCCGUUUGGGACCCCAUCUUAGGAGGGACAUAAAUAUUUUUAUAAUUAGAAAAGUAAAACCAUAUGUACUUAAAAAACUAUAAAAAAAUUUGUUAAUGUUAACGAGUGGUUCAAAGACACUUGUUAAUUAGGUUACUGGAAAUUAGAUCUCAAGUUCACAAAAGAACAAAUUUCUAUCCACUUUUCAAUUCACUCAAACUAACAAUGAAUCCUAAGAGAAAACAAUAAAAAAAACGUUUUGAUCCUUUUUCUAAUGAGAUCUCACUGUUAAAGGUGUUUGUAAAGUGUUUCACUUUUCCAAGAACCUCAUCCAAAGACAUUAAACCAUAAAGUUCCCUUUGAUUUUUCCUAAGUUUAUCUCUCUUGAAGCCACAUAUUAAAUUGAAGAAUGAAGCUUUUUAUAGAACUCAGACUUAGAUAAUGAUUUUGUUUGGAUAAUGCCACGAUUUCGAGCUCGAACACAGUAAUGCACUAAACCUUAUCCUCAAAGUGCGUCAUGAUUUUCUCCCUUCAGACUGCAAAAUAAUGCGAACCAAACCUCAAAAAGUCUAAACCAAAUUGCGUCAUGAAUUCUUCAAAUCGCGCCAUGAUUUUUGACGAACUUCAACAUUAACUUUGAGCCAAUUUUAAAUAUUUCUCAUCCUUAACUCUAAAUUGUUGGUGAUGUCAUUUUAACCAUCAACAACCUAAAUGCUAUCUCCAAUGAUAAAUUAUUCUUCAACAAAUUUAAUCAAGUUCAAGCAAUCCUUGAACCUUGAUAUAGACAAUAACUUGGUGAACACAUCUGUCGGAUUUUCUUCCGUAGCAACUUUCUCAAUCAUAAUCUAUUUCGAUUCAAUCAUGUCUCUAACGAAGUGCAAGCGAAUGUCAAUGUAUCUUCACAAUGUAUCACAAUACACUUGAAGAUAUGUCAAAUGGAUGACAUUUUGGCUUUGGCUAUCACAAUGUAUCUUCACACAUAUUUGAGCAAUUCCUAACUUAUAUAUUGUUGUAUAUUAAUAAUAUAUCCCUGUUCCAGAACUAAAACAGUAGUCUAAACUGUUUUUUAUGUCAUCUAAAGAUCGUACCCAAUCACUAUCAGAGUAACCUUGCAACUUGAAAAUUUUCCAUCGAUAGAACUUAAUGCCAUAAUUUAAGGUUCCCUUGACAUACCUCAACACUCUUUUUUCUCCUUUGAAAUGAGAUUCUUUAGCACAAUUCAUGAAUCUUGAAAGAACAUUUACAACAUACGAAAUAUUUGGUCUUGUAGUUGUAAGAUACAUUAAGCAUCCAAUUAAACUUCGGUUGAGUGUUUCAUCCACGUGUUCUUCUUCAACAUCCCUUGCAUCUCAAAUUCUCGAAUGAAAUUAAGCGCUUGCAUUCCCCUAAUUCUUUCAUCUCCUUCGUAUUCAGUUUUGAGGAAAUUUCAUAUUUCAAAUGCUGGUUUGAUGGUCAUAAUUUUGGUUAAGAUUUCUUCUGAGUCAUCAGCAAAGGAAGAACUUCGUAGUCCUCCUCAAGAGCUUCGCAGAGGUCAUUUGCCUCUAAAUACGCCUCCAUUCCUGCUGCCCAUAUAUGAUAGUUUUCACCAUCAAACACAGAUAAUGGUAGGGCUUUGUAGGGUGUUUCAGAAUCCAUCAGUUUGAUGAAUUGAGGAAUAAUGUUUAAGCUUUUACGGUAGCUUUCACUCACUUCACUCGCAAGUCCCUCCAAGAAGAAGGCUUUGAUACCAAUCUGUUGGUGAUUAUACGUAACUCAUAGAAUAGGAAGGGAAAAACUGAAAUAUUAUUGAAUUGAAAAAACUGUUGUCAAAUACAAAGUUGUAACUUAAAUAAAAAACAAAUAUUGAGUAACUAACUCAUGAUCUUUAGCCACUACUUUAUUAGCUAAUUAAAAACUGAAAUAUUAAAACAAAUUCUCUUAGAGACUUGGUCAAAUAGUGCAGCUGGAAGUAACAACUGAUGAUACACAUGUUCAACACCUUCUCAUCAUUUAUUCAAAGCAACAAACAACACAACAACCAUGGUGUUUUUUAGAUGGAGACACUGUUGGGAAUCCCUCUGCCAGUCAAUCCUGGUCCACUGGAAGGAUAAAGAAGAGUGUAUGGAAACUUCACAGGCCCAUACCUGUUUUUCAAUGACUCAUUAUUGUUCCUUUGAAUGAACUCUUCCUCAAUUUCAAUCAAUUUCUUUGCAAACUUUUUGUAGGCUUCUACUGGCUUUGGAUCAGAAGUCCAAAGAUCACCUUCAGUUCUUUGUCCAAGGUAUUCCUCAUUAGGAUCAUGCAUGGAUAAUACCAGCAUAGUAUUCAUAACUUCAAGGGUUUCAACCUUUGGUGUGAUUGUCGUCAAAUAUGUCUUCAUGUAGUCCUUAGCGAGCUCCUUAAACUCAUGUGAUCCUUUCACUGGCAUGAAUCUUAUGGUUUUAGUUGGUCGGUUAAGGAUGUACCCUCCAUACUGAUAUUGUCCAAAAUUAACAGCUGCAUGAAGUGCUGAAGCAAUCCAUAUGAGGGUGGUGCAAGUUUCAAUCAACUCUGUACGAGUUUCCAAUUUAACCCACUUAUCAGUCUUCAAGUCACCAUGACCUACUUCUACAAGUUCUUUCCAAAAUGCUUUGAGUUCCUCAUCAUCUUUAACAUCUUUAUCUGACUCGUAAUAGAAAUUGACAUAUUCAUCAACCCAUGACUUAAUAGCAGCCCAUAUCUCUAGUCCAUCUGAAGCAUAUGGAUAAUCCUCUAUCAGAAGACGCAGACCAUGUGGGGAAGAAUCAUCGUCAACAGCCAUUCCUCUAGAUAAAUAAACAAGAAAGGUAACAUUAAAACACACGCAAAAAAAUACGGAAGGGGUUAUUGUUAAUUAAAAUAGUAAUAACUAAUAACUAUUUUACAAUUGUCUGAGAAAGAGUUCGUACUCUGUCAAAUAGAAAUAUAAUAAUAGUUAGUUUGAGAUUUUUAAUUAGUAUGUAAUUAGUUUGUUAUUUGGUUGUUAGGUUUUAAGUUAUUGAUUCACUUGGGAAUAUAUAAAAUGUAUAUAUUUUAGAUUAAUAUCUUUCUAAUAAAUGGACUGAACCAUGAUGCAAUGUUUUGCUAAAUUACCUAUUUUUUAGAUCAGUAGGUAGUCCUUCUUCAGCGAAAACCCAAUCCUUGUAAACAACAGCUGACAUUUCCAUACAGUAUUUUUCAAACAAAAAUGUCGACUCUACAAUACCCCCUGCAUUGAUCAAGAUAUUUCGUGAUCGUGCAUUUAUGGUCAUCGUGCCACGAUAGUGUGGAACUAAAAGUUUAUGAAUAGGGUGAAGCACACUAAGAUGCCUAUUUGUUGCUAUGACGAAUGGCUCAACAACAGCAUGUGUUUUCAACCUGUGACACAAGUAAAUAUAUAUUCAUAAAAUUACUACUCAUUGAUAAAUCAAAUAUAUAAUUUUAUUAUAUCAAAAUGAUCUAGGAAAUUCUCACCAAUGGCUGACGAGUUGGUGACAACAUGAGUCAUUUACAACAGCGUACGCCUUUGCAAGGAGCCAAAUUAAAGGUUCAUCAUCUUUAGCAUCUUUAUUUGGGGGCACGUAAACAUUACUAACAGAACCAAAACUAUCACCAUUAGGAUGUGGCAAACUUAGCUCAAUGGCCAAUGGAUUCAAAGUUCCAUCAUCUUUAACAAAAAGAAUGGUUCUAGCAGCAUAGGUCUUUGCUUCAGUUUCAUUUACUUUCCUCAAAUAUGGAUAGAUUGCAUCGUGGUGAUCAAGUAUGUACAAUCUAUUGUCUUCGAUAGCCUGUUAGACAAAAAAAAAAAAAAAAAAAAAAAUUAGCCUCUGUAGUUCAAUUGAUUGAAAAAAUUAAUUUUAAUAGAGAAAUAAUAAUAAUAAAAUUAAUUCUUCAUUACCUCUUUUACUGUGACCCCAUUCAUGUUUGGCUCCAAGUGUUCUUUGGUUAUUGUGCUGGUAUUAUCACCAUAGAGUUUACUAUCUAACUUGCUCUUUCUUGGAAGCUCCUGCAACAAAUAUAGAAAGCAAUGAGGUUAAUUACAAAUUACUAUGUAUGUAUUAUAUAUGAAAAGUUGAAAUGAUAACCUUCUUUAUUUCUUUUGUACAUGCUUAAAAAUAUUACAAAUUUACCAGAAGUUUUUCGAUGGCAUUCGGAUUCACACCAGCAAUCAUCUGUCUUGCAAAUUCCUCAUCAGCCAUCCAUGCAUGAUAAUCCUCUACUCAUAGUAACAAAUUUUCAAAAGAAUCCAUGAGCUUUCUUUAUAUGAUUUUGUAUAUAGUUAAAUAUAUAUUGCGAUAACUUGGAAUUUCUGAACAAUAUAUAUAUAUAUACCUGCAAUCACUUGUGGUGUUGGAUACGUUGAACUUUUAGCCACUGAUUUAGCAUUAAUUGGGGAAAGUUCGUUGGACCUCGAUGUUUUGUUGAAUUUACUUAGUAUAUCAGUACCAUGGUUAAUUUGAAUAUUGAAGAGUGACAACACAUCUUGAAAGGUGUUAAACUCUUGACUGAAUAUUAAACUCUCAUCUGUGUGAAGUAAUUCAUCUCUUGGAAUGUAAAUUCUGCCAGUCCGACUCUCAGUCUUUGGAUCUGUUCAUAUUUAUGAUAACAAAAUUAUGUUUCAGCAACAAUACUAAAAUCUUUAGAAUCAUAAGUAGAGUAAACAUUUGGAUCAACCACAAGACAUGUUUGAAAGACUAUUAUUUUGAGACACAGGCACUACAAAAAUAGAGGACUACACACAAAUAUUUGUAGCCUUACCUUUCUUACUUGGUUCUCUACCAGAUCUUACCCUUCGAGGGUAAGGAAAACCGUCUGAUCCCUCCAAAGUGCUUGAUCCCCCAAGAACUGGACGACCCAAGCCAGCCUCUUUGUCUGGUUCACCCAAAUCAUUGUAGACAUCGUAGUCAUAGAUCCUAUCCCAUUCUUUGCGCUCACCCGUUCCAUCUCCUCUUAAAGUCUUCAACUCUUCUUGUCUGUAGUAGACUAAUGGAGCUGGUGUUUCACUUAGAAGGUAUGUCUACAUUUUUUUAUUUCAUAGUGUCAAAUUUUGAGAUAUAUAAAUAUAAUAUAUAUAUAACAUGUAAGAUAAAUAUGAAUAUGAUAGUUUUCAUUACCUUGUUGGUAAAGAAGAUGCGCUCAGAGUGAUAGUUUUUAGCAUUGUAAAUCCAUGAGUUGCAGUUAAAGUUGAUGGUUCCAUGAUUUGGAACAUCAUUAAGGGUCAAACUCACAAGGAAGAGUUCACUUUGAUUAAAAUUCUCGAUAAAAAAAGCCCCUGGGGAUGGAGCUCCCAACUUUUCAGUGUCCCAUUCAAACGUAAUAUUGAAAUGAAAUUGGGUUUCAUCCGAGGCAAUAAGACUUCCCAAAUAUGUUCGCUCUCCCACUUUUCCUUUUCCAUUUCCUACACAAAUUGCAGAAAGUAGAUCUUAAUUUCCAGAUAUACUACUAAUUUAAAUUACAUCUUUUUGUGCAAAUUUAUUACUACUAUCAACUUAUUAUGGUAAUUUUGUCAUAUUCCUAUAUUUAGGGAUGAAAGUGGUAAUAAUUAUAAUCAUUGUUCCUACUUUUUUGAGAAGAAAACAUCGAAGCCUAUAUCAACAAAGAUAUUCACAAAUUUUUAAACCGGGAGUUUCUACUCUACACUCGCAGAUUAAACUAUAGUGAAAUACUUGAUUUUUUAAUCAAUAAAUUAAUUAUCGGUUUAAUGAAAUAAAGAGUUAUUUAUCAACUUUAAUUUUAUAUUGUAUGAAAUAUCAUUGUAUAAGGGAAAAAAAAAUCACAUCAUUGUUUAUAAGAAUCAUAUUAAAUUAAGAGUAAAUGAUAGAAAAUAACUUUUUUUUUUCUUUCUAAAAAACACUUUUUUUUUUCAAAAACAACUAAACUAACAAUUCGUUUAAAGAUCUGAUGUAUCGAUCGAUGUACUCGAAUUCGUCUUACAAAUAUUGUUUUAACUUGUCAAUUUUACGAUAACAUUUCUAAACAUUUUUAUCCAAGACUUUUUAUUCUGUUAAAAUCUAGUUCUAAAGGGAAAUAGGCAUCGGUAAUAUGGAGUUUGAUCGAGAGGUAAGUAUAGUUUGAUAAAAAAUUGUUCCAUUCAGAAUUGAACUCACGUUCUCUUAAAUAUUUUAUCUAGUGGAACUCAUUAACCACUUUUCUUUUUGGCAAGUAGCCUAGUGGCAAGAAUUCACAUUUUUCAAUAUGAAUAAGUGGGGUUAUAGGGUUCGAACCCCACCCCCUGCAUAUAAUUAUGCAUGUCCCUGCCAACUGAGCUAUCCUCACGGAGACCACUCAUUAACCACUUUAACCUACCAAUUAACUAAAUUUAUUAUUGCAUAAGUUUUCUAUAACUUUUACUCUUUUUAACAUAAAAAAUGUGUUCAUUUGCAUUGUUACUCCCUCGGUCCAACAGUUUACAAAUAAUCAUGGAUAUUAAGAAAAGUUGUUGGAUAAAUAAAGUUGUCCCAAAUUGUUACCAAAUUGUAUUUGUGUUAAUGUUGAUUUUUCAUUUUUCAAAAUACAUUGAUAGUAUUAAUAAAACAAACAGUCUUAUAAUUAUGUACGGAUGGAGUAGUGGAUAUAGUUAGAUAAAGAAGUUAUUACCAUCAACCGUGGAAUCACUAAUCAAUCUGAGAGCCACAGAACGGCCUGGGAUGGAAGGAUCAGCAGCAUCUUUGUUUUGCUUAAGAAUCACAAUACCCUUAAGCUUUGUGACCUUGUUCCUAGCUGACACUGACACGAAUGAAGUCAUCUUUGAUGCUUAAAUGUAUUACACUAUCUUUGUCAAAUGAAAGAAAUGUUUGUGUCUUGUAACCAUUGGGGAUGCUUACUAUUUAUAGUACUUGAUGGGAUCACAAGGUUAGUUCAAAAAAGAUAAACUAUUCUUUGAUACACAGCUGUUCACGAUAUCAUAUUGAGAAAGACGCCAAUUAUUUUACCUAUUUUACUACUAGUGUAUCUCAACAAACAAGUAGGGAAAUCCAAUUAUUUUACUAUUCUUUUUUUUGAAGGAAUUAUUUACUAUUCUUGGAAUAGUGUGUACAUGCAAUUACUCCCUUCUAAUCUUUUUAUAUCAUCAUCUUACAUAAACUAUGAAUAUCAAAAGGAUUUUUCUAUCAAGUACUCAAAACGUUUUCAAUUAUAAGCAAAUUUAACUUUUUAUAUUCAAAAUGAUUUUUCUAUCAAAAACCAUGCUUAAACGUAUUACAAUAUCUUUGGCUAAUGAAAGAAAAGCUUGUGUCUUUUAACCAUAGGGUGGUUUGUAUUUAUGUAAAAUAUGAAGAAAAAAUAUAUAUAUAUCCGUUGAAUAAUUAUUUUGUUAUAAUAAGGUGUAUCAAGUGAGAGGAGUUUUUAUAAUGAGAGAUGAGAGGGUUGAGUUGUAACUCUUGGAAUUUCACCUCCUUCAUCUUGUUACGCGCGCCUUCUUUCUUCUCUCACAUAUGUUUCCAAUUCCUCACAAAUCCCAGACACCUUGAACCUUCCUCGCGACCGCUGCAAGGACUGUGUAUUUGCAUAAUCAACUCAACGUGCGUAGAUCCACCAUGACAAAUUUCCAUCCAUAUUUGUAUAAUCGGUUUCUAGCCACGGUUGAAGAUCGUCGAAUUGACUUCAGAAAAUCAGAUAUAAUCACUGAUUGAGUGACUGGGAAAAUUAAGCAAGAAGUAAUUAUGUGAUUGUCUCUUUGUUUGUGUGCAUAUAGAACAUUUAUCCGAUCUGUGAGUCGCAUCUAUUGAUGACUGUUAUUAGAGCUUUUGGGUCUAAUUUCAUGAAAAACUAAUAAUAUAAUUAAUUGUUACUUUAAAUCCCAAAUAAAAGUAAGUCCAAUCAUUUUAAAACGGAGGGAGUAAUAAAUUAAAAAUUUCAGGCAAAAAAUUGACAUAUAACCAAUCAUAUGCGAUCAAUGAAGAAGAAGAAAGAUAAAACUUAAAGAGAAGGUGUACCUUCUUUUUUUACUCAAUCCGUUUUAAAGCGAGUGUCGUUUUAGCAAAAAAAAAAUUGUUUCAAAAUGAAUGUCACUUUCAGUUUUCAAUGCAAUAAUAACUUUUUCUUUUCAAUUGUACCUUCAAUUAAUAUUAUAUACAUUACUUCCAAAGUAUUAUUUUUUCUUUAAUGAAAAACAAACUAAUAGUUGAUUAUGAUAAUUUGGUAAAAUAACAUCUUUUUUUUUUAAUUAAUGUAUUUCCUAAUAUAUUUAUAAAAACCUUAAACGACGUUCAUUUUAAAACAGAAUGAGUAAAAAACCAAAAUCAAACUAAUCCAUCAAAAUUAACACUUACGAAAAUCUAAAAUAAAAUUUUAAGAUGAGCAUUCCGAAUUGGGUUGCAACUUCUCUUUUUUUAAUUGUCUCCGGUUAUUAAAUUAUGGAAAGUUAAACAAGUAGGUGUAUGGUUGUCUUAUGUGCGAGAGAUUCCAAAGUCACAGCUGCUUUGGUGCUAUUUUUUUUUUUGGUUACAUGCUGCAUUAUGGUUAUUAAUAACUAUUUUUUUCCCCUAAUAAAUAAUAUGGUCAUUAAUAACUGUGCUUUGCUCUAUUAUUAAUUGUAUUAAUACGUGUGCGAGAUGGUAGAUCCGAAUUUUCCGGUCAUGAGAUACAAAACUGUUCACGUUCCCAUAUUGAGAAAAACGCCCAUUAUUUUUAGUUAAUAGUGUCACAACAAACACGUUAGGAAAGCCAAUUAUUUUUUUUUGUCUGCUUUGGAAAACCAAUUAUGAAUAGGUAUGUAACUAAAAUUAGGGUCAUGCUAACCGGUAUCAAGGUACUGGUUAAGGGUAUCAAAAAAGAAAGUUAUUACUAAAGAAAUUUUUUAACUUUUUAUGGAUUUAUUACAUAAUUUUUAAUACAAUAACUAUUAUAUAAUUUUCUUUUUUAAUAUCCUUAACUGGUGCUCCGGAGAAACCGAUUAGCAAUUUCCCUUAGAGGGUCAUGAUCUUAUGAGAUUAAGGAUAAGUUUCUCUCUGGUUUCAACCUCUUCUAGAUUUAAUAAAUAAAUUGACACAAUUUCUGAUACUUUAUUUUUAUAUUUGGUAUAGUAACAUUUGUUCUAUGAGUACAUGUUGGCAUUCCCUUAAGAGUUAAAACUGGUAAAAGGUUUAACGAUUGAAAAAUAUAGAGAAUUUGAAAUGAUAAAACUAUUAUUAGUGGUGAAGAUGCACAUGAAUUGGAAAUUGAAUACAUGUUUUUUGAGUAAAAAAUUGAAUACAUGCUCAAUUAAGUAAACUAUUAUUGAUAAUCAACAAUUGAUUUACAUUAUUUAAAAAAAAAAAUAUUGAUUUACGUAAUCGAAUACUAGUUUGAAUAAAAUUCGCCAAAAUUUGUUUUUUUUAUCUAGUAUUAAUGAAAAGUUUGGCUCUUUAGAUAAGCUCAUAGCAUAUAAGUUGUUGUGAAAGUGAUUUAAAAUUGGAUUUUUGAAAGUGCAAAAUUAGGGUCCGGUUUGGACAAAUCGAUGACUGAUUUUGAAUCAUUUUCCAGCCUUUGUAUUCGACAAUUUUCGGCGUCCGAUUGGUGAAAAUCGGCGGCCGAUUAUGCAAAACAGAUUUUUAUGGGUUAGAUUUAUUCCAAUUUUAUGCGGGAUACUUUUACUAUAAAUAUAGACCUUGUAUCAGAGUAAACAUUGAGAAAGGGGGUUGAAAACAAGGGUUAUGAAACAAACAACAAACUAGGGUUUAGAGAGAUUUCUCUAAGCGGGAGACACUAGAGUUUGAAUUGUUUUGAUUCACCUUGAACAAAACACUGUUAAGAUUGAGUCUCUUGGUCACAUGAAGAGAUUGAGACUUUAUGUAGAAUUAGGUUUGAAGACUAAUUCUUGUUACCUUUUGAUAUCUCUUUGUAAAGUUACUCAUCAUUAUAGUGGAACAGAAGGCUGCUCUCUCCCUCAGACUAGGUCAGUAUUGGACCGAACUUAGUAAACAAAUUUUGUGUGUUCUCUCUCUCUUUCUCUCUCUCUCUCUCUCUCUCUCUCUCUCUCUCUCUCUCUCUCUCUUUCUCUCUCUCUCUCUCUCUCAUUGUUUUCUACUUUACUUGUGUUUAUAAUUGUUACCCAUGUUGAUAUUGAUUGCUUAAUUAUUUUGCUCCACAAAUCAAGUAUUUUAUUGGUGCGAUUUUCAACAAAUUCACAACAUAAGUUAACUUAUUAUAAUGGAUAACAUAUAAGCUAGCUUAUAGAUGAAGCAGAUAGACUAUCUGAAUGAAUUUAUAUUGUUUGGUAAAAUUUGCAGUAGAACUAACUUAAAAAUGAUACAUUUAAUUAAUAAUUGAUUUUUUUUUUUCAAUUAAAAUUAUAGGGGUAAAAUUGAUAUAAAUAAUGAUAAGCUAUAUGCUUCAAACUACUAUAAACUAUAAACUAGUAAAAAUAGGUGAUAAAUUCAUGCAAAAGAGACACUUAUCAUUCUCUUAUAUGACCUUAUAAGAUAUGUAUAAGUUAUAAGAUGGAAAUAGGUCUUGCCAAACAGACUCCUAUCAUUCUCUUAGAAGGAAUUUUUUUAGGGAACUCUUAUAAGGAAUUGAAAUGAUGUUACAAAAAUCUGUAAACAUAUCUAAAACAUGACAAUGGCUCCGUCUAUGGUGGGAGACCUGAAUAGGUCUCAUACCGUAGGAGACAUAGUUUUUUUUUUCUUUUAAAAUGAAUAUGAAUCAUUGGAUAAGGGUUUGAUCAAAAUGUUUACUAUACACCUCCAAUACAAUUGUUUUCUAUUAUUCUAAACUUGUGUAUUUAUUCGACGUUGUUUUUGUUAGACAUAUAAUUAAGGACGACCAAAAUUAUGCAUGCAAACAUAUUUGCAGAUAAAAUUUACCCCGAGCUAGUACAUGACCAAUAUUUUAAUGGGUAUACACGAAUAAAAGAAAAUCAUAUUUUAAAUACUCGUAAGUUAAUAGAUGCACAUGCAGAUGAAAUAUUUAAUGAGAUUAUCUUCAAAAUAUUUAAUUACCUUUUUAUUAUUAAAAAAUACUUUUUUAUGUGUGUGGGCCUAAAUACUAUUUAUUUGAUAUUGUGACCGUAUUAAAAUUGCUCUUCUUGAAGACUAUGCGGUUAAUUAGUAAUGAGUGAUUGUAUGAAUUUUUCCGCUUACAAUAUUUUUUACUUUUGAAACAAAUGCAAACUACUAGAAAUACUCGAUUUUUCUGCGGAACUACCUGCGGAUUUAUGUGAAUAUUCCGCAGAAAACGGUUUUCCUGUGGAUUUUGUCAAGAAUUUAGGUUCCCAUGUAACAGCUUCGUGGGUAAUUGUUUCCUGAAGAUUUUAGGAUCCGCAGGAAGAGUGAAAAAAAUCCGCAGGAAACGUUGGGUUAGUGAUUAGGGAAUUUUCCUGCCCAUAAAAGCACUGUUUCUGCGAAUAUAUUCUCAGGUAUUUCCGCAGUAAAUGAAGCAGGAAAAUCCCCUAGACUCUUUUUCCACAGGAAAGUGAGCUAUUUAUUUAAAAAAAAAAUAAUGCACUUCAUUGCAUUGAACGAUAUAAAUAAUAGAAUAUACAAUUCUUAUAAAUUUCAGAAAUUAUAGAAGACACAGUUUCAUUAAUCAUGCAACAAAAUAAAAUUGAAAGUACCACAUGUCUCUUCAUAGUUGAACCUCCUAUACACAAUUGCUAAUGUCUCAUGCCUUCAAGUCUGUUCCACUCACACCACCUAAUAAACUUCCUAUAAUUACUAGCUAUCCUCCAAAUAUAAAGAUGUAUCGGAAAAGGAGCAUGAACCUCUUACCAACAUCUUCAAGAAGCUGCUAAUCCAAAUUCUUCAUCCAUGCAUUCAUCUAGGUUAGCCUUCUCUAGUACAUACUCAAUUUCAACUUGUCCAACAACCCAAAAAUUAAGAAAAAAAUAAUAGCAUAAGUUUCCUUCCUAAAUGAAAGGAUAUCUGAGAAAUUUCACCCAUAUACAAAACCCUGAUCAGCUUUGAGAAACUAUUAGGCUGAGAAAGACAAAGACAAAAGUGGCAAGUGCACCAAAUCAUUCAAGUAAUAAAGUAGUAAGUAAUCGUAUUUACUGGGGAUCAUUUUUUUUCUACUUGGCAAUUUACUAAACCUUUUAUUAAAAACUAUAAAUGAUGGAAAGUUUGGAAGUUUUAAUUGAUUAACUACAAAAAUAAAAAUGCAUAUUGUGACGAUUAAAAAUAGGACAGUUGAAAAUCUGUGACGGCUCCCCGAUUGUCGAGGACAUGUGUGUCGCUAGAGAAUUUCGUGUCAGUUCAAUAAAUGGUCAUUCCAACAGUCGCACAGGACAUUGCGACAAUUGGAAACCGCCCUUACUUGCGACAAUCGGAAACCGCCCUUAUAAUUAUCGCAAAGAACGCAAUGUUUAUAUUAGAAGGGCUAUUUUGCUUCAAACCAUCGUAGACAUGUGAUUUAUUUUUAUUUUCUACAUUUUCCAUUUUGAUUUUGAUAGUUUAUUCAAUAAGAAUUAAUCUUAAAUUAAAAUAAAAAAUAUUAAUAAAUACUAAAUGCAAAAAUAUAUAAUUAUAUAUGAUUAAAUCUCAUUCAUAUAAUCCUUUCAAGAAUAACAACAUUGAUUCCCUAAAAAAAAAAAAAAGAAUAACAACAUUGAUACAUACAUAAACUUGAUUAAAACAAUAAAUAAAAUAGUUUAACAUUCAAAAAGCCAAAACACUAGUGGAGUGGCUGAUUAUACAAAAGAACUACAUAAAAAUUAAUUGAUAAAAAUUAUCCCCUAGUGACUUUGCUCCAUGAUUCUCAAGGGAACGCCUGCCAUCUAGAAAUAAGCCAGUCCUUCACUCGUCCAUUUAGAAAUUAUACAAACAAAUGAAUACGUUGGUUGGAUUUGGAUACAUCAUGUGGGUUGAUUGUGUCGUAGGCCUUCACAGAGUGUGAGAGAUGUGCGUUGAAAUCUUCAGACUCCUUUCCUGAAAAUUAGUUAUCCUUCAUAGAAUUGAGGACACGAUUCUUAAUAUCAAACACCAUGGGGUUUGCAGGUUGGAACCUGAGAGACAUUUAAUCAUAGUUGGUCUUCUGCUAUCAUGUAAGAACUGCAAGUGCAUGAGAAUGCAUCAUGCGCAGUGCCCAAGAGUAUAAAACUAUAAUCAUAGGAUUUAUAAAAGAGAAUCACAUCAUUUUAGCAGAUUCUGAUUUAGUAUGUUUAAGAGAUAGCAGAUCAGAGUUUGACUUCAUAUAACCCUCUUUCUGUACAUAUUGCCUUAUAUAGUUUAUUGUAUUUAAGUCCUAGUUUAUUGUCAUUAAUUCUCCUUUGUUGUUUGGGAUCAGCUAGGCUUGACUUUAGGGAUUUUGAUAGGAAAACUCUGUAUAUAUGUAACACUGAUUUACAAUGAAAGAUAUGACAGUGAAACACUUUGGUUCCUGUCUUUAUAUGGCAUCAGAGCAAUUCUGAUCCUAAAUUAGAAACGUUUGCUGAAAAUGGCGGACAAAAAUGAUUCCACCAUAGAAGGUGGGAUCAAAGGAGAUCGAAAUGCAGAAACAAAAAUAGCUGGGAAGAAGACACCUUCUCCGUAUGAUCUGAGUUCGCACGACAAUCCAGGAAGCGUUAUCACCCAAGUCCAAUUACGUGGUGAAAACUACGAUGAAUGGGCUAAGGCGAUGAAGACCUCAUUACGGGCACGACGUAAAUGGGGGUUUGUCGAAGGAAACAUAAAACAACCUGAAGAAGGAUCGACAGAAAUGGAGGAUUGGUGGACCGUACAAUCUAUGCUCGUGUCUUGGAUCCUGAACACUAUAGAUCCAACUUUGCGAUCGACCAUCUCUUAUAUGGAGAAUGCAAAGGAAUUGUGGGAAGACAUCAAAGAACGAUUCUCAAUUGUGAAUGGACCUAGGAUCCAACAAUUGAAAUCGGAUCUGGCACAAUGUAAACAAGAAGGAAUGGCCAUGGUGAAUUACUAUGGAAAACUCAAGAUGCUUUGGGAUGAGUUGGUAAAUUACCAACAAAUCCCAAUCUGCACGUGCUCAGGAUGCAAAUGCGGCAUCAAGUCGAAAUUAGAGAAGCAAAGAGAAGAAGAAAGAGUGCAUCAGUUCUUGAUGGGACUAGAUGAUGUGUUGUAUGGAACAGUCCGCUCUAAUUUGCUUGCUACUGAUCCGCUGCCAUCGCUGAACAGAAUAUAUGCUACUUUGAUACAAGAGGAGCGUGUGAAAUCAAUUGCUAGGACCAAGGAAGAACGAGGAGAGGUCGUUGGCCUGGCCGUGCAAACUGCUGGAAGGGCUAGAGGACGUGGUGAUAUGAAGGAGAAGAAUGCGGUAUGUUCAUACUGCAAUCGAACAGGACAUGAUGCAUUAAGCUGUUUUCAGGUAGUUGGAUACCCUGAUUGGUGGGGAGAUAGGCCACGAAAUGAAACUAAGAUGGGUGCAGGUCGAGGAAAAGGACAACAACAAACCAGAGGUUCUAAUCAAGGACGUGGGAGAAGCACAAUUAUUCGUGCAAAUGCUGUCCAAACAAAUGAAGGAGGCCCGGUCGUGACAAAUGCAGAUGCAAGCGGGUUGACAGGUUUAAGUAGUGAGCAGUGGCAGACUUUGGUAGAGCUUCUAAACACUCAUAAGGGAAGCAAUACGGAAAGAAUGACAGGUAAAAAUACAAUAUGGAUUGUUGAUACAGGCGCUUCUAAUCACAUGACUGGAAAUGUGAGAUUUUUGCACAAAAUGAAGAGCGUGCAAGGAUGCCCGGUGGGUCUGCCAAAUGGAGAACAAGCUGCUGCUACUCAAGAAGAAAGUGUAAUUCUUGAAGGGGGCCUGCAACUUAACAACGUUCUAUAUGUGCCCGGAUUAAAUUGCAACUUGAUAUCUGUAUCCCAAUUGAUAGAUGAUAUGGAUUGUGUUUGUCAGUUCACUAACUCUCUAUGUAUUAUGCAGGACCGCACUUCGAAGACGCUGAUUGGAGUGGGUGAACGAAGAGAUGGGCUCUACCAUUUUAGAGGGAUUCGACAUGAGAAAGUCUGCAAAGUAGGAGACAUGUCUUUGUUGCAUCUUUGGCAUAAACGCAUGGGACAUCCUUCCAUGAAGAUUAGUCAGUUAAUUUCAAAUGUUGGUAAAAAUAAGAGUGUGAUUGAAAAUAAAGCCUGUGAUGUUUGUCAAAGGGCAAAGCAAACUAGGGAUAGUUUUCCUUUAAGUGAUCACAAAGCUAGUAGUAGUUUUGAACUAGUUCACUGUGAUUUGUGGGGGCCUUACAAAACUCCUUCUUCAUGUGGAGCGUAUUAUUUCUUAACAAUAGUAGAUGAUUUUUCUCGAGCUGUUUGGAUCUAUUUAUUGCUUGAUAAAAGAGAAGUUUCACAAACUAUAUUAAGUUUUAUUGCUUUGGUAGAUAGACAAUAUGAGAAGCAAAUUAAAAUAAUUCGCAGUGAUAAUGGAACUGAGUUUACAUGUUUAAAAACAGAAUUUAUCAAGCGUGGGAUCAUUUUCCAAACAUCUUGUGUGGGAACGCCACAACAAAAUGGACGGGUCGAAAGAAAGCACAGACAUAUCCUAAACAUUGCCCGAGCACUGAGAUUUCAAAGCAAUUUGCCUAUUUCUUUCUGGGGUGAGUGUGUUUUAACAGCAGGAUACCUCAUAAAUAGGACUCCAACACCUCUGUUAGAUGGAAAAACCCCAUAUGAGAUGCUAAAUGGGCAGCCACCUUCAUAUGAACAUUUGAAGGUUUUUGGAUCUUUAUGUUAUGCACAUAAUCAAGGAAGGAAAGGUGAUAAGUUUACCAGCCGAAGCAAGAAGUGUGUAUUUGUAGGAUACCCUCCCGGGAAGAAAGGAUGGAAGUUGUUUGAUCUAGACAACAAAAAUUAUUUUGUGUCAAGAGAUGUAGCAUUCUUUGAGAAUGAGUUCCCUUUUGCCUCUAUUGAUAAAAUUUCGAGUGAGCCAACACAAAUUAUCGAAAAUGAGAACUAUGAAACUCAAAGUGCAGUGAGUGAACAUCAGGAGCUACCUUUGGAAGUGGAAAUUUCUGAAUUAAGGGGGGGUACUGAUGAAGAGAAUGUGCAAGAAGUUGGGACAUCACAAGUGCUACAACAAGAUGAUGAACAUGAAGAAAUUAGUGAAGAAGAUCUUGGUCGAGGUAAACGCGUGAAGAAUCCCUCUGUAAAGCUGAAUGGUUAUGUGACAUAUAAUGUACAAAAAAUGGUUAUGAGCCCAUCUACGAGUUCACUCCCUCUACAGCCGAAAUCAGGUGCGCCCUAUCCCAUAAUGCAUUAUGUGAGUUGUGAUAAUUUUUCAGUGCAGCACCGCAGGUUUCUUGCUGCUGUAAGUGCAGAGAAAGAGCCGAAAAAUUAUUCUACGGCCGUUAAAGAUCCUAGAUGGCGUACAGCUAUGCAGCAGGAGAUACAAGCGCUUGAAGAUAAUCACACAUGGACUAUAUGCUCUCUCCCAGCAAAUAAAAAGGCCUUGGGGUGUAAAUGGGUAUACAAGAUCAAGCAUCGUUCCGAUGGGACCGUAGAACGGUUUAAAGCUCGACUCGUGAUCCUUGGAAAUCAUCAAGUGGAGGGGAUAGAUUACAAUGAAACAUUCGCUCCUGUAGCUAAAAUGGUUACAGUUCGAAUUGUGCUAGCAGUUGCUGCAGCCAAGAAGUGGGAACUCCAUCAAAUGGAUGUUCAUAACGCCUUCUUACACGGAGAAUUGCAAGAGGAGGUGUUCAUGAAACUGCCCCCUGGUUUUCGUCCCUCUCAACCAGAGAUGGUAUGCAAGCUUGGGAAGUCACUGUACGGAUUAAAACAAGCUCCCCGUUGUUGGUUUGCUAAGCUUUCCUCAGCCCUCAAACAAUACGGAUUUCAUCAAUCAUAUUCUGAUUACUCUUUGUUUACCUUGUUUGAUAAAACUGUGCAGCUUGUGGUUUUAGUUUACGUUGAUGAUUUGAUCAUUUGUGGAAAUAAUCAUGAUUCGAUUGAACGGUUCAAGGAAUACUUGAGUCGUUGUUUCCAUAUGAAAGAUUUAGGAUUGUUGAAAUAUUUCUUGGGGGUGGAAGUGGCGAGAUCGCCUUCUGGGAUUUUUCUCUGCCAAAGAAAGUAUGCUUUGGAUAUUAUUAGUGAAGCCGGGCUACUUGGAGCAAAGCCUAUGCCGACUCCACUCGAGCAGAACCAUAAUCUCAGUCUUGCUCAAGGGGAGUUUCUUGAAAAUCCUGAAAGGUACCGUAGGCUUGUUGGACGCCUUAUCUAUCUUUGUUUUACUCGACCUGAGUUGUCGUAUAGUGUCCAUAUUCUCUCUCAGUUUAUGCAGCAACCACGAGAAGACCAUUGGACUGCUGCGCUAAGGGUGGUGCGGUAUCUUAAAGGGAAUCCAGGCCAAGGUAUAUUUCUUGACAGUACAAGUGAUAUGAAGCUGCACGGGUGGUGUGAUGCUGACUGGGCAGCUUGCCCUAUCACUCGCAGAUCACUCACAGGUUGGGUCAUCUUCUUGGGGAACUCGCCUAUCUCUUGGAAGACCAAGAAGCAGCAAGUUGUGUCUCGGUCAUCUGCUGAAUCCGAAUACCGUUCGAUGGCUAAUACAACUUGCGAGUUAAAGUGGGUGAAGAGUAUUCUUUGCAGUCUAGGUAUCUCUCAUUCUAUGCCUAUGCAACUCUAUUGUGAUAGUCAGUCUGCGCUUCACAUUGCAAAGAAUCCCGUCUUCCAUGAACGUACCAAACACAUUGAAGUGGACUGUCAUUUCGUUCGUAAUGAAAUACUUCAUGGUCAGCUUCAACCUUCUUAUGUUUCCACUCAUGCUCAACUCGCAGACAUACUUACUAAAGCAUUGGGUCGUGCUCCAUUUCAAUUCCUACUUGCCAAGUUGGGCAUUCGAAAUCUUCAUGCUCCUACUUGAGGGGGGGUAAAAGAGAAUCACAUCAUUUUAGCAGAUUCUGAUUUAGUAUGUUUAAGAGAUAGCAGAUCAGAGUUUGACUUCAUAUAACCCUCUUUCUGUACAUAUUGCCUUAUAUAGUUUAUUGUAUUUAAGUCCUAGUUUAUUGUCAUUAAUUCUCCUUUGUUGUUUGGGAUCAGCUAGGCUUGACUUUAGGGAUUUUGAUAGGAAAACUCUGUAUAUAUGUAACACUGAUUUACAAUGAAAGAUAUGACAGUGAAACACUUUGGUUCCUGUCUUUAUAAUUUACAGCCAUAGCUGUUCUCUAUAAUUGCUCUACAAUUCCCAGUAGUUAAAUUUAUUUACCUGGAGUUGAUGAAAUUUGAGCAAGUAAACAGUGGAUUCUACAUACAUUGGAUUGCUUUCUACAUAUCUAAAAUAACAAUCAAAAUGUCAGUGAGCAUAAAUAUUGUUUAAUUAUUACAAAUUUCAUAAAUGAAUGUUGUUUAGUACUUACGAGAUGCAUUCAUCAAGCCUUUUGAGAAGUGGGAGGAAGUUUACGAUUCCAACAUUCAUAUUUGAAGAAUAAAAAUUGGUAGCAACCUGCACAUGACGAUUUAAAGAAACCACAUACAUCAUCUAUAAAUUCAUAAGUAUGUGAAGUUUUCAGUUUGCAUUCGCAAAUUUUUAACUGCGUAUCUUACUCACCAUAACUCAUUACAAGGUAUAGUUAAAGCUAACCACAUUUUAGUGUCAUUUUAUUCACCAUAAACACAUGAGAAGAAUCUUUGCAAUAUGCAAUAAUCUUAUAUGUUCCCUGCAUUUCAAUUUUAAAUAAUGCUUUAUCCUUCCAGAUUGAGUACAACUUCAUACUUUAGUUUUGUAGAUUAAAAUACACUAAAAUGCACAUAGCUAUGUAGAUUAAAAUGACAUUGAUAAUGAUAUCCAGUAGUUGUAAAGACUUCAUUAGUAAGUUUAACUCAAGUUUAAAAAUUCUUGUAACUUCACAAGUUAAUAACUAAAACUCUUAAGCAUCAUAACUCAAUUAUUCCCUUUCCUUUAAUUUUUUGUAAUGGCUGUAUUCUCUUUCCUUGUCUUACCCAGAAUUGCAAAACACACCCACGACGACCUUAUGAACAGUCACAAAACAACCUUACAAAUAUGUAACGACACAAUCGACUUUCUCUAAUUCUUCAAUCUAUAGAGCUUGCAAUAAGAGAAGUUGAUAUGAGAAAUUCAAUGGGUUCAGUUCAGCACACAAAGAAUAUUUGUUAUUUGAAAAUAAAAAACCGCAUGAGAAUGUUAUGGAUCUUCUUCGGUUCCUCCUUCUGCUGCACUAUUGAAGAUUGAAGAUGUUGUAUUAAGGUGUUUUUGGAUCUGGGUACAGCACAAUUUUGUUGAGAAUAAUAAAAAAAAAAAAAAAAAAAAAUUAGACUUAUUUAACCGGUUGCCGGUUUAAGAAAUUAAAAAUGAAAUGACGCGUCCGUAACUGAAUGAGCGACUGCCCCUAACAUUACUCUAUUUAUUAUUCAAUGGUUAGGAUUUCAUCGGACCUUCUAGUCAUUAGAGAGGAUUCAUUCCUGUCCUUUAACCAUAGGGUGCUUAGUAUUUUGGUAUUUAAGUUGAUGGUAUCACGUGGUAAUGGCUCAGGAUAAGAUAUUUUGUUUGACUCAUCAUCAAACAAAACAAAUUCAAAUUGAUUCACUGCAUUAUUAUUUUUGGUUUGUUAUGUACUGCUCUGACGUUAUUUGAUGGUAUCACGUGCUUUUUUUCUUCUUCUUCUGUUUGCUCUGUUAAAAAAAGUUCUAUUAUUACGUGAGUGGUUAGCUAGAUCAUAUUUAGAAGGACCACCGAUAAACACCAAAAAAUAAAAAAUAUAAUCGAUGUUUAAUUUUUUAUUUAUUUAUUAAAAAAGACAAUUGUUCAUUCGAAUCUAUGGAAAUACAUGAAAAAACACAAAUUCAACCAAGGAAGACGGAAUUUACUAUUAAAACACGUAUAUUUGAUAGUGGUUCCGGAUGUAGAAAACUAAAGUUUGUGUUGAGGUUUAAAGGAGACGAUAAGCAUAAAGGAAUAAAGAUAAAGUUGAAACAAGAAGGCACAUGUUUAAGAAAAUGCAGAUGUUCCAUUCAGGUUGAGUGGUUUUUUUAGUGCAUAAAAAAUAUGGAGUCUUGGUUUUGUUUCACGAUUGCAUAAUCAUGAGAUGCAGUCAAAGUUAGAAGGUCAUAUUUUGGUGUGUCGUUUAAAUAUUUUGUCUACUUUAAAAGAUAGACGGAAAGACAACAGUUCCAAAGCAAGUUUACAAUCUACGUCAAAGAUAAAAAAGACCAUAAGGGUGUGUUUGGUUUGCAAAACAACAAGUACUGGACAGAACAGUACAAGAUAGAACAGUACAACACAAGGCAGAACAGCACAAAACAAAUUUUUUAUGGCAUUGAGUAAUUUUUUGUUUUAUACGAUUUUUGAGGGACAAAAUGCUAUUUUGGUAUUUUAGACAACUUGUACGUGAGACAAAAAGUUGUGUUGUGGUUUGGUGAGGGACAAAAAUAUGAGUUUUUGUCCUAUCUUUUACCUCCAGUUUGUCCUAUACCUGAAACAGUUUUAUAAAUCAAACACUGGACAACUACAGUUGUUAUGUUUUGUCCUUCAUUUUUUAGCAAAUCAAACGCACCCUAAGAGAUUGGAGAAAAUGAAGCAAAUUGUUGAAGUGUUUGAAGAAAACAACUAAGCUUUCAGGUAUAAAUGUUUGGGGAGUCAAAAAUUGUUCAAGACAUGUUUUUGGUACAUCCUAAACAUGUGAACUUGUUUAACACUUUUUCUACUCUUUUGCUAAUGCAUUUCAUUUAUUUCCUUCGAUCACUAUUAUAAUAAAAAAGCAUUUAUAAGAUUUAUUGAAUUACUUAUAUAUCCAGUAUUAUAGAUUAAAUACGUCAGUUAUUCUAUUAAUAAAAAAUGGUUUUUUUCUUAUAAUAGUGAAGGUAAUGAGUAUAAAAUAUCAAUUACUGAGAUGUAUUGUUUGAGAUAGUUUGCAUUAGUCAUAUAACUCAAUACCCAAAACACCUGACUCACAUUUUGUCAGCGGUAGUCAAGGUUUUACAACUCAAGAGUUUACCUCAACUCGUUUUGCUUAGGUAAACUCCACUCUUAAACUCGAUUCGAGAAUUCGUACGAGUUUACCUAAAAUUAAAAUUAUAUAAAAUUUAUUAUAUGCAUGACAUAUAUAAGUUAAUAUAAUAUUGUAAAUAGGUUAAUAGUGCAAAAUAUGACUUAAUUACAAAGGAAAAUUAUAUGAAACUUCUAUAAUGAAACGUUAUGCUCAACUUAGCAUCAAAAUACAAAAAUUAACGCACAUAAUUAUAAGUUUCAUAAGUCUCUAAGUUUAAGUCAUCCAUAAAACCAUCCAAAAAAGCAAGUUUCACAAGUUUAUAAAGUUGUUAAUAAAACUAGAGAAAUGCUAGCAACACUCUCUUUUGGACACUCUCUAACACUCACUCUUUUAUUGGAUAAAAUCAAUGUAUGUCCCACCAUUUUAUGUGGGUUCCAUUUCCAAAGUAUACGACCCACAUUGUUUUAACCCAAUAAGAGAAUGAGUGUUAGAGAGAGUGUCCAAAAGGGAUUGUUGCUAGCAAUCCUCAUAAAACUAUCCAAAAAAUAAACUGGCUAAUUUCUUCAAAAAGUCAUCAAACACCACCACCGCAACCCUAACCAACAUCGCAAUCACCGGCGUUGCAAUCGGAAUUUCCCCCAUCGAAAUCGCAACCCUAACUAAUAUGUGCUCUCAUGUUCAUGGUUUGAGAACUCAGAUAAGAAAAAAAAAAAGAAACGUUUCAUUUCAGGAAGCUAGCAAUGUGUUACUGUAAAAGUAACUAUUUGAUAAACGUUUCAGUCUCUGGGCUUUUAGAAUCGAAAUUGGGUUUUGAAAAAAACUUAGCCCAAAAAAAUGGGCCAAUUUUUACUUUUUUUUUAGAUUUAAACUCGUAAAACUCGGUCAAGUUUACACGAGUUUAUCGAGUGUACGUUAACUUGGUCAAACUUGUCAAACUUUCCGAUUUUACCAUAAACAGAGUUUACCUCCGAGUUAACACGAUUUUGGUACCUAAAAACAUAAAUUCGAUAAACUCGGCGAGUUACCACUCAAUUUGCGGAACAUUGCCGGUAGUACAAUAGUUAAAUUGGCAUAUUGGAUUCAAUAAUUCGAUAUGACAUUAACUUGGAGCAUUAGUCUCGGGUCUGUCCAGAGAUUGUGUCCCAUCUCAACUUCUAUGGUUUUUUCUUCAUGAAAUUCUUGCGGAAAAAAAUUCUGUUUUAAUUAGGCAUGGCAACAAAACUCAUACCCUCACGGUUACCCACAAAAAUCAAACUCAAUUUGACGGGCUUUCUCCGUUUUGACUGAGUUUGGGUAUGGGUUUGGGUCUUCCCCGAUUUUAAAACACGGGUACAAGACGGGUAACGGGGAUAUAGGUACCCAUGCUCAAACCCAUCCUGAAUGUAGAAAAUCAAUUUAUUACCCAUUUUAUAUAAACAGAAACCCAAACCCUAAAUCAUUUCACUCACACAAUUAGAGUCUCAGACUUUAAAAUGACACUCACUUAUCAUAGUUCUCUUCUUUCUCCUUCCAUGCCUCACACUCUCGGCCUCUCUCUUCUCCUUCACUAUAGCCAUCCAUUUCCAUAAUCUUUUUGCUGGAUAAUGCAUUACAACAUUGCGCUCGGGGAUGCAAAAUACUUUUAUUUCUAUCAACAACAGAAAACUUUCCGGGGAUGGGAUGGGGCAGGAAUAUCCGAACCCGUCGGGGACGGGGAUGAGAUUCGAUUUCUCAUCCCCGCUGGAUAUGGGUAGGGUAACAGGUAAGUAUAUGAGAGUAGAGUAUGGGGACGGGGAAGGUAAAACCCGUCCCCACCCCCGCCUCAUUGCCAUGCCUAAUUUUAAUAAAGCACUUUCAUAUAAAAAUAAUCAAUUUUUUACCUUAUGAGUUGAUGUAUGUAAGAUUCUUUAACUUACUUAUCUAUAGUAGAAAAACAAUUGGUACAUGAAAUAUAAUCACUAUUGUCUAUGAAUAUUUCAACGUUAUCAUUUUUUUUUUGUCAUGCCAUAUUGCAUAUUUGUAUAAGCUUCGAUGUUCACAAUUCAUUUUCUUAAAUUAUGAAGUUUGCAUUUCAGAUAUAUCAUAAAAUAAGUCCAUCACAAUAAAAGGUACAAUCAUAGUAGUGUUUAUUAAUGAAAAUGAUAACAAUCAAACAAACAUUGCAUAAAAACAUGACCAUACAAAGGGAAAUAUGAGGGAAAUGGAUUCCUUCUCAUCUUUUAUUCAAAGCAAGAAACAACAAAACAACCAUGACAUUUUCUAGAUGGAGACACUGUUGGGAAUGCCUCUGAAAGUCAAUCCUGGCUCACUUGAAGGAUAGAGCACAGUGUAUGGCAUCUUCACUGGCCCAUUCCUGUUUCUCAAUGAUUCAUCGUUGUUCCUUUCAAUGAGCUUUUGCUCAAUUUCAGCCAACUUCUUUCCAAACUUCUUGAAGGCCUCUACUGGCUCUGAAUCGUAAGUCCAAAGAUCACCUUCGAUUCUGUGUCCAAUGUAUUGCUCAUCAGAAACAUGUGUUGACAAUUGCUCCAUAACAGAUAUGUUCACAACGGUAUCCGUUUUUGGUGUGAUUGUUCUCAAAUAAGCCUUCUCGUAAUCCUUAGCAAGCUCGUCAUACUCAGGGGUUCCUUUCUCAGGCAUGAAUCUUCUGCUUUUAGUUGGUCGGUUAACAAUGUAUCCACCGUACGGAUAUUGUCCAAAAUUAACAGCUGCAUGAAGUGCUGAAGCAAUCCAUAUGAGGGUGGUGCAAGUUUCAAUCAACUCUGUACGAGUUUCCAAUUUAACCCACUUAUCAGUCUUCGAGUCACCAUGACCCACUUCUACAAGUUCUUUCCAAAAUGCUUUGAGUUCCUCAUCAUCUUUAACAUCUUUAUCUGACUUGUAGUAGAAAUUGACAUAUUCAUCAACCCAUGACUUAAUAGCAGCCCAUAUCUCUAGUCCAUCAACAGCAUAUGGAUAAUCCUCUAUCAGAAGACGCAGACCAUGUGGAGAUUUUGGAUCCUUAACAGCCACACCUCUAGAUAACAAGCAAGGAAGAUAAUAUUAACAUACAAAAAUUUAAGUGAUAUUAAUAACUAUUUCGAACUUAUUAAUUUAAGUUGGCUAGAAUUUGUUAAUAGAUAGUUAGCUUAUUAAUUUCGUAGUUUCUUUGUUCAUUCUCUAUUUCUCUAUGGAUACAAAACAAAACUCUUGCAUCUAAACUGACAUCUCAUGGGUGUAAAAGAUUAUUUUUGAGAUCAAUGUCUUUCUAAAAAUGGACUAGACGACGAUGUAAUAAUUUGUAAGGUCACCUUUUGAUUAGAUCAUUAGGUAGUCCUUGAUCUUGGAAAACCCAAUCCUUGUAAACUUCAGAAGACAAUUCCAUUGAAUAACUUCCAAACAAGUAUGUUGACUCUAUAAUACCCCCUGCUUUGAUCAAGGUAUCUCGCGCAUUGGCAUUUAUGUUCAUUGUGUUACGAUAGUGUGGAAGUAAAAGUUUAUGAAUAGGGUGAACCACACUAAGAUGCCUAUUUGUUGCUAUGAUGAAUGGCUCAACAACAGCAUGAGUGUUCAACCUGUCACACAUGUAGAUAUAUAUUCAUAAAAUUACUCGGAUAUAUCAAAUAUUAGUGUUUGAUUGUAGAAAAAAUGAUUAAUGAAAUUCAUACCAGUGGCUGAUAAGUUGGUGAUAGCAUGCGUCAUUCACAACAGCGUAAGCCUUGGCAAGGUGCCAAAUUGAAGCAUCAACACCUUCACUUGCAGGCGUGUAAAUAGUAGUAACAGUACCAUCACCAGCAGGAUGUGGCACAUGUAGUUCAAUGGAUAUUGGCUUCAAAGUUCCAUCAUCUUGCAAAGAGAGAAGGGUCGUUGAGGCAUAGGCCUUUGCGGCGCCAUUUGCAUUUACUUUCCUCAAAUAUGGUAAGAUUGCAUCUUGGUAAUCAACUACGUAUAAUCUAAGGUCCUUGAUAGUCUGUUAGACAGAAUAAAAUUUAGCCAUUAUGGUUCCUUUGAAGAAAAAAAUGAAUUCAACAUAAAAAUAAUAGUAAAAACAUUAAUUCUUCCGAGUAACAUUGAAAUGUAACACUCUUUACCUGUUCUACACUGACUCCAUCCUGCAUGUAUGGCUCGAAGUGUUUUUUGUUUAUUGUGGUUGUAUUCUACAUUUGACAUAGCAAGCAAUGAGGUUAGUUAUCAAUUAUAAAUUUAGCAUGAAAAUUGAACAUGGUAGUCUUUUUUAUUUAUUUCUUUUGUACUUGCUUAAAAAUAUUUAACUAUUAAGUUUAAUUACCCCAACUUUUUUGAUGACGUUUGGAUUCACACCAGCAAUCAUCUCCCUUGCAAAUUCCUCAUCAGUCAUCCAUGCAGUGCGAUCCUCUACUCAUAGUAAGAAAUUUUCAAAAGAUUCAUGAGCUUUCUUUAUAUGAUUGUGUAUAUAAUUAAAUAUAUUGUUAGGACUAGGAAUUUCCGACUAAUAUUUACCUUGAAUCACUAGUGGUGUUGAAAACUUUGGAUGUUCACCAGCGAAAAGCGAGAGCACGUCAUCAAAGGAGUUAAACUCUACUUGAUCAUUUUGUAAUCUUACUAGCGAUCUUAAUUGAGGUGUCUCAUAUUGAGAUAUUGAUUUGAUGGUGUUAACAACAAAGUCUGACGAUUUCGGAGGGAUAAUUAAUUCAUCUCUUGGAAUGUAAAAAUAGUUACUCCGACUCUCAGUCUCUGGAUCUGUUCAUUAUAGUAACAAAAUAUGUUUUGUCGAAAUAAGUAAAAAUAUAUAUCACAACAAAAAAUUGCAAACAGACACAAGUGUUUGGAGUCUCACAUUUCUCGAGGUGUUUUCUGCCAGUUCUUCCCCUUCGAGGGUAAGGCAAGGCAGUUGAUCCCCCAAGAACUGGACGAUACAAGCAAGGAUUUUGGUCUGGUUGACCCAAAUCAUUGUAGACAUCAUAAUCAUAUAUUCUGUCCCAUUCCUUACGCUCUCCAGUUCCAUCUCCUCUUAAAGUAUUCAAUUCUUCUUGUCUGUAGUACAGUAAUGGAGCUGGUGUUUCCCUUAGAAGGUAUGCCUACAAAAUUUUAACCAUUGGGUGCUGUCAAGUUUUUGAAAAAAGAAAAAUAUACAUUUAAAAAGUUACAUGAAAAUGAUAAAAUGGUUUGAGCUCAGGUACGUGAGUUCAACUUCCUCUACAAACAUUUUUAAUAACUAAUCGUUAAUAUUUGUCGCUCGAAAAAAAUAUUGAACAAGAUAUAUGUUGGAUAGAAUUGAUAUCAUUACCUUGUUGGCAAAGAAAAUGCGUUCAGUUUGGUACUUUUCAGCAUUGUAAAUCCAUGAGUUGCAAAUAAAGUUUGUGGUUUCAUGGCUUUCAACAUCUUCAAGGGUCAAACUCACAAGGAAGAUUUCAUCUUGCGUAAAAUUCUUAACAUAGAAAGCUCCUGGAAUUCCCAUGUGAUUGGGAUCCCAUUCAAAAUGAAUACUGAAAGCAUUUUGUAUGUCUCCCAAAUUUGGUAUGGAAGUAACAAAACCAUCCAUAAACGUUUCCUUUCCCACUUUUCCUUUUCCAGUAGCUAUGUUAAAAAUGUCAAAUAUUAGUUUCUCAGUUUCACAAAUGAUGAUGAUUCUCAACUAAUUAGUUUUCAAAUAUUAAUUUUUUUUUACAACUAAUUUUUUUUUUCGCCUAUACAAAAUUUGUCAUCCAUGUGCACGUUAUUGUAUAUAGUUAUAUAAAGAAAUUAUUACCAUCAGCUUUGGAAGCACUAAUCAACUUGAAACCCACAGAAGUGUCCAACAAGGUAGGACGAACGGUAUCACCUUCAUUCUCAACAACAGUAUUACCACCAAUAACUUUGUAGUUCAAUGCAUUCUUUUUCAUCAAAACCACAGUUCCCUUCAGCUUUGUGACCAUGUUCAAUGAAGUCAUCUUUGAUGCUUAAAUGUAUUACACUAUCUUUGGCUAAUGAAAGAAAUGUUUGUGUCUUGUAACCAUGGGGAUGCUUGGUAUUUAUACUACUUGAUGGGAUCAUUUAGGUUUUUGUUUUUUUGAAAAAUGCUAACUUUGGGCCCAGGGGCGGAGCCAUAAAUUAAAUAAUGGGGGGACCAAGUUUAAAAAAUAUACUCUAGUUAAACAAAAAAAAGUUCAAAUCUACUAAAUAUAUGAGAAAUUUAAGUUACAUUUGAUGUUAAUAUUGUGAGAAGAUAGAAAAAUUAGAUUCAUUUGUGCAUAUAAUAUAAGACUUCAAAUAAAAAUGCUAAUGAUGGAGGGACCACAUUGACAUUUCUAAUGAAAUAACAACAUAUAUAGCAAUAUAUUAGGAGCAUAAAAAAAUUUAUAAGAAAAUUUGGGGGACCAUGGCCUCCCCUGGCCACCCAAGUCCCUCCGCCCCUGCUUGUGCACUUAGGGCACAUGUUAAGAAUUCUGUUAAUAGAAAUUAUGUAUAAAAAAUUGUGUUAAUUUACUGCUCAAAAUGUUUAAUAUUAAUUUUUUACAAUAAAUUCUUACCAUUAAUUGAAUGACAUUAAUGUUUAACAUGUGUCAUAAGGACACAAAUUAGCAUGACCCUUGUUUUUUUACUAAAAUAUGAUAUUCAUUCAAAUUGAUAGAGUAUAAUAGAAAUAAGGGGUAAUAGUCAUUUUGGUCAUGAAUGUGUAACAAGUAGCAAUAAUGGUCCUCAAUGUAUCGAAAUUUCAAAAUAGUUCAUGAUUGUGCACUUUAUUAGUCAAAAUAGUUCCUAACAUUAAAAUAGUUCUUUAAUAUUAUCAUAUUAGUUCUUCAAUAUACUUACAUAUUGUUGUAUGAGACUUUAUAAGUACUUAGUUAUUCCUUCAAAAAAAAAAGUGCUUAGUUAUUGUUAUUUCAGUCAAUAUAUGACAAAAGUUAUUGUGAAUAUUGAGAGAUUAUUUUAGCGUCAAAGACUAUUUCGAUUAACAAAGUGCACAAUUUGGAACUGUUUUAAAAUUUUAAUACAUUGAGAGAUUAUUGUGACCACUCGUGACCAAAAUGACCAUUACCCUAGAAAUAAACACAAAUUCAACAUCACUAGAAAAACAAAAAAGAAUAAAUUUGUAAACAAACUCACAUCACUCAAAUUAAUAACAUAAAACAUCAAAAUACAUACAAAUAAUAUGAUAAAAUUAAAUUAUCAAAGUACUUAUGUCUUCAUAUCAACAACUUUAACGCCUAGCUUAUUGAUUAAUCAAAGUUGAAAUGUGGCAAUAUAACCAGAACAAUACCACAACAAUUUAUCUAAAAAAAUAAAAUCCACCACAAUUACAAGAAAUAAAAUACGUCGCACCAAAUUGUUAGCAACUAGUUUCUAUAUCUUUGUUAAUUCACCCACAAGUUGUAUUGAACACAUUUUAAUUAAUGAAGUGAUAUAAUUUUUCUUUCCAAAAAAAAUCGUCGCACCAAGAUGACAAUGUCACAUUAAAACGACGAAAUCAAAAACAAAAAAAAAAACCUAAUCUAUGUGAAAAUUAUUAGUUUUUAUUUUUCGUGAUGUCCGGGGUUCGAACACCGGACCUCGCAUAAUUAUGCAUCGUCCUUACCAACUGAUAUAAGCUCAGAAGGACAUUAUUUUUUUUUUAUGGUCGCUGGGGUUUAAACUCCGGACAUUGCAUAUAUUAUGUUUUGUCCCUAUCAACUGAGGUAAGUUCACGAGGACACGGGGACAUUAAUGUCUAUUAAAAGAGAGAGCAAUAUAAUUUUUUUUGUACAAAUAAUACCUAAAAUCAAUCUUCUUCCAUCAACAAAGAAGAAGAAAGAAAAAACUUAGACUAUUACUUUUCCCAACUUAUAUUUUACUAGCGAGUCCUGUGAUUUUUUCAAAAAUGCUCCUGUGAUUAUCAGAUUUUAAAAUUCGAACUGAGUUUUUUCUUUAUUAUAGGGUGAAAAAAAUGAGUCUUUGUCCAACUCGGAUUUUAUAAUCCAAAAACCUCAAAAAAUAGGACGCGCUACUUAAUUUUUUCUGAUCAUAUAAUCCAAACAACCCUUAAACACCCUUUUUCAAGGAAAAGACAGUGCAAAUUAUAUAAUCUUAAUUGUAUCAGCACCAAUUCCGAACUUUUUUGUAGCAUGGAUAUUCAUUUUAUGGACAAUAUUAAACUUCCUAACUCUCAUUCUUCUGUUUUAGGUCAUUGUUAGCUGUUCGUAGUCAAAAAUCUGAUUUUCGGGCUACUUGAUCGGAUUGUUCUGAAACAUCCCCUGAAAAUCAGAACAAAAUCAAGUAUUAAGACUCCUGUAGAAGAGAUUUCUUACGUGACGCUGCCCCUCAAAAUCCAAAAUUCAAUCAUUUAGACCUAUUUUUUUAUUUUUUAGAAUUUUUCAUAUUCUAAUUAAAAUCUGGAAAAAAAAAAUUGUAUUAAUUUUAUUUAAUUUUUAGAAUUUUUGAUUCUGAUUUCUAAUUAUACAUAAAUAUAUUUUAGAUUAUAAAAUCCGAACGGAUUUUAAAACAAAAUAACUUUUGGCUUCCCUAUUUUUAAUUGGGGCCGGCUAAAUUAUGAAGCUUAUAUAAUUACGUACUCCUUUUUUCUUUCUUUCUAAUAUAGUCAUUUUUUUUUGCUUUUUAUCAAGUGGUCAUUAAUUACUCUGUGUUGCUCUACUGUCAAUUGUAUUAAUACGAGUACGUAGUAGUAGAUCCAAAUCUUCCGGUCACGAGAUACUGUGAUACACUACUGUUCAUGGUCCCACAUUGAGAAAAACUCCCAUUAUAAAAAAAACACGUUAUAAAACAAACACGUUGUGAAAACCGACUACUUUAUUGGAGUACAUUUUUUGGUCACUAUUAUAAAAAAAGUCAAUUUUUUUAAUUCAUUUACUAAUUGAUAUAUGUGAUUUAUAAUAAAGAUUUUAUACAACAUUAAUCGCAUGAAUUUAAAAUAUAGAUUUUUGUUUAUGAUGGUAAUCAGAUGAUAUAUUUACUAGUGCACAAUAAACACGUUUGGAAAGCCUUGUAAAAAGAAAAACGUUAGGAAAGCCAGUUAUUCUAUUCGUUUUGUUUGGGAAGUCCAAUUAUGAAUAGCGUGUACACCGUCGUCUAAAAGAAAAAAUUAAAAACAUCAAAAUGAAUGCAAUCGUUAAUUUUAUAACUUUUACAUGCUAAAGAGUAUUUUUAGGGUAUUGGUUAAGUGGAUAUAAAUAAAAAUAUUGUGUUGUAAAAUGGUGAAGAGUAAUGAAUUUAACAUUUUAAACGUUAAAAUGUUGUUGAAUCUAAUACAAAUAUACUAAUUUUGAUUUCUUUAACAAGUGUCUUAAAGGCAUUUGUUAGCAUAACCUUUUGUACAAAUAUAUCUAUAAAAAUCUGUGAAACAUUAAAUACACUCACUGAUAUUAAAAAGACAAUUGUUAAAUAAGGGAUAAAAAAAUGUUUAAAAUAACAACUUCAACUUAAAAGUUGUGAACUUUUUUUUUGAAAAUUUUCUUAUAUUAAUAACCAGAGGAGUAUGUAAUUAAACUAAAGAGGUUGAACCGUGAGAGACGUUUUAGAGUUAAGGGUUAUGAUCUUAUGACACAUGAAAUUUCUAUAAAUAAUAAAUUUUUAUUGAGAAUAAUUUGGUAAAAAAAUAUUUAUUGAGAAUAAGUUAUUUUAAAAUUUUAAAAAAUAAAUUGACACAAUUUCUGAUAUAUAGUUUCUAUAUUUGGUAUAUUAAAAUUUGCAUUUUUCUAGAGUUAAAACUACUAAAAGGUUUAACUGAUUGAUUGAAAAAAUAUCGAUAAUUUGUAUUGAUAAAACUAUUAUUAGUGGUGAAAAAUGCAAAUGAAUUGGAAAUUGAAUAAUGUUUUGAGUAAAAAAAUAGAAUAAAUGCUUAGUUCAGUAAAAUGUUAUUGAUAAUCAACAAUUUAUAAUUUACAUAAUGGAAUAUAAGUUUGAAUAAAAUUUGCAAAGAUUGGUUUUUUUUUUAUCUAAUAAUGAAAAGUUUGGAUCUGUAUAGUUAAAAACAGUGAAUAGUUAAUAAACUAACUUAUAAAUAAAACAUAUUAGUUUGAUGAUUGAUUUGCAGCAUUUGAAAAAAUUUGUAGUUAAACUAACUUAAAAAUAUGGAAUGACAUAAAAAUGAUAUCUUUAAUUAAUAUUUAAUUUUUUCAAUUAAGAGUGGAGGGGUAAAACUGAGAAAAAUAAUGAUAAUCUUUUUUUUUUUUAGAGCAAAAAUAAUGAUAAUCUUUAAACUUUAAACUACUUGAAUUUACUCAUAAAAAACAAUAUACACUAUUAAAAAUAAGUGAUAAGCUCGUAUGAAAGUGACACUUACGAAACAUGUCAUUUCUAAUCAUAUGAGCUUAUAAGACAUAUGUAUAUCAGCUAUAAGCUCGAAAAUUAGGCUUACCAAACCGACCAUAUAUCACUCUCUUAGAAUGACUUUUUUUUAUAGGGAUUUCUUAGGAGGACUUGAAAUUAUGUUACAAAAAUCUUUAAACAUAUCUAAAACAUGACAAUUCUUUAGGAAGUUUCAAUAAUUCAAUAAAGAUAAAACUGUGAAAUGUAUAUUUUCCUAAUGCAAUAUACAAAUUCAUUAUUAAUGAUCCUAGUUAAAUUGUUCAUUGUAGAGAUUUUUUUUAUUGAAAGUGUCUAAAUUAUGUUUGCAGACCUCUUAUCAGAUGAAUUAAGUAUUCUUGUUUUUUUAGGCUUAUUUGAUCCAUUAAUCUUCUAAAUAAUUUCAUAUUUUCAUUUUGGUCCCACAAUUAAUAAAACUUACAUUUUAGUCCCUCAUUUUUUUCUCCGUUUGCCAAAUAAAUCAUGAAUGUUAAAUUUAACUCCAAAUAACUAUGGUAAACCAACCUUUACAGUGGUCCACCAUAGACCUUAUUAAUUUUUUUAAUUUAAACCAUUUGAUCUGUUUUUAAAAAGGAUGAUCAUUUGAUUACACAAAUGUAUUUUAUCUUACAAUUAUUCAUGUCGGGUUUAAUCUUAAAAUGCCCAGUUUGUGAGAGGAUAUACAUAAAGUUGAAUCUUUGAUGCGUCUUCAUGCUUUGAGGUUAAAUUUUGAUUCCUUUUAUUCAAAUUUUAGUUUAGGCUUUUACUUGAUUUUGGAACGAAAGAAUACAUAAUUGGAAUUUGAAAGAGAGAGGUUAAUCAUGUGAUGUUUAUUUUGAUUUUUGUUUCCGGAAAUUUUUUUUGCUUGUUCAUGAGUGAUGAUGAAGGUAUUGUUGAAUUAUGAAGAAGGGGAAGGAAGAAGAUGAAGAAAAGGAAAUAAAAUUAGGUGUUGUUGAUUCACCGUAAGAUAAAGUAGACUUACAUAAUCCAAUGGUAAGUAUUCUCUUUAUAAAAAUCAAACGGUUUAAAUUAAAAAAUUAAUAAGGUCUACGGUGGACCACAUAGUUAUUUAGGGUUAAACUUAACAGUCAUGAUUUAUUUGACAAACGGAGGAAAAAAUGAGGGACUAAAACGCUUGUUUUAUUAAUUAUGAGACCAAAAUGAAAAAUCUAAAAUUAUUUAGGGGACCAAUAAAUCAAAUAAACUUUUUUUUUACAAGCAAAUAGUCUUGCUUUGAUUAUGUAGUAGUUAUUAAUGAUUUUGCAACAAAAAAUUCUAAGGAAACAAGUCUUGCUUACAAUAUACUAAUAACUUUGAAGUUCGUCUGACAUAACUUUUGGCUUCCAUAACUGUUCUAACACCUUAUUUUCCUUUUCCAUUUGCUUUGAACCCUCAAGAUUCACAAAAGGAUAUCAUAGCCAUAUUCAUAGUUGGCAAAUGAUAUGUGACAAUAGUCAUCUCAGGAAUCCCUUUAUUUGGCUAACUUGAAUCUGAAUUCUCCGAUAGCCUUUUGAAUGGCUUUCUUGAAGACUAUGUAGUUAAUUAGUCAUGAGCGAUUGUAUGAAUUUUUCCACUUACAAUAUUUCUUUUACUUUUCAAUGUUGUCCUUGUUAAUGACAAAAGGAACAAAUGCAACUUGUGGUACUCAAGUUAAGUGUGUGUUUGGUUUGGCGGCAGAGUUAAUUGAUUCUGGUAGAAUUGAGUUUGAUAGAAUUGAUUAUGGUUAAAAGUGAGUUUGAUGUGAAUUGAUUUAUGUUUCGAUACACUCACUUAAAAGUGAUUCUUAUGAGUUGAUGUUGUUUGGAUAAUUUUAAUCAAAAUUGAUUUUGAAUGUGCAAUGACCAAAUUAUCUUUUUAAUUGUUUUUGAAACUAAAUAUCAUAUUUUCUUUUCAGAUAAUUAUUUCUACUUUUCUAAAAUCAUAAGUACAUUUUUAUUGGUUCAUAAAUUCCUUUUAAAAUAAUUUUUUUAACGGAAGUUCCUGUUAAAAUAAUAUUCAUUAAUAAGAGUUAUUUGUAAUAUUUUGUUAUCAAACCAAUUGAAUUAUUAUUUGCUUCGACUCCUACAUAGUUCGAGCUUUUCUAGUUUUAGAAUUAAAAGCAAAAAAAAAAAAAAAAAAAAUGUAAAAGGAAAAUGACUCUACAUGAAUUACAAUGGGCCCAUUCAUCUCUCAUCUCUAACCUGAAGAUUAGAUAACAGUACCAGGCACCAAUAAAAAAAAACGCAGGACAAUAAAGGGUAAAACUGGAAAUAAUAAUGUUACUUCUACAUAAUUGAUUUUUGUGGACGGAAAUGCUACAUAUUGUAGCUUCACCUAAAAUCGAUUGUAAAAGGAACAAUCACAUUUUUAACAUGGGUACCAAACACCUUCCAAAUAUAGUAGAACUACGUUUAUCAGGUGUAAACGUACGUUCAUGGAUGCCAACCGCAGAAUCAAACAGGGACUAAGAUCUUCUCCGUUUAUAACUUUUUUCAUUUGUUUCAUUUGGAGAGAUAAAAACACAAAAAAAGUAAAAAAUAAUUAAUGAUAAUGGGAUCCACUUGGUAAUAAGACCCACCAUCUAUUUUUUGUGUCUAUCUCUUUGCAAAUGACAUCUUCCAUUUAUUUUUAUAAGUGAAAAGGAUCUUUACCCGUGGAACUCAUUUUGGUUCUCCUCUUCGUAUUGUGCCGUGAAUCUUUUGACAUUGUUGAUUUGUCAUCUUUCUCAUAAAAGAUGAGAAAAUUAGAAGUUUUGUCUCCUUUAGGGACGUACGGGACCAUUUUAUCACCCAUAAUAGACAAGGCUUUGUAUACACAUGGGCCUAUUGAUGAGUUAUAAAUUAUCCUAAAAUAUCUUGAGAAUAUUGCUCUUCUUCCAACAAUUUUUGCUCGUUUUCAACUGAACUUUUAAAAAUAUCCCUGCGUAAGUUAACUUACAUAGGUGUUAAACUCUGCGUGACUUAAGUCACGUUGAAAUAUCCCAAUAUUUUCAUCAAUCAUUUCUUUUCCAUAGCAUCAAUGAAUUAAACAAGGAAGAGAACAACAAGUUCUACAGUCCUAAAAUAAUUGAGAAAGAGGAAGAGAGCCAGGUGGUGGACAAAAUAUAAUAAUUCAAUUGUUGAUAUCAUGUUGAAUUCUGUUGCAUAUUAAUAAAAUAUCAAACAGUUGGAAUGUUGGCAUGUGAAGAAUCAUAAAAUAGUUAGAAUUUGAAAGAAAAGUUGUGGCGCAUAUGAGCAUAUAAGCAUAUUGCAUACGAAAGGAGUUGAGAUUAUAUUAGGGUUGUUGUUUUAAUUCAUCGAUGCUAUGAAGAAGAAAUGAUUGAUGAAAAUAGUGGUGUUUUUCAACGCGACUUAAGUCAUCCAUGGUAUAACACCUGCGUGAGUUAAGUCAUGCAGGUUUAACAUCUUUGUGAGUUAACUCACGCAGGGGCAUUUUCGGAAGUUCAGAUGGAAGCGAGCAAAUUUUUUUGGGAGAAGAGCAGUAUUCAUAUCUUGACUAUUAUUUUCCUCAUCCUACUUAUUUCUCGCGCGUUCUAUUCUUUUACGAAAAUGUCUAUGUGAUUUUCGAAAUUUAUAAUCCGAAUUGAGUUUCUUCUUUGUUAUGGGGUGAAAAAAAGAGUUUUUCACCUAUUUCGAUUUUAUAAUUCAAAAACCUCAAAAAAUAGGACGUGUUCCUUGACAGUGCAAUGGCCUCUGCCCAUUAGAUUUAUCAUGUGCAGUGGAAUGGCAGAGCCCGGUUGACCACCACUGCAAGUCUGAUCUUGUGGGUUGUUGCGUAAUGCUUGUUAAGUUGUUAAUUAAAAUUUGUAAACACACUGUUUUGCAGAAGAAAAAAAAAUUAAGCAUGAAAGGAUGAAGAACAGUGAUGGUUAUCGGAUCAGGCUUUGAAAUGUAUAUUUUCCUAUUUCCUAUAGUGAGAAAAACUCCCAUUAUUUAACUACUAGUGCACAAGAAACACGUUGGGGAAUACUCUAAUGUGCAGUUAAAACCCAAGAGGCUCAAACGAGAGAAGCUUGAGUUAAAACUACUAGUAGUAAAAUAUUUAAGGGUUAUACUAACAUGUAUCUUAAAAAUUCCAUAAAUAACAAUUAUUUAUUGAAAAAAUAAUUAAUUUUCAUAUUUUAACAAAAUAAGUUGGCACAAUUUUAAAGCUGAAGUUUCCUAUCGGAUUCUUUAACAUGUAUUCUCUCCGUUUUAAAUUAUAAUAAGAAAAAAAAAACUCUUUUUUUUUGUCCCAAAUUAUAAGCAAAUUGCAUUCAUUUUGCUACCAUUUUCAUUUUCUUUAUAAUUAAUAACCAAUGGAAAUUGUUUUUACAUCUUUUUAGGAAACUUAUUUCAAGAAUAACACAAAAAACUAUACUACAAAUUACUAUAUUUUAGAUUUCUUAAUAAGUGUAAAAUAAAUCUUUUUUCUUAUAAUUUGAAACUGAGAGAGUACCCUUAGCAUUCCCAAUGUUCAAUUAAUUGAAAAAAAAACGGAAAUGAUAACUUGUAACAUUAAGAUACACAAUAAGAAAUCUAAUAUAGAAAUAAAAUCUUGAAAAUUGUGUUUCUUUAUUUUAAAAGUUUAAAUUUUAAUCUUAGAUUUAUAAAACUAUUAUAAUUACAACUAUUAGUGGUAAAAAAAAAUGUAAAUGAAUUGAAAAUUGAAUACUUCUUAUGGUCUCAAUUAUAAACCACAUACAUUAUUUAUUAAAUAAAUCUAAAAUAUGAAAAGUUGUUUAUAAUUGAGACGGAAUGGAGGACACGUUUUGAGUGAAAAAAAAUACUCCAUCCUAUCAUAAAACAAGAUCUGAAUCUUGGAUAAAUUGAACCUAAGGUUCACCAAAAAGAUUUGUAAGUAAACUCCACAAUGAAAAGGUAAGGCUCUGCAAAAAUAAAAGUGCACCAAAAUUCAGGCAAGUCUUUAGAUUCUUAUAAUACAAUAUUGAUAAGGAAAAUGCUGAAAAGCACGAUAAGGAUUGUCGUCACAUUUGCACGAACGGUUUUAUAAAUGUCAUUUGGUUAUUUUUCCUAAUUUUUAUUUUGCACAAAAUGACAAAUCUUGCCUCUGCUGGAUCUUUCUCAUGAGAAAUCACAAAAAAACACCUCAUUCAAUGAUGGUUCUCCAAAUCAACUUUUGCAUGUGUCUUACCACCCUUGUUGAACGUGGAUCAUGUAUGCUAUUAUUGCUUUGGUAGCAUUGUUUUUUUUUUCACUAUAUAUAUAUAUAUAUAUAUAUAUAUAUAUAUAUAUAUAUAUAUAUAUAUAUAUAUACUAUAUACAUGCAAAAGCAUCCAUAAACUAAAAAACAAAUCCAUUAAUAAAGUAAAUAGGGUGCUAUUGAACAUGUCGUGCGGCUUUUCAUGUGUUGAGUCCUCGUGCGAUAUAGCAGCUCUCUAUUGAUAAUCUAUAACUUCAUUGACUCAUAUCAGAGUUUGUGCUUGUGCUCUCAAUUAUCCCUUUUGAUUAACUAUCUUAUGAAUAAAUAGAACUUCCAACAAUUACAUCUACUAAUUCACUUGCCUCAAUGCUUACAAAUAACUUGAGAAAAACUCACAUCACCGGUUUACAUAUAUUAUUGAACAAUCUAAGGACAUAUAGUACCAUACCCCCAACUUAAAAUUUAGAUGUAAUUGUAUAAAAUCAAUCAAAUUCUGUCAGAACAGUUCAAAACAUUUAAAUAUGUCUUUCGGUUCGAUAUUUCUAAUGUUAUGUUAAUUCUCAAAAUAUUUCAACAUUGACUAUAAACCAAAAAAUAUCAAUCACAAUCGAGUUUGACGACAUUUAUUUGGAUAUAUGUUGAUCUGGACUUAAAUUCAAAACUAUAGGUUCUAUAUUCAAUAUCUAAAAUUAAGAAAUUUGAAAUCUUACAAAUUUCAACAAAAUAAACAAACUGCAGGCAAAUCUGCAGGAAAAGACAUAUGAAAAAUCGCAGGAAAAUCCGCAGCAAUAUAUGUGAAAUUUCCUAAUGAAACAGAAAUAAUAUUUGAUAAUAAUUCCGCAGGUAAAUCCUCAGCAAAAUAAUAGGUACCUGCGGAUGUUCCUGCGGCAUCUAAGAGGUCAUCAUAUAUUGGCAGCAGUUGGUAGAAACCACAUAUUCCAUGGGAUAGCGUGAAACCUUGUUGCUUUUGAACUCGGGGUGGGGUAUUCCCCAUGGCUGCUCCUGGACCAAUUCCACGUGAUUUCUAAUGGGAGUUCUUGCACUACAACAUGAUUAAGAUUUAGUAACAAUUGAAAUUUGUAACUAAAUUAAGAAAAAUGUUACUAAUUAAAUUUAGUAACAUUUGAGCAAUUGUUAGGUAAAGCCCGUGUUAUUAAAAAGCUUCAGUAACAUUUUAUAUCAUAAUUGUAACAGUAAAAAAAUGUUGCAUAUUUAUAUUUUGUAACAUUUUUUGUAUGACCAGUAACACUAAAAAAAUGUCACAUUUAUAUUUUUUGAAAAGUUGUAAAAAAGUGUCGCAAAGUCGUCUAGACUAAAAUUGAGAAUCUAUCGAAUUUGCCUUUGCUUUCACUUCAUUCAUAUUUAAAUUAGCCAACAAUAUUUAAAGAUAAACUUAAUUCAAAUUUACAACUCCAAAUAUUUCCCCAUACAAACAUUUGAAAUUUGAUUUCAUAAUGGAAAUGAAGUAUGCAACACAAUUUCAAUUACAUACUAUAACUAUUAGAAGUUUUCGUCAAAUAAAGCAUGUAAAGGUAAGAAGAACAAUGUGCAAUAAGCCUUCUUUAUGAGGUAUCAAAACUAUAUAUGUAGGUUUUGUUCUAAUUUCCACUAUGAAACGUGCAUUCAAUCAGACUAGCUUCACAAACUGCUCAUCAACAAACCAUAGGCCUUUGGAAUAAUUUACACCGAGGAAAAUAAAUAUUGUGCGAGGAAGGUAUGGUCUUUGGGAAGGUAGAUGAAAAAAUAACUCAAUUGUAGAUCAUGUAUUUGGGAGUUGCACUGAACUUUUGUUACCCUUUGAUGACUUUAUUCACUUCAAGUAUUUCAUUGUUACAAUCUCCCUUGGGGCACUAAUAGUGUACAAACCAGCUUCAGUGCACACACUCCUUAUAUCAGCUCCUAGAAAGAACAAAAUCUAUGUUGCUUAGAAAAGAAAGUAAGUUGCAAAAAUUCCUAAAACCAAAAAAAGUUUUGAUUAGAAAGGAUAUAACUUGAAUACUUAUGUACUUGCAAAAGAUUGAUGGUCAGAAGGUAAAAGCUAAUUUAAAAAUUGCCCAGUUGUUAAGAAGUUCUUACUAGGAGUUAGGGUGAAGCCGAGCUGGAAGCUCAAAAUGGAUAUCCCUUUUAUAAUUCAUUUUUCUUUUGUGUAUCUUGAAUAUUUGUGUCCUGCUCUCUAAGUUAGGAAGCCAAAUUCAAAUUUACGAUCCAAUCGCCCACACCUUAAUAACGCUGGAUCAAAAGUGUGUGGCCUAAAAAUAGUGGACAAAAAGCCAUUAGAUAUAUGAAGAAAAGGACUUGUGAAGCAACCAAUUGGUACUAUUUGAGCUUUAUAUUGAUAAAGUGGAUUUGGAAAUCCAUGUCUUCUCACCAACAUAACCAUUAACUGGUCCUGGUAGAUUUGAACCCACAAGAGUUAGGAUUGGUACAUUAGGUCUUGUUCGAUAUGUUGUUGGAUUAGACAAUAUAGGUGGAUAAUCCAUUCUUGUUGAGUCGAAUAACCUACAAUAGAUCUUUGCAUUCCUCCUAUUGGGCAAAAGAUCGGUUCUCCAGCAUAAGCCAUGUUGUUCUCUUGCACAAAUUGUCAUAAGAUGACACUUGCAACAUUCCAAUUUGUCUUACUACCUUAGGUAAAUAGAACAUUAGACUAAUUAAUUUCACCCUAGUGACUUUGCUCCAUGAUUCUUAGGGGAACGCCUGCCAUCUCUUGCCAAUUUUAAGUUUAUUGGCUCGAAAUAAAAAACAAUGACUAGCAAGACAAAUUACUCAUUAAAACUCAUAAUUAAAAAACAGUGACAAUCUUCAAACUGGAUAGUAAAAGAAAACAAGAAAAACAGUUUGAGUGCAUCCACAUACCACAAUGAACUUUCAAAAUGGAAUAGCAACAUUGAUAUGAGAAAUUUGGAUGUUCAACCCAGCUGAGAUUAUAGGUAAUGGAGCAGGAUUCCUUUGUUGAUUUUUGAAUGACCCCACGUACUUGACUUACUCCUCAGACAAGCCGAAAGUUGUUGGGAGACAUGCACCGUUGUCGUGAGCUUGUUCACAGAAAUCAUGGAUUGUACCAUUUGAUCACAGCAAUGCCACAUCCCUUGCUUCUAACAUCUUGUCUAUGGUUUCUUCUUUGGGGGUAGCUUCUUCGUUGCUUUGUGGACAGUAUUCAUUUAGAGACAUAUUAUCAAUCAGUUCUAUGACUUCCCAAUUAGUUUUGAUCUUCAUGAUACCUCCAGUUGAUGCAUCAUACAAGUUUAGGGUUUCAGCCAUGUAGUGAAAGUCUGCAUGGUAUCUCUAUCUCCGUACACAUGUGACAUGGACACCUUUUCAGAAGAACUUUGAAUCUUUCUCAAGCGCUAUAGAAUGUUUCCCUAUCUUGCAUUUUUAAGCUAGCAAUUUCCUUCUUCCUUGCCAAGUACUUCAUGUUUGGGAAGAAGCGAUCUGAGAAUUCCCUCUUGAAUUGAUCUCAAGUAGAGAUCGUGUCAGUUGGAAGUGAUAUAAGCUAGUCCUUCACUCGUUUAUUUAGACAUUGUACAAACAAACAAAUCAUUUGUUGGAUUUGGAUACACCAUGUGGGUUGAUUGUGUCGCAGGCCUUCACAAAGUGUAAGAGAUGUGCGUUAAAAUCUUCAGACUCCUUUCCUGAAAAUUAGUUGUCCUACAUAGAAUUGAGGACAUGGUUCUUAAUAUCAAACACCACGGGGUUUGCAGGUUGGAACCUGAGAGACAUUUAAUCAUAGUUGGUCUUUUAUAAUCUCCUAGAAUAUUACGAGGAGUUUCGUCUGUCAUUUCUGAAUCGUCAGAUGAGACGUCUUGAAUGGAGAUAGUAGCUUCUUUGUUCGCCUCUUGUUUACCUAACCAAUUGUAUUUUACGAAUGGCCUUUUCGAUUCUUUCAAUGUUUGGAUAAAAAAGAAGGUACAUGAAUCUACACCACGUGGGAGGAAUUUGAACAAAACAAUACUAGAAUAUUUUUAGUAUUUUUAGAAUAAUAAAUAAAUAAAAACAAAUAAAGAAAGUUACUAUUAAAAAAUAAAAACAAAUCUGAAACUGUUUAACACUUUUUCUACCGUUUUGUUAAUGCAUUUCCCUUACUCGCUUCGAUCACUACUAUAAUAAAAAAAAACAGUUUAUACUAUUAUAGACUAAAUAUAUCAGUUAUUCGAUUAAUAAAAAAAUGAUUUUUUUUUUUUUUUUGUUUAUAAUAGUGAUUGUAAUAAGUAUAAAAUAUCAAUUACCGAAAUGUAUUGUUUGAGAUUGUUUGUGUUAGUCAUAUAACUCAAUCCCCAAAACAAAGUGACUCGCAUUUUGUCAGCGCUAAUACAAUAAAAUAAGGGGAAAUUAUAUUGACCUCCCCUAAGGUCUCAUUAAAUGAUACAAACACCCCUCUUAGUUAAAAAUAUACAUUAACCUCUCAUAAGUUUUCGUUAAAUAUGAUGGUGAGAAAAACACAAGAAUGGGGGUUGAAUUGUGUUGGUUUUUUCUUCUUUUUCUCCUAACUGAAAAUACAGAUCAGAAGCAGAUAGAGUUCUACUUCUAAAGAGAAGUUCAGACUAAUUGCAGCGGAUAAAACAGAGAUAGAGAGAGAAGAAAGACACAAGCAAUUUAUACAGGUUCCUUCCACAUACCGAAAGUCAGUCAUGUCCCCCUUGCACUUCCAAGGAGAGUUCACUAUGUAAUAUCUGAUUACAAUUGCUCACUACUAAACUUAGUAAGAGACUUCCUAUGCUCCUGAACACAAUCAAGAGACUUCUAUUGCUCAAGCACAACUGCAAGAGACUUCUUGAUUCAAACAGAAUUACAAGAAAAAUGUUUGAGGUUGAACACUUGAUAUACAAUCAAUGGUGUUCACAAUAUAAAUCAGAUACAGACUCUAAAGACUCUAGAAUUCCUAAGAUAUGAGCUUUGAUAAGAAAUUCUAAGUGAACUUUGAAGUGGAGAACAAUUUCAGCAGAGUUUUGGCUUAGUUAAUUCUUGGUAUUGUUCUUAUAAAACUCUGAGUCUUCACUCCUUUAUAUAGAGGUGUGAAAGAGACGUUGAAUUGCCCGCACAUUCAAAAUAGAGUCGUUUGAAGCUUUUGAUCAAUCACCAAUGAUCCUUUUCCUGAUAUGGUUAUUGUCCUAUGAAGGAUCAAUUUCAAAUGUAUUCCCUUUGAGAAGAAACAUUGUUGCAGGCAAAGUUGUUUUUCUUGUCUUGUAGCAGAGACAAAAACAGAGUAGUGGAGAUAGUGGUUGUACACUUCGUAGAAACGUACUAUGUCAACGCUCUUUGAAGAAUUAGCAUCCAAUGCCUUCCAAAAUAGCCGUUGUAAUACUUUUCCAGUCUUCUGCAAUCUUAGACGAGUUUGAAUCCUUUAAACAGCUUUUGAAGCUUUAAGUUGCAUCUCCUGAUGAACUGCAGCUUCUGGUGAUUCACAACUUCUGAUGAACUUGCUUUUGAUGACGUCAUCACUUCAGGAGCACUUUGUCUUCAGGAGCACUUUAACUUCAGGAGCAGUUUUCUUCAAACGCUUUAAGCUUCCCUUUUUGUUGAUGUAUUUGCUCUUUAUUUGUUCUUCCAAGACCUUUUUAAGAUGUCAAAUUUUUGUCUAUAGUCCUGUACACUUGAACAAAUAUUAGCAUAUCCAAUUGACAAUUUUUAAUACUUUGUUAUCAUCAAAACUCUUAAGGGUUAUUUUUGCUAAACACAUUUUGUUCCAACAAAAUAGACAAACACCUUCCUUCUUCAUUAACAAUGUUUGCUUUCUCUGUUAAAUCACAAAAAUGCCUUAAAUUACUGCACUCACAAUUUAGGGAUUCUUUCGCUUGCUAUCAUCAAGCCACCAAAUAAUAAGAUUCUCCUAUUUUGCAAGCCAUUGCAGCAGCAAAAGAAAGAAUAGAGGAUUCUUAUCAUUUUUUCAACCUUCAACCUUAUCAUUUUUUUGGUCAUGCCAUAUAAUUUGCAUAUUUGUAUUGCUAGCUUGGUAUAAGCUUCGAUUUUCAUAAUUGAUUUUCUUAAAUUAUUUUCAUAUAUCAUAUAAUAAGCCCAUCACAAUAAAAGGUACAACCAUAGUAGUGUUUAUUAAUGAAAAUGAUAACAAUCAAACAAACAUUCCAUAAAAACAUGACCAUACAAAGGGAAAUAUGAGGGAAAUGGAUUCCUUCUCAUCUUUUAUUCAAAGCAAGAAACAACAAAACAACCAUGACAUUUUCUAGAUGGAGACACUGUUGGGAAUGCCUCUGAAAGUCAAUCCUGGCUCACUUGAAGGAUAGAGCACAGUGUAUGGCAUCUUCACAGGCCCAUUCCUGUUUCUCAAUGAUUCAUCGUUGUUCCUUUCAAUGAGCUUUUGCUCAAUUUCAGCCAACUUCUUUCCAAACUUCUUGAAGGCCUCUACUGGCUCUGAAUCGUAAGUCCAAAGAUCACCUUCGAUUCUGUGUCCAAUGUAUUGCUCAUCAGAAACAUGUGAUGACAAUUGCUCCAUAACAGACAUGUUCACACGGGUUUCCAUCAAUGGUGUGAUUGUUCUCAAAUACGCCUUCUCGAAGUCCUGAGCAAGCUCGUCAUACUCAGGGGUUCCUUUCUCAGGCAUGAAUCUUCUACUUUUAGUUGGUCGGUUAACAAUGUAUCCACCGUAAGGAUAUUGUCCAAAAUUAACAGCUGCAUGAAGUGCUGAAGCCAUCCAAAUGAGGGUGGUGCAAGUUUCAAUCAACUCUGCACGAGUUUUCAUCUUAAACCACCAUGUUGCAUCCUUCAAGUCACCAUGGCCCACUUCUACAAGUUCUUUCCAGAAUGCUUGGAGCUCGGAAUCAUCUGCAACAGCUGCAUCUAGCUUGUAAUAGAAAUUUACAUAUUCUUCAACCCAUGACUUAAUAGCAGCCCAUAUCUCUAAUCCAUCAGUAGCAUAAGGAUAAUCCUCUAUCAAAAGGCGAACACCAUGUGGAAAUUUUGGAUCCUUAACAGCCACUCCUCUAGAUAACAAGCAAGGAAGAUGAUAUUAACAUACAAAAAUUUAAGUGAUAUUAAUAACUAUUUUCAACUUAUUAAUUUCGUAGUUGCUUUGUUCAUUCUCUAUUUCUCUAAGGAUACAAAACAAAACUCAUCUAAACUGACAUCUCAUGCGUGUAAAAGAUUAUUUUUGAGAUCAAUGUCUUUCUAAAAAUGGACAAGACGAAGAUUUAAUAUUUUGUAAGCUUACCUUUUGAUUAGAUCAUUAGGUAGUGCUUGAUCCGGGAAAACCCAAUCCUUGUAAACAUCAGAAGACAAUUCCAUUGAAUAACUUCCAAACAAGUAUGUUGACUCUAUAAUACCCCCUGCUUUGAUCAAGACAUCUCGCGCAUUGGCAUUUAUGUUCAUUGUGUUACGAUAGUGUGGAAGUAAUAGUUUAUGAAUAGGGUGAACCACACUAAGAUGCCUAUUUGUUGCUAUGAUGAAUGGCUCAACAGAAGCAUGAGUGUGCAACCUGUCACACAUGUAGAUAUAUAUUCAUAAAAUUACUCAGAUAUAUCAAAUAUUAGUGUUUGAUUGUAUAAAAAUGAUUAAUGAAAUUCAUACCAAUGGCUGAUAAGUUGAUGAUAGCAGGCGUCAUUUACAACAGCGUAAGCCUUGGCAAGGCGCCAAAUUGAAGCAUCAACACCUUCAGUUGCAGGCGUGUAACUAGUAGUAACAAUACCAUCACCAUCAGGAUGUGGCACAUGUAGUUCAAUGGAUAUUGGCUUCAAAGUUCCAUCAUCUUGCAAAGAGAGAAGGGUCGUUGAGGCAUAGGCCUUUGCGCCAGUUGCAUUUAUUUUCCUCAAAUAUGGUAAGAUUGCAUCUUGGUAAUCAACUACGUAUAAUCUAAGGGCCUUGAUAGUCUGUUAGACACAAAAAAAUUUAGCCAUUGUGGUUCCUUUGAAGAAGAAAAAAUGAAUUCAACAGAAAAAAUGAAUAAUACCUGUUCUACAUUGACCCCAUCCUGCAUGUAUGGCUCCAAGUGUUUUUUGUUUAUUGUGGUUGUAUCCUACAUUUCACAUAGCAAGCAAUGAGAGGUUAGUUAUCAAUUUUAAAUGUAGCAUCAAAAUUGAGCAUGAUUGUCUUUUUUAUUUAUUUCUUUUAUACUUGCUUAAAAAUAUUUAACUAUUAAGUUUAAUUACCUCAACUUUUUUUAUCACGUUUGGAUUCACACCAGCAAUUAUCUCUCUUGCGAAUUCCUCAUCAGUCAUCCAUGCAGUGCGAUCCUCUACUCAUAGUAAGAAAUUUUCAAAAGAUCCAUGAGCUUUUUUUAUAUGAUUGUGUAUAUAAUUAAAUAUAUUGUUAGGACUAGGAAUUUCUGACUAAGAUAUAUACCUCGAAUCACUAGUGGUGUUGGAAAGUCUGGAUGUUCGCCAGCGAAAAGCGAGAGCACUUCAUCAAAGGAGUUAAACUCUGGUUGAUCGUUUUGUAAUCUAACUAGCGAUCUUAAUUGAGGUGUCUCAUGUUGAGAUAUUAAUUUGAGGGUGUUAACAACAAAGUCUGACGAUUUCUGAGGGAUGAUUAAUUCAUCUCUUGGAAUGUAAAAAUAUCCACUCCGACUCUCGGUCUCUGGAUCUGUUCAUUAUAGUAACAAAAUAUGUUUUGUCGAAAUAAGUAAAAAUAUAUAUCACAACAAAAUAUUGUAAACAUACACAAGUGUUUGGAGUCUCACAUUUCUCAAGACGUUUUCUGCCAGUUCUUCCCCUUCGAGGGUAAGGCAAGGCGGCUGAUCCCCCAAGAACUGGACGAUACAAGCAAGGACUUUCGUCUGGUUGACCCAAAUCAUUGUAGACAUCAUAAUCAUAUAUUCUGUCCCAUACCUUACGCUCUCCAGUUCCAUCUCCUCUUAAAGUCUUCAAUUCUUCUUUGAUGUAGUACACUAAUGGUUGUGGUGCUUGACUUGGAAGGUAUGCCUACAUAAUUUUAACCAUUGGUGCUGUCAAGUUUUUGAAAAAGAGAAAUAUACAUUUAAAAAAUUACAUGGAAAUAAUAAAAUGGUUUGAGCUCAGGUACGUGGUUCAACUUCCUAAACAAACAUUUUUAAUAACUAAUUGUUAACAUUUGUCGCUCAAUAAAAAUAUAGAAUUGAUAUCAUUACCUUGUUGGCAAAGAAAAUGCGUUCAGUUUGGUACUUUUCAGCAUUGUAAAUCCAUGAGUUGCAAAUAAAGUUUGUGGUUUCAUGGCUUUCAACAUCUUCAAGGGUCAAACUCACAAGGAAGAUUUCAUCUUGCGUAAAAUUCUUAACAUAGAAAGCUCCUGGAAUUCCCAUGUGAUUGGGAUCCCAUUCAAAAUGAAUACUGAAAGCAUUUUGUAUGUCUCCCAAAUUUGGUAUGGAAGUAACAAAACCAUCCAUAAACGUUUCCUUUCCCACUUUUCCUUUUCCAGUAGCUAUGUUAAAAAUGUCAAAUAUUAGUUUCUCAGUUUCACAAAUGAUGAUGAUUCUCAACUAAUUAGUUUUCAAAUAUUAAUUUUUUUUACAACUAAUUUUUUUUUUCGCCCUAUACAAAAUUUGUCAUCCAUGUGCACGUUAUUGUAUAUAGUUAGAUAAAGAAAUUAUUACCAUCAGCUUUGGAAGCACUAAUCAACUUGAAACCCACAGAAGUGUCCAACAAGGUAGGACGAACGGUAUCACCUUCAUUCUCAACAACAGUAUUACCACCAAUAACUUUGUAGUUCAAUGCAUUCUUUUUCAUCAAAACCACAGUUCCCUUCAGCUUUGUGACCAUGUUCAAUGAAGUCAUCUUUGAUGCUUAAAUGUAUUACACUAUCUUUGGCUAAUGAAAGAAAUGUUUGUGUCUUGUAACCUUGUGGGAUGCUUAGUAUUUAUAGUACUUGAUGGGAUCACAAGGUUAGUUCAAAAAAGAUAAACCAUUCUUUUAUUCAUUAAUUAACUGCUACUUGUGACACAAUUGGAGCGCAUCUUAGGCUAAUUUUGUAUUUUUGUUGAUUAUUUCGUUGUAUAUUAUAAAAUAUAUCAGUUAAAUAAUCAUUUGGGGUUUUGUUUUUUACUAAAAUAUGAUAAUCAUGCAAUAGAGUAUAAUAGAAAUAUACAUAAAUUUAACAUCACCAAAAACUAAUUAAUUAAUAGCAUAAAACGAUCAAUUUGCAAACAAACGCAUAUCAUUCAAAUUAAUUAAUAGCAUAAAAUGUUAAAAUACAUACAAAUGAUAUGACAAAAUUUAAGUGAUCAGAGUAUUCAUGUCUUCAUAUCAACAACUUUGACGAUCAUCUCAUUGAUUAAAUUUAUAAUGAUCGAAGUUGAAAUGUGUCAAUCCAAACAAUACCACAACAAUCAAUCUAAAAAAAAAAAUAUUGAACGUCAGACUAAAAUGACGAAAUUACAAAAGAAAAUAUAAUCUACGUAAAAAUUAUUGAUUUUUUAUUAAAAGAGAGAACAAAUCAACACUAUAUGUCUAAAAUCAAUCAUCUUCCAUCAAUGAAGAAGAAGAAAGAUAAAACUUAGAGAUAUGGCUUCUCUUUUUUUAAUUGGGGCCGGCAAAAUUAUGGAAACAUAAAUAACAAGUACGUAAUAUUUGUUGUCUUGUGUGUGAGAGAUUCCAAAAAAAAAAUUAUAUACGCGGGGUUUUUAUUGACCAUAUUGGUGCUAUGGUCAUUAAUUACUCUUUUUUUAAUCCAAUAUGGUCAUUAAUAACUCUCCUUUGCUCUAUUGUUAAUUGUAUCAAUACGUGUACGUAGUAGUACAUCCAAAUCUUCCAAUCACGGUUCCUAUAUUGAGAAAAACACCCAUUAUUUUACUACUAAUACACAAGAAACACGUUGGGAAAUACUUACCCAAGAGGCUCAAACGAGAGAAGCUUUAGAGUUAAAACUACUAGUAGUAAAAGAUUUAAGGGUUAAUACUAUCGAAGAUUCAUUAGCUAAAAUUUAAAAAAAUUUAACAUUAAAUAUGAAUUUUUUAAAACGGCAAAAGUUAAAGAUAAAAUUAACAAAAUUUGGAUGUAGGAAUCAAAUUUUGCGACAAUUUUUUGAAGAGGAACUUUUAGUGAUGUUCUUAACACGUCUGCAAAAAAUUGUUCAAAAACUCAAGAGUUUAAGCAUAAAUUAAACAAAUUUGAAUUGAGGAGAGACUAAUACUGAGUGUAGAAUUUUUUUUUUAGGGAUUAAAAAAACUAUUAAAAUUAAGUAAGAAAUAAACUUAAAAGGUCCUAACUUUAUAAGGACCAUAAAUAUAUUUAACCUAUAUGUUUUUAGGGCAUAUCUUAAAAAUUCCAUAAAUAGAAGUUAUUUAUUGAGAAAAAAUUAAUUUUCAACUUUUAACAAAAUAAGUUGACAUAUAUAAUUUCCAAAGCUGAGUUUUCCUAUCGGAAUCAUUUAACAUGUACUCUCUCCGUCCUAAAUUAUAAGAUUAAAAAAAAAAAAAAAAAAAAACAACUCAAUUUUUUUUCCCAAUUAUAAACAAAUUGCACUCAUUUUGCUCUUCCUUUCCUUUAAGGAUAACACAAGAACUAUACUACGAACUACUAUUUCCUCCGUUUCAAAAGACACGUCGCAAUCAAAUACUCUACACAUGUCAAUGUACAACUUUGACGGUUGAUAUCUCUAAUUAUCUAAAGUAAAAAUUUAUAACAAUUUAAUAUUUUGAAAACAUUUAUCGAGACAAAUCGAACAACAUUUUACAUACCAAUCUUUGCAUUUAUAUAUUAUUUAAAAAGUAUGGUCAAAGUAAGUCAUGUGAAUAGUGCACAUUGCAAAAAUGUGACAUUUAUUUUAAAACGGAUGGAGUAUGUUUUAGUUUUUUCAAUAUGUGUGAAAUGGAGUUAUGACAUUUAUUUUAAAAUGGAUUAACAACAAAUCAACCAUAUCAUAAGUGUUACUAAGAAUCCCAUCUCUCAUGGCGGAAGCAAACACAUUGGGACUAGAUUCUAUUUCAUUAGGGAGCAGGUGACUAAUGGAGUGAUUGAGUUGCAUUACUGUCCUACAGAAUUGCAGCUUGCAGAUGGUUUUACAAAGGCUUUGAAGCUUGAUAGAUUUAAACUUUUGAGGAAGAAACUUGUUGUUGUUAACAUUCAGCAGUUAUUAAUUAAGGGGGGAGUAUUAGAAUGUUAAUACAUAACUUAACUGUUUAGAUAUAAUAUAUUCGUUGGGGAAUAUAUUAUACCCUUGGGGGUAUAAAAGUUUGUCACAAGUUAGUUAGGUAAUCAAGCUAAGUUUGAUAGUUAGAUAGCUUGUUCUAUAAGCAAGUGUUAUUGUGCCUAUAAAGGCUUUGUAUUGUGAAACUUCAAGUCUUAAUGAGAUUACACAGUUCAUAUCAAUCUCUCUAUUCUUCUCUCUUUCAUUUUUCAGUUCUAUUUUUUUUAUUUCUCAUCUUGCUAAAAACUGCUUAUUUCAAUAAGCACUUCUGCGCAUAUGAACACACGCAUAUGAACACAGUUUCUGUUCAAACAGUAACAACAAUGCCAACCCCUUUCACAUUCUAGAAGAGAAUUAACAUCUAGGAAAAGUAACUACAUCCCUAUAGAGUUCAAGUUUAGAAGGAGAUAUAUAGUUGCUUUGCAAACAUUUUUCAUAAUCUCCUUUGUCUAAUUCUUCGUGGUUGUCAACCUCUAAAUUCACCACGAAAAGGGUUUUUGGCGUCGAACCUCAUUGAUAGCCUGAAUUACAAUUUACAAGAACUUGAUCCAAGUUAAAAAUUUUGUUUUUCUUGCCCUGUUUUGAAGUUUCGGCAUGACUUGAAACUCUAGCAGUUUGUUUGUUUUGCUUUCUGUUCUGGUUUUUUUUUUUUUUUUGCACUUUAGGAAUAUCGUUCUUAGUGUAUGCAAUAUGGAUGACCUACAAUAUGACAAUUUUAACAAAUUUAGGAAGUCUUUCAUAUACAACCCCCAACAUGAAAUGCAAACACCCUCUAUACGAGAACAUACUCGUGAAUCGGUUUUGAUAAAUCAACAUCAACAAAUAGUCUAGCAAAAUGUCCAAUUACUCUAUUUCUAGUAGGUUAAUCCAAUGUAAUAUACAUUCUAAUAACACAAGCAAUCUCAAAUAAAGUUUUAGGACGUCAAUAUUCCUAAGGGAUAUCACUUAAACAAAUCUAAACAUGAUCAUUAGAAUGUUUUUUAUAAUCUGGAUAGAAAUCACGAACCCAUUGAGAUAUACAAAGAAUCGCGAAUUUGAGUUUCCAUGAGCCUGCCAACCAAACGGAAUGCAUAUAGGAGUUGAGGGCGACCUCUAGGGUGCGCAAUCGAAAUAUAUUGUGUAUCGUGCAUGAGUGAGUGCACUCUAGACCGGAUAUAUCAAAUUCUCUCUUCCCCGUGAUUGAACACCCCCUUCUUCCUCUCUAUUUCAUUGUUCAAUUUCUUUUAAAUCAAUAUUUGAUCUGUGUUGAUGGUUGGAUUUGCAGGUGUCAUAAUGCUUUGCUUUCACUCUUAAGUCCUUAUUUUCUUAGGAGAUUUUAUCCCAAGAAUGACAGCAAGGAAUUAUGUUAAUAGAAAAUGAUUAAAUAUAUGGAUUUUCAAUUUGAUAAGAGUUAGUGUAUUUUUUGGCUCUGCUACAUAUAAGAGUUUGGUGUUCAAAUUGAUCUUGAACUUUCAUUGUUAAGGAAAAUAGAUCAAGGGUUGCUAACUAACUGAUACUUUGAAAGAAAGAAAAAAUCACUAAUGAGCACGCUAGCCUCCGCCGGAGUUUGAGAGAGCAAACUCGAAGAAACCUUUGCUAAGUGACAUUAGUCUCCAAUUUUUAUUGAAUUUCCAAAGAGAGCUUAAUGUGUGUUUGGAUGAGGAAAUAUUUUGAUUUGAAGGGAUUCAAAUACUUUGAAGUGAAUUCCAUUGUUUUGAUAAUAAUUUGAAGAAUUUUCAAAAUGAUGGAAAUUUAUGAAGUAUUUUGUUCAACUUAAAUUUAGAAAAUUUCAAAUGACACUUAAAGUUAAGAAUUUCAAAAUUCUUCAUUGUUAUAAUUUUUCAAAUUUUGCAUUUUGGUCCUCAAAUUUUCCAAAAUUUCCAAUUUGACACCAAUAAAUUUCCAAAAAAAAUGUAAAUUGACCCCUCAAUUUUUUCGAAAUUUACAAAUUGACCCCUUAUUUCAAUUUUCAAAAGUUGCCCAAAAAUGAUGACAAUGAAAUUUUUUAUUACUCCAUCCAAAUCUUUAUACUAACAAUUUAGAGUUUUUAGAAAUAGCCUAUUUCAAAAUCCUCUCCUCUAAAGAUGUCCACAUCAUCAUAAUCCUAAUUGGCAUUUGUUCCAAAAAUUUCUUCUAAUUUUUAAUACAAGCUUAAUAAUUAUAAAUAAAUAUUAUUAAAAACCGUUUUUUAUUAAUCAUUAAAUGGUACAUAAAAUACACAGUUGGUUACAAUAAAAUCAUUAUUAAUAUAAUAAUUGUUUCGAUUAAAAUUUAUAUGUUACAUUAAAAAUUUGUACGUUACAAUCAAAUGAUUAUUAAUAUAAUUAUUAUUCAAUUAACAUUUAUAUGGUACAUUAAAAAUUUGGUAGGUUACAAAAUUAUAAUAAUUAACUUGAAUAAAUUAUAUUUUGAAUUUUGGUCCGUUACACUAUAACAGUAACCUACUAAUUAAAAAUUUAAUUGUAGUAAUUAGUUUUUAAGGUUAUAUAAUUAAUUUUUAUUCGUUACAAAAUUAUAUUACUUAAUAUUAAUAAGAUAUUAUUGAAUUUUAAAUGUUAUGAAGUUAAUUUUUUGUAGGUUAGAUGAAAUAUAAUCUAAUCAUUAAUGCACAUUUUAUAAUAUUAAUUACGUUGAUAAUAUUAAUUUUAAAACGGUCAAAUUAAUAAUUAGUAGAUAUUAACCGUUAUGGUACUAUUUUUUUAUAUAAAUAGUAGCGCUUUUAGGUACGAGUACACAACAAUCACAAAAUAUAGUUCUUCUUUUUCUAUUCUAUGGUUCUCUGAUAUCUAUAUUCUAAGUAAUUUCUUUAAUUUUUUCUAUUGCAAAGAAAAACGUCUACGAAACACGACUUCAUCUCUAAUGUUUCGCCAAGAAAAUAAUCGUGGACAUUGGUUGUGAGGGUUGUUCGUGCUUGGUUUGUUCAAGACUACAAAAAUAAAAUAAAAACUACCAUUUUCUAUGGAGUUGGUUCUAAUGGAUCGAAAUUGACUUUUUUCAUACCGUUUUUUGUUUUGCUUUGUUUAAAGUAUAGUAUUUUAAUAUUUGUUAUCUAGGGUGAUCGAAUAUGUGUGUUUAUACGAAGAACAUUGAUCUACAAGUUCAAGGAGCAGCUCCAAGAGGGAAUGGCGUUCACGAUUUCCUUAUUUGAUUUUGUUUGCAACAGUGGUUUGUAUAGACCAUCACACAACGAAUACAAACUGAAUUUUACAAUUAACACAAAAAUCAAAAUAUUUAAAUCUUCUUUGGUCCCUACAAACAUGUAUUCGUUUACACUGCAUAUGAUGUUUUCAAUGAUUCUUACGACAUGAAAUGUAAUUUGAAUCAUAUUUUUAUCAUCAAACUAAUUUCAAACCCCCAUCCCUUUCUAACAACAUGAACUAAAUUAUAUAUUAAUGUAGUUGGUGUCUUGACUGAGGUGGAUUUUGUUUUAAUGAAGACCUCAAAUCAAUUAUAUUAAAAACCCUUCAAGCACAAGAUGUACCCAAUAAAAGAAAAUACAAAGUUCAAGAUGCAUAGAUACAAAAGAACCAAAUCAUGAGGUAGAAUAACCAAGACAAGUAGAAAGAUUAUUUCACCAACAUUUCAACUCAAAAUACAUACAUGAUUGCUUAGCAUUUUGUAUCCAGUAAACAAGAAAUAUAAUUUAUCUAACAACACCAUAAACUGGUUCUUGUGACAAAAAUGUAAGAAUUUUUGUCUUUCCAAAUAAUCCAAAUGCAAGUCAGCAAAAUCAACUGAAAACUAAAACGAACUUUUUUUGGAACAAUUGAGAACCACUGAAAUGAAGAGUACCCUCAAUAAUUAAUUGGAAGAACACAAUAAUUCCAACCACUUUAGAAUAUUAUGUCAUAUGCUACCAAAGAAUUCACACUAAAAAUAAAAAAGAUAAUUUUCCUCUUUUUCACAUCUGCCAGAACAUAAAAAUAAGUCCAUAUUUUAAAUACUCCAUCAAGCUAAGUUGCCAUUUAUUAGAAUUCAGAUAUUCAAGAGCCUCCGCGAAAAGAGAGAGGCAUUUAGAGGAGCUACUUUGUUCCUAAUGAGAUUUUUUAGAGCCAUAGGUUCAUCAUGCUCCACUUGCAACUAGAUGAUAUACCCCUUUGUCAGAGUAACUUUCACCAUGAUCAACUUUAAAGAAACUUAUAAAAAAAUGCUAGCCUGAAAAAUAAUGUUGUCCACCAAAUAACAACAAUAUAUCCCCUGCACCUCAUUCCAAGAAAAAUUCUAUGACAUCGUCUCCACCCCAUCCAACCCUAACCUACGUAUCUCCUCAAAUGGCAUAGAGUUAUUCUCAUAUAACUCAAAAGUUCUUCUAAAUAUAUCACACAAAGGACCACUCUACAACCACGAAUCAUUGCAAAAAAAAAGGAGUAUUUUUUCUCAUUACUCUCCACUAUCAUCAAGUUGUCAUCAAACCAAUUUCUAAUCCCCAUCUCCGCCCCUAUUUUAACAUCAUGGAAGUAAUUUUACCACACACACUCCUAAUUGUCCCCACUCUUCACAUGAACUCACCCAACCUAUUCUAAGAAGCUAAAACUCUAAAAUGCAAACUCAUUGAUCCAUAUCAGCCUCCAAAACUAUUCAUGUAACAAAGAUAAGUUAAAAUUCUACAUUAUAUGAACCCUCAAGCAACAACUAUAUCGACCAAGACACACCUUAUCUCACUUAAACCAAUUGACUUUAAUAGCUUCCGCACUCUCUCCACACUAAAAAUAAUAAGGAUUCAAUAAAAUAAUUUUUACUUAAGUAAGCCUUGAAGAAUGAAAGAAAUUAAACCAAUUGUGGUGGAUAUUGAAAGAGAAUACAAAGAUACAUUAGAAGAAUAUUGAAUUGAAUUCGAAUGGGUGAAAUCAAUUUAUUUUCAUUUUUAAUAUAUAAUACAUUAUGAUAUUUAAUUAUUAUUUUAAUUAUUUGUCAAAUAAUUUUUAAGAGAUAUCAGUUUGAACGUACUCUUUUUUCUAUUUUCUGGUAAAUUUAAAAAGGCGAAUCUGACAAUUUUGUUGCAAAAGUUAAGUUGUUCCUAGGUAAGUAUUUAUAACUAUCAACUUGAUUAUUUAAUACCAUUAAAAACUACAUAUUUAUUCAUUUAGUUGAACCAUUUUAUUUGUUUCUUUAGAGAUUGGAAAACGAUGUUACAAAAUUCUUUUCAAUCAACUAAGAUCAAAUUCAACCAUUAAAUUAUGGAGACAAAAAGAACUAAAGAAAAUGUAUGCUUAUUUUGAUGAAGGAGAUUUUUUUUCCACAAUCCUUUUAGUAAAUACAUUUUCUAAUAAAUGGUAAAACAAUUACCUUUAUUUUUAGUUGCCUGAUCUAUCCCACAUUAGCAUACCUGAAGAAUUUUUUACUCUUACUCUUAGGAUCACCAUUGGAGUUAAAGAACCUGCAUGAAAUUGAGUGGGUUGACAUAGAUCUCCUACCUUUUUCUUCCCCAUGUUUGUGGAGGUUUUAGUUUGUGGAUUUCGGUUAGGAAUAUUAAGAAGGAGGAAAUGUUUGCUUGGAAAAAAGGGGAAACGAUGAAUUGGAAAUCAUAACUACACUAAAAUAUAACGAAAUUAGGUUAGAUUGUUUUAAUUAGGUUAGGGACUCUCUCCAAUCUUAGAUAUAACAAAUAAACAACUACAUUUUAUUAUCUUAAAUUAAAAAAAAAUAUAUAACUUACUUUGACUUUAUUUAAUGUUAUUUCUCCUAAUAUACAUUUUAAUUCAUGUAAGUUUUAUUUUUAAUAUUUUUUUAUUCUCAUGAAACAAGUUCCAAUAGAUGGUACUUUUCAUAAUUUUAUAUUUUUUUAGAAACAUUCGAGAAAACUAAUUGCAUAUAAGUAAAUUUUUGAACUUAGAUAUAUUUUUUUUAUAAUUGAAAUCCGAGAGAGUGAUUAAAUAAAAAAAGUAAUAACUUUAUUCAAAGUGGUAGGUUUUUUAUUAUAUUUUUAUAAGACAAGAGCAAAAAGAAUAAUCUCAAUUAAGUUGGUACCCUACUUUAAUCGAUCACCAGUUGCUCAUAUAUAUUAUUAAAAAAAGGAAAAAAUUAUAUAAAAUCUGGGAGGACAAAAAAUAUGAUUCAGUCAAUCCAAGUGGAUCCACCCUAACGAGUAAUAUAUAAAAAAAAAAAAAAAAAAGAUCAACAAAGUGGAUUCAACCCUAAUUAAUUCUAACAAACGAAUACCAUUAACGAUAGACGUUUGUGAUGGCCAAUCGGGUCUAUAAUUUGGCGAAUUGAUCGAUCUUCAACACAAAAUCAGAUCACGUGCUAUCAACUCCCUACAACAACGACAACAAGCAUUAACGACUCUUUCAAGUCCACACAGUCUCAUGUCAAUCAAGGAUUAAUGGGAUACGAAACACAUACAUAUUCUUGAGAGUGGAAAGUAGAUUCAACCGCCAACACGGUAAUUAACAGAUUCACACGCACUAACUGUUUACUGCUAUGAUCAACAUCAAAUUAACAGUCAUUUAUGGCCCAAUAUAGAACCUCAACCACCUCCAAAGAAAGGGAGGAGAUGGCGGAUUCGAAUGACCCACCAUAACCAAUCCACACGGCGGCGAAAAAUGUCUAAAACGGUGGCAAAAUAGAGGAUAAAGAACGGACCCUUUCGGGUUUCAACCAAACCAAUGCGGGGUUCUGCUAUUGAGAAGCCAACACACAAAACUAAACAAGAUUGCCGGUGACAACCAACAAUUUACGAAUACCAACAACUAAGCAACCACCACCCGUAGCAGAUGCGGUACUGGUUGAAUCGGAAACGAACGACACGAAUUGUUGCGGGAACCGGAAAAAGGGUGGUGCGGGGGGACGACGCCACUCAUCACACCAUCGUUGAAUGUUGGUACAUCGUAAGUGAUGAAGGUUUCAAAAAAAAGGGGGCGAGGUGGCGGAAGAUUUCUAAAGAGAGGGCAGAGCCAUAAUGGUAGAUUAUAGCAGGGGUAAUCAUACCUCUUAUUAAUUAGAUAUAUUUUUAAGAAUAUACUAAUUAUUUAUAUAUUUUUAUAUUUUAAAUAUAGUUGUACUUUUUCUCAAUAUUUUAAGCAGAGUUGGCGUCCCUGCCAACUCUGUCUCAAUUUUAAAUAUGAAAAUAAAGUACUACAUAAUAUCAAAAUUCUGAAUGAAAUCAAACUAAAAAAGUCAAAUAAUAUCUAAAAAAACUUAUUUAUGUGUAAACUCUGUUAAAAAAAAUUUAAAUAAAAUGUAUCCCGUGCUUGGCACGGGGCGUUACACUAGUAAUAUACAUUCUAAUGACAAUGAAUUCUUUAAAAUUUCUCGAUUACCUCAUCUAAACAAACUCUAAUAGUGUUGUCCAACGUAAGAAUCAACUUGACACUUUAAUCCUUUCAAAUAAAAACUUGAUAUUUAGAGGAAUUUUAACAUGGUCACAAGACAUUAAUCAAAAAAAAAAAAAAAAUGGUCACAAUAUAAAAUAAACACUGUUUGGACACACACAUUUAGUAUUAUUUUAAUUAUAAAAAGAAAAUUGAUAAAAGAUUAUUGAAUAUUUUGAGAAUAAUAUCUUGAUGUGUGUGCCAAACACUAUUUAUUUAGUCUUGUGACCAUAGAAUAAUGGUCACAUUUUAAUAGAGUGGGUCAUGGAGGAUAAUCUCAUCGACAUCUUUUAAACCUUGCUUUGCAUCGAAUCUCCAUAAAAGAACACCAAAAUUUAAUUGGGAGAAAUGAGGUUAAUUAGGGUUUAGGUUUGGUGCUCAGAGAUUUAAAUUGGCGAGGGAUUGAAUAUGAGAGAGAGGAAUUGUGUCCAGAAAUAUUGCUUCCCAUCUCAAAUUCUCAGGUUUUUUCUUCAACAUGUCUUGAGAACAAAUUCUGUACACUAUAGCACUUUCGUAUAAACAAUCAACAAUUUUUGCCUUAUGAAUUGAUGUAUAUUUCUUAAACUCUAUAUAUAGUAGAAAACAGUUGCUACUGAAAUAACAUUAUUAUGAUCUAUUACUUUUCCAACAUUAUAAUGUUUUUUCAUACCAUAGAUGCAUUUUCUCAAAAUAUGAAGUCUGCAUUUGAUAUAGCAAGUCCAUCAUCACACUACAAGUACAAGAUACAAACAUGGUAGUUUUUAUUGAUGACAGACAUUACAGCAAACAAACAUACAUAAUAACAUGACCAUACAUAGGAGGAUGAGGGAAUUGGAUUCCUUCUCAUCAAUUAUUCAUAGCAACAAACAACACAACAAACCAUGACAUUUUCUAGAUGGAAACACUGUUGGGAAUGCCUCUGAAAGUCAAUCCUUCUUCACUAGAAGGAUAAAGCAGAGUGUAUGGCAUCUUCACAGGCCCGUAUCGGUUUCUCAAUGACUCGUCAGCGUUCCUUUUAACUAGCUUUUCCUCAAUUUCAGCCAACUUCCUUGCAAACUUCUUGUAGGCCUCUUUUGGCUGUGCAUCAGAAGUCCAAAGAUCACCUUCGAUUCUCUCCCCAAGGUAUUGCUCAUCAGAAGCAUGCCUUGACAAGACUUCAAUAAUGGUAAGGUCUGUAAGGGUAUCACUCUUGGGUGUGAUUGUCUUCAAAUAUGCCUUCUGGUAGUCCUUAGAAAGCUCAGCAUACUCGGCUGAUCCUUUCUCAGGCAUGAAUCUCCUGCUCUUAGUUGGUCGGUUAAGGAUGUAUCCUCCAUAUGGGUAUUGUCCAAAAUUAACAGCUGCAUGAAGUGCUGAAGCAAUCCAUAUAAGGAUGGUGGAAGCUUCGAUCAACUCCGCACGAGUUUGCAUCUUAAACCACCAUGUGGCACUCUUUAAGUCACCAUGACCCACCUCUACAAGUUCCUUCCAGAAUGCUUGGAGUUCAGCAUCUUGUGCAAUGGCAGCAUCUGAUUUGUAGUAGAAACUCACAUAUUCUCCAACCCAUGUCUUGAUAGCAGCCCAUAUCUCUAGUCCAUCCGAAGCAUAAGGAUAAUCCUCAAUCAAAAGGCGAAUGCCGUGUGGUGAAGCUGGAUCCUCAACAGCCACUCCUCUGCAUAACAAGCAAGGUAUAUCACAUUAGCAUAAAUAAAAAUUACUUUUGUGAAUCAAUUGCUUUUUCCUUUAUGAGUAAACAUAGAAUCUAAUGCUUUGUAAUAUCACCUUUUGAGUAGAUCAUUAGGUAGCCCUUGCUCAGUGAAAACCCAAUCCCUAUAUGCAACAGCAGACAUUUCCAAAGCAUAUCCUCCCCACAAGAAUGUUGAUUCUAUAAUACCCUCAGCAUUGACAAGGACAUUCCGUGCAAGUGAAUUUAUGUUCAUUGUGUCACGGUAGUGAGGAAGUAAAAGUUUGUGGACAGGGUGAACCGUACUAAGGUGUCUGUUUGUUGCUAUGAUGAACGGCUCAACAACAGCGUGAGUGUUCAACCUGUCAUACAUGUAGACAUUAAUAAACAACUCACAGAUAGAUAAAUUAUAUCUGUUUCUAUAAAUCUCAUUUACGAAAUUCAUACCAAUGGCUAACAAGUUGGUGAUGGCAAGAGUCAUUUACAACUACAUAAGCUUUAGCAAGUAGCCAAAUAGAAGCUUCAACACCUUCACUUGCAGGGAAGUAAACUUCACUAACAGGUCCAUAACUAUCAUCGUCAGGAUGUGGCUUACUUAGCUCAAUCGCCAGUGGCUUUAAAGUUCCAUCAUUUUGCAAGAAAAGGAUGGUUCUAGCAGCAUAGGCCUUUGUCUCAGUUGCAUUUAUUUUCCUCAAAUAUGGAUAUACUAUGUCAUAGUGAUCAAGGAUGUACAAUUUGUUGUUUUGGAUAGCCUAAUCAACAAAAUAUAAUUUAGUCACCGUACAUCAUUUGAAUAAAAAUGAACCAUUUCUCUAGAAAAACAUUAAUAUCUUGUGUCAUUACCUGUUCUACAGUGAUCCCGCCCAAGUUUGGCUCCAAUUGUUCUUUGGUUAUGGUGCUGGUGUUAUCUCCAUAUUUUUGGCUAUCUAGCUUGCUCUUAUGUGGGAACUCCUGAAUUAAUUGUUUCAAGCAAUAAUGUUACCAAUUAUAGAAAUAACAUAUUGUUUACAAAAUAGUUAACAAUGCUAAACUAUUAACUUUACCGUGAGUUUUUUGAUGAUGUGUGGAUUCACUCCAGCAAUCAUCUCCCUUGCAAAUUCCUCAUCAGUCAUCCACGCAGAAUGAUCGACUACUCAAAAUAAAAAUUUCAAAAGAUCCAUGAACUUGAUUUCUCUAGUAUAUGCAUAUGUUGAUAAGAUUAGGAGUUUGUGACUAAUAUAUACCUUGAACCACUUUAGGUGGUGAAAACUUAAGGGUUGAUGCACCAUCAGAUCGAAAAAGUUCCGUGAACAAUGGUAUUGGGCUAACGUUGCUAAGAAAAUUGGUAGGUAGCUUGAUUCCACCAUCGUAAAGUGACCGCACGUCUUCAAAGUUGUUAAACUCUUUGCUAACUACAGAUUUCAAGGAAGGUAUGAUAUUUUGAGAUGCUGAUUUGAGUAUGAAAGCAAGAAAGUCUGAAGACUUUGUGUGUCCAAAUGCCUCAUCUCUUGGAAGGUAAACAGUGCCGCUCCGACUCUCACUCUUAGGAUCUGUAAAUAUACAUUGUAGGUAAAUAUGUGUUAGCAACAAAAACAUCUAUUGAGAAAAACACUACCUAUCACACAUGUUACAAUACCAUUGAAAACAUCCAAGUAGAAAAAUUGAAAAGUGACAUAAUAUUUUAGUUAGAACAGAAGGUUUAACCUUUUUUAGCUGGUUUUCUGCCUGUUCUCCCCCUUCGAGGGUAAGGCAAGGUGCUCGAUCCUCCAAGAACUGGACGACCCAAGGUAGGUUUCGAGUCAGGCUCACCCAAAUCAUUGUAGACAUCGUAAUCAUAGAUCCUUUCCCAUUCCUUGCGCUCUCCUUUUCCAUCUCCUCUUAAAGUCUUCAACUCUUCUUGUCUAUAGUACACCAAUGGAGCCGGUGUUUCACUUGGAAGGUAUGUCUACAUUUAUAUUUACUUAAUCAUGUCAAGUUUUGAGAAAUAAUUUAUACUUAACUAGACAAAUAAAUAUGAGUUUUUCUUUACCUUGUUAGCGAAAAAGAUGCGGUCACUUUUGUAUUUUUUGUCAUUGUAAACCCAAGAGUUGCAAACAAAGUUGAUGGUUCCAUGGUUUGGAACAUCUUCAAGUGUCAAACUCACAAGGAAGAACUCAUGUUGCAAAAAAUUCUCAAUAUAGAAUGCUCCUGGAAUUCCCAUGUCACUGCCCCAUUCAAAAUGAACACUGUAAGCAUUUUGCUUGUCUCCUAAUGUUGGUAUGGAGGUAAUAACACCUUCCAAGAAUGUUUGCUUUCCCACUUUUCCUUUUCCACUUCCUACAAAAAUUUCAAAAUGAAUACUGAAAUCAUGAUUCUCAAAUUAACAACCUAGUUAUAGCUAUUGUAAAUCUAAAGUUUUUUAUAGCUCAUUUUUUCCCUACUAAAUCUAAACUCAAUCUAAAUUUAUUUUCAUCGAUCCGGCUUAAGUCUGAGUUGUACUGAUAUAAGUGAAAUAAUUUGGAAUUUUUUUUCUAAUAAUUGUUAAUAGAUUAUCAAUUAAAGGGUUGUUGAUGCUGGUGGAAGACAUAGUUAGAGCUCAUAAGGUGGGAAACUAGGAAAUUAAUUCCUUUAUGAAUAUAAGACAAAUUACAUACAAUAGUCUUAUUUCUAACCAUUAAGUUAUUUGAUUAAAAAAAAAAGAAUACUAAUUUUACCAAAAGUUUAUUUUAUUUUAUUUUUUUGACUUGCAUCUUUGUCCAUCGUUAUUAAUAAAAAUAUAAUGACUUGAGAGUGAUCUACAUAGUGCUACUAAUUCUUUUGGGUUAUAACAUAGUUCUACUAAUUAGAUGGUAGAAUUAGAAAGAAAAUAAGUAUUUGUUUUUUAACAAAAAGAAGAAGAAAAAAAAAACUAAUAAUAAUAUAUUUAUAAUGACAAUCAUUUUUGCAUAAAUUAAUGGGACACUUGUUAUGAGUUUUAUGAUAUAUCUAUGUAGUGAGAGAGAAGUUAUUGUUACCAUCAGCACUUGUAGCACUAAUCAAUUUAAGAGCCACAUUACGGCCUAAGAAGGCAGUAGCAGUGUCAAGAACAGUACCAACAGCACCAAAGGCACCACCAAUGGCACCACCAAUUAUACCACCAACUGGGUUACUUUUAAUUGAAGUGAGUUCAUUCACAUCUAACACAUUCUUUUGCAUCAACACCACAGUUCCCUUUAACUUUUCACCCCUGUUGAUGAUACCUGUAAUUCCUGAAAACAUUUUUGCUACUUUUGAUUUGGACAAUGAGAGAAAUGCUUGUGGCUUGCUCACUUCUAUGGAAGUGUUCACUAUUUAUAGGACUAUACAAGAUAUUUGGAUAAUUAAUUUUUAUUUAGAUCUUUCUUUUUGAGUCACUCAUUAUACACCACGUGCUAAACACUCUCCAGCCAAACCUCUCGUGGUAUAUAAAAUAAUAAUAUAUUCAUUCUAUCACCUUGAUUGGAGAUGUAUCUCUUUCAACUAUUUUUCUAUACAUUAUAUUUUUCUCAUUUUUCUAUAUGUAUUUUAUACAUUAUAAUAUAUUAAUAUAUUAGUAAUAGUAUCAAUUGAGACAUUCCAUAUUUGGAUACUUAAAUGGGUCACACAUGCGCAUAUCAUUAAUUUAUAAAUUUUUUAAUAGUAGUAAGCAUUCAAUUCCUCCAACUAGCAUCUCACACAAAUUUUUUAAAUAGGACCUACUAAUCAACUAUCAAUAAUUUUAUAUCAUUAUAUUUUAAUUUUUUAAUAUUAAACUAGUGUGGGUCCCGUUUAGGAUUAGAGGUCUUAAGUGAGACUAUCGGUCUUAUAAGACUUGGAAAAAAAAAAUUCUCCAAAGGAUAUACCUAAUAUAUACCGGAUUUUAAAUGUCUAAGACUCUCCUAUUAGAGAUGGUCUAACAAGAUAAUUUGGUUAAAAUAGUUAAUGAGCACCAUUCCAAAACCAAUUAUUUGGAAGAAUUUGAUUUGAUUUUUAGAUAAAACACAUUCUUAGUCAUGCUAUAUUUCCUUCACCACCAAACUUUAUAUUAUCGGAUUAUGAAUUCUGUAAAAAUUGGAGGGUUAACACCAAAUAUUAUUUAGUUUUCCUUUAUCUUGUUUAAAUUGUUAAAAUUUGCCAAUGAAAGAGACGUUGAAAUUGGGAGUGAAUCACUGAUUAGUCUAAAAAAUUGUAGGGCGUAAUAACAAAAAAAAAAAAAAACAAUCACAUUAGUUUGCGUGAAACAUUUCAAUUUCAAUAGCUAAAUAAAGUAAUUUCGAUCAAUCAUCUUAUCUUUUUUUUUUUUUUGGUACAACAAUCAUCUUAUCUUAUUUAUAGAUUUUGAAAUAUUAAUAACUUUGAUGAUUGUGUUUGUCAAAACCCUAUAAAUUCAAAAACUGGAAUCAAACUAAGAUAUCACGAUUUUCGAUUAUGUAAAAGUUCCACUUUAUAGCUUUUACAAGAUUAUGAUGGAUCACUAUGAUUUUGAUAAACUCACUUUGAUAAAUCAUGCAUUAAAUUUAUAAUUCUAUUUUAGUAUAUAGCUUGUUAAAAUUUGUAUAGAGUUUUUGAUAGAAGAAUGUAAAUAAUUUACGAAGAGCUAUAAGUUGUCAGAUAUACGUUGAAUUGUCACAAUUUUAUUGAAAUAGUAGCUUUUGAAAAAUCUUGAUGACUUAACGUAAUUUGUAAAACUUUUUCUUUGGGUAUCUAAAUAUAUAUUUAUCUCAACGCAUCCGACAACCGAAUCUUUGAUCUCACUUUUCCUUAGUUUUUUGUUUUGAACGUAAAAUCACCUUCCUAUACAAUCUUGCUUUAGACUAUUUUCUUGUUAGCAUAUCUAAGUACUACGAUUUAUUAUUAUAUACUCCCAUAUAUAAUAUAAAAAAAAUUACUAUUUAUUAUAUACUCCAAUAUAAUCUUGUUUUAUACUAUUUUCUUGUUGGGUUGGCCCAGUCUUUGGUUGUGCUCAAUUUCUUAGAAAGUUCAUGAGCUUUACAGAGCCAACAUAUAAUAAAAAGUGCAUAGAUUGUUUUAAAAGUGCUAUAUUAUAUUCAUAGGUUUUAUACAGUAAACAUUAUUUUAAUACUUGCAGUUGCCAGUUAGUAGUAAGACAAAAUUUCUAUGUUAAAAUAUUUUUUAUUUGUAUCAUACAUGGAAAAAUGUAACAAUUUUUUUUUAAUGGCAUAUAUAACGAGAAACCUCGGUAUAGACAUAUACAAAUUGUUAAGAUAGUUGGAAGUUAUUAGAAGUUAUGUGGAGUUAGUUAGUAGUUAGACAAGAGUUAGUAAUCAACUAUAAUUAGUUGAUAAGUAAACUAGAGUUAGUACCUUAGUUAAAAGUUAGUUAGAGGUAGUUACUCAAACUAAUCUCUAUAUAUAGGAACACUAUUGUAAUCAUUCAUCAUCUUUUAAUCAAAUCUAUUCACUCUACAAUGAGUUUCUUUGAGUAUCUCUCACAUGAGUACUCUUAUGUUUGCUAUCUUACUUACAUCUAUGACUUCUCUCCUUAUGAUUCCAUGAUUCUUAACACAAAUAACGAGUAGAAUAAGCAUUUUAGUCAAACGAUGACAAAACAAAUGAUACCUACUAAAAAUAAAAAAUAAAAAACAAGAGUGGAAAUUAAUACAUCAUCAAUACCAUAGGAUCAUCCAACCUCAAACGAAUAGGAGGAAUACAAGUAACAGAACCAUACAGUCAACCAACUCAUAUAUGAAUCUAUCACAUGACGCUGCCAAUGUCAACAUAUAAUGGAUUCCUGAUCCCGCUAAUAGAAUGAACAAGUGUGGCCACAAUGUUUCCUUGAAAACCACUUCCAAGAGGUUAAUUUAACCUUAUCCGCCAACUGGAGCACUAAUGACUUCUGUCCCCAAAAAGAUGUGAGCUUUAUAGGAUCUCCACAAGGACUACACAUCAAUUUUGGAGACUAAUAAGAAGCAUAACCUGUAAUUCUUCACAUCACUUAAGUCAGACAGAGUACUAAGAAGACUUGUUAAGUAUGGAGGUAAAACAAACUCUCCCCCCAACCACCUAAGCACACGAUACCACACCUGACUUAAAAAAUGACAUCUAGCAAAAAGGUGACAAACCAACUCUACAAGCUCAUUACAUAAAAUCUUAUGAUAGUAAUAAAAUAAGAGGAGAAGAUUCUAAAGAACGAGAAGUUAGAGAAAAAUUGUUGUAAAAGAACACUAAAAUCUUCUCUAACAAGCACCCAAAAUCAUUUAAAGAAUGAGAAGUUAAAACCACCCAAACCUAAACUCUUAUUACAACAAUUUAGGUCAUCUUCGAUGUUAUUUCCUUCCGAGUAAAAGAAACACGCAUAACACUACUAUAUAUAUAUAUAUAUAUAUAGAUGGAGUUUAAACUCAUAGCCCUCCAUUAGAGUCCUAUGAUAGUUAGAUUCAAAAAAUUAUCUUGAAAAAAAAAAAUUAACCACCUUUUUCAUAAUACCUGGCACGUCCUCUACUUGAGAUUUUCUAUAUAACAAAGACAUGAUGGAAUUCUAGCAUCUGGAACAUCAAGGAGGACUCUCACACCUCCUCAACUUUUGUUCUUGAGUACGUUUUAUUUCUCUUUUAUUACGUAGUUUGUUAUCAUGAGUAACUAAACACCUUUUGAUUAAGAUUGUAAGAUGAAUCUCUAUUUAUUCAUUGAAUUUAUUAAUGCAAGGUGUUUAUUCAGUUAUGAUUUAAGUUAUAUUAUAUUUUCAGAUGUUUCUUGCUUAAUGCUUUCCUACACUAAGGAGUGUGUCAUACCUAGCCUGCAGUCUGAACUUAUAUUAGGGUUGAAAGCUUAGUCUUGCUUUGAUCAAAAGUGUUACAUGUGAACUUUAUUCUAAUGUUUAGAAUUUAUUAAGGAUAAUUAAGGUAUGUGGCUAUAUUCUAAUAUUUGUGUGCAAUGUGGUUCCUCUUAUGACAAUUUAAAAAAUUCAACAUUAGUCUCAAUUGAAUUUCCGGUGAGAGUGUAAGUCACCACUAUAAUAACUAUACCAAUUUGUACAAAAAUACAAAGGGGUAAUGACCCUUUACCAUAUUGCAUAUAUGACCUUGAAGGCAACGAGGAGCAACUCGGUCACAAUGCAAUUAUUAUCAAGCAUAUUUAUAAUGCAUAUCACAAAUAUAAAGAGUAUAUUAGGGGUCCAAGAUCAUAUAAGAAACAUCUCAAGAAAUGUUUGAUUGAAGAUAAGUAUAUGUAUAACUAUAGAUAGGUUGCUAGUUUUGAGAUAGUCAAAGAUAUUUUUGUUGGUGUAAGCUCUAGAGACCAAUAGUUUACGUUAAAUUUAUCUUAUGUAUCAUAACUUUUAUUUAUUAAAUAAUAUAUGACACUCUUUAUUAUAUUUAUAGUAAUGUUAAUAAAGUCCUUAUAAUAGAUAGUUCGUGUAAUAAUAUAUUAAGUGUGACUUAAUGAGAUUACAUUAUCAUAAAUAACACUAUUCUUAAAUGUAUUCGUAGUCAAGCUUUAAUAUGAAUUAGGAUAAUAAUAAAGCGUCGAGACUAUUAUACAUAGGUAUAAAUAUUAGGAGUAAUAUUUAUACUAGAUAGACCCACCGUGAGAAUACUACAUAGUAAGUUAUGAGAUUGUCAUAAGAUAUUCUCACAAUGAUAAUAGUGUAUAUCGCUCUAAGACCUGAAAUCACUAUGAUCCCUAGAUGUGGACUCAAGUACUUUGUUGUCAUUCUAACGUUGUCUGUAAAAGGAUAACCAUAACGUUGGUUGAUGGGUACUUGAUGAAUCAUGCUGAGGGACAUGAGUGUCCUAGAUGAGAUUUGUCCCUCCUCAUAAACAGGAGAUAUAUCUUUAGGCCUCUUGAUGAAAUAUGACUGUAAAAUUGCAUGGUCAUGCCGGACUAAGUCAAUAUGAGAUAUUGGACUUAUUCGUUAUUUAGUAUAUUUCGGAAUCAAGAAAUAUAAACAUUGAUCCAUACAAGGGUGACAAUAUCUAUGUCUUGGGAUCAAUAAAGAUAUCGAGACAAAGGAGUAAUUUUACACAUAAUUAUUAUCAUGAAAAAGGUUUCGUCAGAUCACUUGACAUUCUUGUCACUUAGGUAGCAAUGAUGUGUUGCUAGAUACCGCUCAUUGUUUAUAGUAUUAAAUAUUAGAUUUAAUAUUAUUGCCAACGUGACUAGAACCUAUAGGGCCACACACAAAGAACAGUCAAAAGAGAAAUAUAUAAGUAUUACUUAUAUAAGGGGAGCGUUUAGUAAAUAACGUUAAUUAGUUAGCAGAAUUACUAAACAUGUUAUUGGGCUUACUGAAACCCAAUAGUGGCUUCUGACUUGAAGAGCACACAAGGAGUUCUAUAAAUAGAACCCUAGUGCUGAAGUUUGAUGUUGCACGUUUUUGAGAAACCCCAACUCUCUCAAACUUCUGAUUCUUUGGCUACCACCGAGUUUUAAAAGAGCACUCUUCGUGUGGACUUGCUAGAGGCUUUGCUGCAGGUAACAAUCGGAUCACUGAUUCAUGUGUAAUUCGUAAUGAUCCAAGGAAAGAAAAUCGAAAAUUUUAUCCGCUGCUUAUUCUAUUUUGAAUUCAAUUUUCCUUCAAUUUUAUGGGUCCAUCCAAAUUUCAUCAGAUUGCUUAACACUUUUCCUAUUGUGGUCAGAUAGAUUCCAAUUAUAUAACUAAUAAACAUCGACAAUAGUUGCUUGAGUGUGUUAGUGUCACUUCUACCGUUCACGUACUUUAUUUAAUUUUUUUUUUGUAUGGUGUACGAGAAGGAAAACAAUGUCGAGCUCUAGAGACGUGUCAUGAUCAUUGAAAUAUCUAAAUAAUGAUCCGAAGAUAAAUGUGAUUAACUGAGACACUUCUAUGAUGAAUGAUGUUGUCCCAAUUUUUCCUUACUAUAUUGUUGUAUUGUAGUGGUACCACAUCUAAAACAAUGUCAUACAAGAUGUAGGACAUAUUACGAAAGUGACAGAUAUCAAAUCUAAAGGUGGGAAUGAGAUGAGAUCAAAUCCAAAGAUGAAUGUGAAGCUAUACUGGAGUCUUGGUCGAAGAAAACAUAAGUUAGUAUGUAUAAACUUUCCAAAAAAAUUGGAAUAUGUGGAAGGUACUAUAUAUAUUUGGGUUGGUGAAGAAGAAAGGGGUAAGAGCUUGGACAGAUUAUGACAUUCAUAUUGGAAAUACAACGACAAACAAGGUUGAAUUUGCUCAUAGUUAGUUAAAAAAGAAUCUAGCAGAUAAUAUGGUGAUAUAUGUAAAAAUUGGGUUUCAAAUAACACGAUAGCACACUUAGAUACAAGUCUAGUUUGAAAAGAACAUGAUUUCAAUGGAACACAAAAGAUGUAAAAAUCAUGUUCAUAUAUAUAAUCUGGAAUGGGUAAACACACCUCUAGGUGUGUAGGACUUCGUUCCUCUUCUGCUCUGGUACUGGGGUGUUCAAAUCAUACAAAAGGUUAAUACAAAAGUUGCACACAAAAAUGAGCAAUACAAAGGUUCUGUUCAGAAGGAUCAUUUUGAACGGUCAAUUAAAUUAUUACCGUCUUUUUUUUUUAGCAUGUUGACUCUUUGCAUCCAAAUACAUCAGUUUCACAGUUGAAGUCAUCAUGUUCAUGUAAAAAUAGUGUGCAUGCUAUUAACUUGUCCUAAUCCUACUCCAAACCUAAAUGAGUUGCCUCGAUUCAUUUAUCGGUUUAUUAAAAUUGUCGUGAAUGUCGAAGGUGGUGGUAAUUAUGGAUUACAUGUUGUUUCUAGUCUUCUUGGUCAGUCUGGUGAGUCUCAUUCUAUUAUCUGUCUUAAUAUUACACGAAGGUUAAACAAUGCUUAAAAACAUAGCCUAAUCCUUCUUGAUUAAAUCUUGCAUUUUAUGAAUGCCUCUUAAAGUUUCAUUUUCUGCUAUUAAAAACAUGCAGGGGUGUGUGGGAAGGGGUGGGUAUACGAAAUUUUCUUUAAAACAAAAAAAACUAGUAACGUUUGAAACAAGUGGACUAAUUUUUUAAAAGCCCAGAACACUCCAUUGUUUUAGAAGGAAAAAAAAAAACUUUCUCAACCAUUUUUUGUCGUAAAUUACAAUUAGUUUGAACACUUAGCUGUUAAAUUUUUGGGUCUCGCUAAUCAUUGCCCUCAGAGCAAUGGUUAAGGAAGACAAAAGUAGUAUCUUUGCAUUGGUUUUAACAAUAUUUUAACUUUUAAAAAGUUAAAUUUAUAACUUUUUACCAUUUUUCAAUGCUAUAUUUUUAUUUUUAUUCACUUAUUAGCAUCUUAUUUUGGUUUAAUUUUUUGGUUUAAUUCUUGAACAAACAUGUCCUUAAUUUUAGCAAAUUAAAUUAAAUUAAACUAUAAAUAUACAUGUAACUUUAAAAUAAGAUGCUACCUUCAAAAAUUAAAAUAAAAUAAGUUGGUUUGUUACCAAAAAAUAAAGUAGACAGAAGUGCAUGUUAGUUAAACCAGCAUAUAAAAGUCUUAAACUAUGAGAGUUAACAUAAAAACCACAUAUUACCAAGUUUAUCAGACCCCUUGAAAACCACGGAUUACCAGGCCUCUAAAAAUCGAAGGAUUAACAUAAAAAUAACGUGAUAAUAUAUUUUAAAUAGGCAAAUGCUAUUUUAUGUUCUAAAGAUAAAAAAAAAAGUUGAACUUUGCCCAUUGAAUAUUUUUGUAUAGUUAAAAAUUGUUAUUUUUAAGACAUAUUCCUUCCCCUUUCAAAAAGAAAAAAGGCAUACUAUUUCUGACUACUAGUACAAGCAAAUUUUGUCUAAUUCAAAUUUUUUUCUCAUAGUUAUAAACAAUAGAUUGGACUGGACAGAAAUGAAUAAUUUCUAUUGGUUGAUUGUUUAAAAUGUGUUUUAUGGACACAAGUGAACAAAACUUCUUAAAAUAAAGAAUGGGAAAAAUGUGAUUUAAUCAUGGAGGACCAUAAUUGUUAUAUGUGAUGACAGGCAACGUUCCAGAUGAAGAAAAUUUGAAAUAUAGAAUAACUUAUAAAAAUGGGGCAACGUGCUUCGCGAGGAGGAAUUUUAUAAUAAUAUGAUUCCUUCAAGAGCAGAUAGAGUUACUAUGAUGACAUAAUGAUAGCAUCAAAGUUUUUUUUCUUAACCAAAAUGACUUUCAAUAGCUUCAAGUUAAUUUCGUUCGUAAAAGAAAGCUUAAGAUUAAUCUUUUAUUGUAUGAAAAAAUGACAUCAAGCUUUUUGAUGCUUGACAUAAAUCGGUCACAAUACCACACACGCUAUCACCACCACCACUCACCAUGUUGAAGGUAGGCACCGCAACGGGAUGUAAACGGUUUUUGCUUUGUCCAUCGCUAAAUUUGAUAGAGUUCGGGUUUUCUCAUACCCACCUCGAUCCUCAAGAAAGGUGAAAAAUAGAACCUCAUACCUAUUUAAGUUUGGGUAUUUUCAUCUUGUCAAAUAAAAAGUUUGGGUAUAUCCGUAUCAUCCUCAAAUGAAUUUGCACUAUAUUUUGAUACUUUUUAUUUAAGAAAAAAGUAAAAAAUAAAAAAAAAAAUCCAAGUUUAGGUUUGGAUUUUCUAAUUUCAAAAAACAAUGCGGAUGAUACGAGUUUUAAUUUGGGUUUUCCACUUUAAAAUUGGUUCAAACGAGUACUCAUAAUUAUGAGUUAUGUUGUCAUGCUUAGUCGAAAGGAGAAAUUUACACACAUAAAAAUUUACGCAAUUAUUAGUUAUGAAAAGCAAAAAAAAAAGUUUUUUUAUUGAAUUAAGGGAUGACAAUAAUAACAUCGAAAUAUAUAAAUACUUCAAUAUCUUGAUCAUUUGGUUGAGUGGUAAUCUAUUAUUAUGAAUGGUGCAAGUGUUAGAAAUAUUAUUCUCUUAAAGAAAAUUAAUAAGAGUUUGAUUAUUUUUUUGACGGGGAAUACGAGUUUUAUUUAUGAAAUUAUUCAUUUGAGAAGUAGUUCAACUCUAAUAGGAAAAAUACGUCUCACUAGAAUUAGUUUCACAAUGAGAAUACAUUGCAUUACUAGAAACUAUCGAUUUACCUGCGGGUAUCCUUGCGGAAAUUAAUCUGCAGGAAUACCUAAAGAUUUUCCUACACUUUUCUUUGCAUUGAGGACAUUUUCUCUGGAUCCUGUCACAGCCAGAAUAUUCGCAGGAAACUGUAAUUUUUGCUGGGGUUUUUCCUGCGGAAGAUUUUGGAAUAUUUUUGUCACUUUUCCUGCGGAUUUUCCUACGGAUUUGUUUAAUGUAAUGGAUCCUGUUCCAGCCAGAAUAUUCGCAGGAAACUGUAAUUUUUGCUGGGGUUUUUCCUGCGGAAGAUUUUGGAAUAUUUUUUGUCACUUUUCCUGCGGAUUUGUUUAAUGUAUCCAAAACGUCAAUUGUUUUUAAGUAGGACCGGAGGGAGUAUUUUUUUUUGUUUCUUCAUGGAAUGUUCUUUUUUGGUGUGUGCAAGAUCAAUUCAAUAGUUUUCUCUUUUUUACUUAAAAUAGGUACAAUAGGUUCCUUGCAACAUUUAAAAGCGGAAACGGUAAAAACAAUAUUGAUGAAUGCUCGUUGUAAAAAAUGCAAUUGCGCAUAACAGCUGAAAUCGUGGUUGGGACUAUCGAUUGGAUACCUUCAAACAUCAACUUUUUACGAGUGCACCAUAGAUUCCGUAUUAUGAUAGGAGCGACACCCUAUCUUACUAAUUAACAUUUGUAUGAUAACUCCCAUAUUACUCAAACAGUUAUUAGCGAACAACAAUUAUUAUCUCCACCAAAAAACCUCUGCUAUUUUUAUCGGUCAAUACGCAUAUACAGUAUCAUAGGUUGGUUUUAGAUCGACCUUUUUGGUCCUUGGAUGAGCACCUCAUUGUCAUAAUGGUCCCUAACUCAAGAGAAAACAAGAAAAAUUCCCUGACUCCAAAAUUUGUUAACCACUUUGGUCUCCGACUUUAGAUUUGGCUGUUAACUCUACAAAAAAACUGAGUUUUUUUUUUUUUUUAGACAUGUAAGCUGUGAGGUGGCAAUAGUAACCAAAAUGAAAGAGCAUCCUUCAUCUCUUCCAACAAUACAAUUUAUCUCAUCUUCCUCGAUGUAAUGUGCGAGUUGAACAUUUCAAUAAAAUCUUUCUGAUUUUUAUUCCUUAACUAGUAGAGCACUUAUUGGGGCUUGCCUUUUGAAAAUAUUUUUUUUUUAAGAAGUUAAAUUAACUCAUCCAAAUUGGUUUCAGAGGGAAUCGAAUCUGAGACCUUGCGGAGGAGCACACUCCUAAGUCCCAAGCCAAUACCACCAGGGCAACCCAAGUGGGUUCCUUUUGAAAAUGUCUUUCUUGAGGUUUUCUUGUUUGUUGUAUUCAUUUUCAAUAAUUUGUAUGCAACUAACACUAAAAUGCCGAAAUUGUUAGGCCGGAUGCCAUGACCGGGGUUCGAACCCCGGUCCUCCACUUGUGUGUGUGAGUUUUAUAAUGGCUUUGCCAUUUCGUCUAUCUACCAAAAAAAAAAAAAAAAAGAAAGUAUGUCAUACACUAGAACCAUUUGUUUACAUGUUUGUUUCAAUUUCUUUUUUGUGAUCUUCGGAUUAAGGUUUUAUGAUGGGGAUAAUUGAUUUUGUCUGUUAUCCUAUUGAUAAUUGUUACUCUUUUUUUUUAUUUUUCUGGGUUAAAGUGAGGAAAAUUGAGAAAGAUGAGAUGAAUGAUGUUGUUGGAAGAGAUGGAUGAUGUUCUUUCAUUUUGGUUCAUGUUGUUAUAUCACAGCUUACAUGUCUCCAAAAAUAUGUCAACUCAGCUUUUUUGUGGAGUUACGGCCAAAUCUAAUGUUAGAGAUCACGGACCAUUAUAACAGUGAGUUGCAUAUUCAUAAACUAAAAUGGUUGUUUACCGUCAUUUUAAUGAAAUAUAAUUAUUUUAUUUUUAAUUUGUUUCUUUCUUAUGUUUUGUUCUAUGCUUAUUACACAAUUUGUUUGAUAGUGAUUUAUUGAAUUUGAAACUUUUAAAUAGAUAACUUUUUUCUUAAAGAAGUAAAUUGAUAACUUACCAAUCAUCUUCAUUUUAUUUUCUUUGACGAAGACUCAUCAACCCUGUUAAUCAAUGAAUUAAUAAAUAUUUGGAUGACAUGGCCAUUUAUUGAAGAUUGGUACUAUUUAUUUAAAAUUAUUUUACUUUCUUUUUUUAUUAAUUGAGAGAAUUAUUUUACUUUCAUUUUAUUCCUCACAUGACCCUUUUUUUUUUUUUUGAAGGUCCUCACAUGACCUAUUGUUCAUUUAAUUUUUUUGUAUUUAUUUAUUUAUCUCUCUUACAUAAUAAAAAGUUUUGUUGGUUCCCUUCAAAAAACGACCAUGUGAAUGUAACCAAUGUGGUUUCUGAACGAUCACAUAUUUAGUACUCUAAAUUUGUCACGACCAUGUAACCAAAUCUAUCGUAUCAUUCAACGUGGCUUUUAAACUUGGUUUAAAAAACUUAGUACCAAAAACCGAACGUGACAGAUUUGGUACUCUCAAAUAAGUAUGAGAUCGUUUAUAAAAUUAUUUUUACUUUUUAAUAAAUAUUUAAUUUUCAAGAAUGAUAAUUUGUAAAAUACAUUAUCUUUUUUUUUCAAAAAGAAAUACUCUCUCCAUCCCACAAUGAUAAUGGUGAAUAUACCAAUAUUUUACAAGAGCAUUUAAAACAAUUUUUCUGUCUCAUUCACUUAUACAUUUUUUUUAAUAUACGUAAAAUGAACAAAUAACUCACUUAAUUUGAGACGGAAAGAGUAUUAGCUAAUAUUAAACAAAAUGUAUACACCAAUAUUUAGCGUUAAAAGCUUCUUAUAACUAGGAUGAAUCUCAUAAAUCCAAUUCACCUUUAAAUAAGUCUAUCGUUAUCAUCUACUAUUUUUUUUUUCUUUUUAAAAUACUCUCUCCAUUCCUAUAUGUAAGCACCCUUUUAUUAGAGAUAAAUGGUGCUUACAUACGGAUGAAGUAAUACACACACUUUUUCUUGUAAUAAUAUUAUUGAUAUUUGAUUAAAAAAAUUGAUUUUUACCUGACUAAUCUUGGAUGAAAUUAAACCUAUUACCUGACUAAUCUUGGAAGAAAUCAAACCUAUAACCAAGCCUUUAUCUUUAGUAUGAAAUUUUCUUUUCACGUCCAAACAAAACUUGGUGGGCUAGGGCAACUAAUUAGACCACGUGCAAAACAAUCCACGUCACCGGCCAACUAAAAAUGGUCCAAAGAAAACAAAUUAUAUAGUAUAGGACAGUUUCUUAAAAAGAUAAUGAUAUACUGUAGUACAAUGUUCCAGAGCUGAUUUAAUUAUUUAUAGAAGGAAAAAUUAUCAUUUGUUGUCUUAUCAAAAUGUGUCAUGUUCGGUUUGUCCUUUUAAGUUGAAAGGAGCUUAUUAUCUUCAUUUUUUAAUUUAAAAAAAUAUCCAAACUGUAGCCAUGAGGGAAACGAGGUGGGGACCACCCAACUAAAAGCCAUAAUAAAUCAAAGUUUUCACUUCUUGGAGGAGACCUUUUUGGUAUAUACUCAAUAACUUCUCUGCAUAAAUGUAAAGAUUAAUCAAUUAAUUGAAUCGGAUAGAAUAUAAAUUAUGUAAAACUUCUUUUUCAAAAAAUAUUAAACUAUAUCAUUAUUCCUUUAAAAAAAAAAAAUUAAACUAUAUUAUUCUCAAAUUUAGAUCUAAACUCUUGUGUUCAUAUAAACUUAUCUCAAUUGAUAAAGAUAAUACAUAAUAUAUGUAAGGUCUGGGGUUCGAACUCCGAUACAACCAAAAAAAAAUCUAAACUCUUGUGAUAUGACAUCUGACUAUUUUUUUUAAGUGUAUAUAUAUAUAUAUAUAUAUAUAUAUAUAUAUAUAUGUGUGUGUGUGUGUGUGUGUACAUUUGCCUCAUGACAUAUGAUUAUUAGAAAUUACACAUCUGUUUUAUUUAAAAAAAAUAUUUAGACAUAAAUAAGACAGAGUCUUUCCCCUAAAAAACAAGAAUGAGACUUAGUUAGUGAAGCAAUAUUAGUCCGACAACAAAAAGUGUGUAAAUAUUAGCUCAUUCAUUAUUUAAUAGAAGUUGUAAAACAUAUGUUGCAAAUAUAUUUUACACAAAUAAUGAAUUAAAGAUAUACUUCAAGGUCUCAAAUUAACAUCAUAUUGUCAAUUUAAGUGGGUUAAACAUUAAAUGAUAUGAUAAACAAUUUAUUAGUUUUUUUAAUAAAAAAUAUCAACAAUUUAUUAAUAUUUACUCAUCUUUUCGGAUUUAAACCCAAAACAUUCAACUUUAUAACUCUUAGUUCGAAGCAAUUGAAUACACAUGCAAUAAUUUAAAGUGAUAGUACAUACACAUAUAUAAAGUUUUAUUUGUUUUGUGACCCUCAAUUCUUAUUAUAAAAAAAUAUUUGCACUCAUUUUUUAUUAAUAAAUUAAUUUCAGUAACGGAAUCUAGGAGCCACAUAAGUUAAGAACUAGCACGAUGUAUGGAAUCGACGAUGAUGAGAUGAGAUUAUUUAUAUUAUUGAGCAUCGUGAUAAAUGUUGUACUUGCUACUGUGCUUCAUAUCAUUUUCCUCACCCCACAUCACAUGCUUUGUUUUUAUCCAUCCACCACCUUCAUGCAAUUAUUUGGACGUGGAAAGAUACUAUAUGAAAAUAAUUCAUAGACAUCCAUGUCUAUUCUCAAUGAAAGAAAGAAGAUGAAAAGUAAAUGAUAUGAUGAAAAGAGAAAGACAUCUUCAGAGAAAGAUCAUAUCUUAUAAAUAAUUUUUUUUUUAACUUGUAAAACAUAGAUAAAAUAAGAGAAAUGAUAUUUGUACAACUAUUUCUUUACAACUUUUGUGACAACUUUCUCUCUCAUACUCACAUUAUAUUUUUACUUUCUCUCUUUCUUGCUUUGAUUUUUGUGUCAAUACAUACUUUUCUUUGUAAAAAUAUGGUUGUCAAUUUGGUUGUCAACCAAGUUGAUGUUCAAAUAACAUUGCUUAUAAAAUAACAAGUAAAGAUGUGAUUUGAUCUCUACAAAAAAAUUCGUCACUCAAUUUAGUCUUUUACAAAAAAUAAUAUCUAAAUUAGUCCAUCUAUAUAAUAAAUCAGAAAUUUAUUUAUUAUUCAUAUAAAGGUAUCAAGGACUAAAUUUUGUUGAAAAAAAUUAUGAGGGAGCAAAUUGAGUAUUUACUCUAAAAUAAAUACAAUUCUUUCUUAUAAAAGAAGGAAUCAAACAAAUACACGUUCCUUUCAUAUCCAUCUAUAAUCUUUAAUCUUUAUUUUAUAUGUCUUACAAGUUGCAAAACAACAAGUAUUAUUUAUGAGAAAUGAUCUCAAGAAAAUUCUGUCUUCAGCGUAAAAAAUGUCAACAGUUGUUGCAUGCUACAAUGGUCACACAUUUUUGUAGCACUAACAUAAGCUUCUUUUUUUAAGUAUAGUUGUAACAUAAGCUUAAAUACAUUUUUUAUUUUAGUAAAUAUAAUAUAAUCAGUAGUUGAGACUGACAGUUCCUUUCAUUUAUGUGUGAAGACGUGGUUCUCUUAAUUUACUUUUUAUAUAUUUGUCUCUUAACUUGUUGUAUGUGUAGGUAUUAUUAUUAAUAUAUUAAGAUCUUAUGAGAUUUGAUAUAAUAUUGCCGCGGAUUAAAUAUGAACAAAUAAUUUUUUUUUGACAGGGAAGCAUGAACAAAUCAUAUUAAAUAAGUUAUUAGAUUAUAUUAUCCAUUCUUAUAUGCUUGUGCAAUUAUGCUUUUGACACGUACUAUUAUUAUUCUUUUCAUUAAUAGUACAAUUUUUGGCUUUUGCAUUAUUGUACUAUACUUUCCCAUUUAAUUAUCGAUCGAUCUUCACAAGAGAAAAUAGUAUUAUAAUUCCCAUGCGAGCCACGCUAUGAAUAAACAAUUCAGUUAUCUUGGGAGCAAUGUGAACAAAAAUAAUCAAUUGUCGUUGUUCAACACGUCAAGAAGCUUUCUCUUUAUUGGUCCAAGCUUAUGUACACGUACUUAUCUAAAAUCAAGAAUGCUUUUUUUAUAAUUGAUUAAUUAUGGCACGUUCUCUGUAUAAAAAAAAAAUAGUUAUAGUACAAACAACAUAUAAUAUAGUGGAAACGGGUGUAUGUCAUUUCAUAAUCAAGGUGAGGUGGAUCUGAAUUUCUACCCAAAAUCAACUCCAAAAUUGGUCGUUAUUUCUUCAACCACUUCGGCCACCUUUGAAGUUUUGCCGGUAACUUUUUACACAAGGUUAAAUGUACCGCCUUCCGGUCGAUCAUUGUUAUAAACAAAAAUCACUAUUUUAGAUUUAUUCAUUAAAUCAUAUAUAUGUUUUAUAAUAAAGGUCAUAUAUAUAUAUCAUUAGUUGAAUGAUAUAUGUAUAUAUUAUUUUGCACAAUUCUUAGAAUUUUGUCUUAGGCAUAACAUAAUUUUACAAACUUAUAAAGUGAGAUUUAUCUUCACUUAAAAAUUUUGAUAUCAUUUCUCAUGGAACUCUUAACAACCUCUUGAUUCAAGACCAAACAUCUCAAACGUGAUCCAUAAUGGUUACUAAUACAAUGAUGAAUGUAGAAAUUUCAACUGAUAUGUGUAAGAUAAGAUUAUAUAUACGAUAAUUACUUAUACACAAAAUCAAUCAAUUCAUGAACGAUAAAAUUAAAUAAUGACAUCAUUAUUACUAAAAAAUGAUAUUACAAAUAUUACAAUAUCCUUGUAUAUUACAAGAUAUUAAAGAGACCUUAACACAUACAAAUUGUAAUUUUCUUUUUUUUGAAAGAAUGUACAAAUUAUAAUUGUUUUCUACUUGUCUUUAUAUUUUGAAAAUGUUGAAGAAUUUUUCAUUUUUAAUACUAUAUAUCAAUGUCGCCAAGACUCAACUCUAAUAUUAAAAACGAACCCUAAAAAAAAUAGAGCUAAUAUGAACAAUUUACAAAUUAACAAAUAGAAAAUCUUACUUGGCAAUUAAAAUCAUAAAUUAACAAUAAGCAUUAUUUUAAUUUCAGUUUGUUUUGUUGAUUAUUUAUUGUUGACGUUGAUGGUGGAUGUGUGUAGGUUGGGUUGGGUCUAUCUUGUCCAUUUACUCUCUUUUUGUAUUAGAUGAUAAGUGCUAGGUUUGGACCUAUAUACCAUAAAUUUUAUGAUACACCUCAACAAUUAUGCUCCUAUCUCUACAAAUAUUUGAGUCCCCCAUAAAUUAGAGGUCCAACGUCAUAAAGCUUAUUGCACAUGCUUAUCAACAACAGUACUGAUACGUUGACACCCUCUCAUGUACAACUCACACAACCACUCUCUUUCUCUCUCAUCUCCAACUUUCUCUCUCACUCAUCAUAUGUUCCCAGAACCUGCUUGUUGUGCUUUCUUUCAAUCAUCUCUAUUUCUCUCUCCCUACAUGUUGAUGGUCAGAUCGGUGGUGGUGGUGGUUAGAUUUGUGGGUGAAGAAGUCGACGGUGGAAGUGAGAUCUAAGGAUAAGAACAAAGACGAUGGUUUUUAUGGCGGGGAACGACAAUGGUGGACGUACGAGGUUGAAGGCAGACGAAGAUUGUUAGAUCUGACGGUGAGGGUGGUGCCGGUGAAGUUUGAGGGUGAUGACGGCGACGGUGGUGGUCAAAUCUUAAGGUGAGGACGACGACCGAACGAGGGUGGUGGAUGGAGGGUGUUAGAUCCGAGAGCAACGACGAUGGUGGUGAGCUUUGGGGUGAGAACCGCGUACGACGGCGGAUGGUCGUGGCCCGUGGUGGUGUCCGGUGAGGGAGAGAGGAGAAAAAGGGUGAUGGAAGAGAACGUGAGAGAUAUUACGACGUAGAUGGGGGCAGCGGUGUUGACAGUGGUCAGUGAGUGAAAGGAGGAGGAGGUAGGUGGUGGUGAAGAGGAAAGACAACCAGAAUGAAUUUAAAAAUAAAAUAAAAUGUGAAGUUACUAAAAUGCCCCUGCUAUAAGCUAUUACAAGAGUGGUACAAAUAAAAGGGUGUCAACCUAUAUUUUUCCUAUCAACAAUUAUACUCCUACUCCCACUUAUUUUUGACCAACAACCCGAAUCAUUCUUUUCAAUCUUUUUUUUUCUUUUUCUGAAGAAGCUAAAAUGAAAUUUAUUAAAAUCACAAUGAAUCCUAACCAGCACAAGGAGUGCUAGGCUAGGAGUCUUAUCGUAGCAACAUACAAAUGAUAGAUGGGGAGCCAUGAAAAACUCAUACACUCGUGCAUCUAAUAUAAAAUCCAAAAUAAUAGAUAGAAAACACCACUUACCAAAGGGCUAUCUCUAAAAUCAAUAAAAGGAAACACCAAAAACAAAGCUAACACCACAAUCAAAGACAAACCUUCGCACAACAACGUAAAAGUUGUACCAAAAUCCUCAAACAUCAUCACAACUGCCACAAAAACAACUUCCACCACGUACAUUUUGUUGCUUGCUCACAACCCUCGAACAACAACAUAAAAACCUACACAACAAUCAAUAACCUUUGAAAAACAGCCGGGAAGAAAACCCAAACAACACCAUUAACUCUCCUGAGCACUUUCAUCCAAAAAUACACCUCCCAAGGAACCACAAAAACCAAUCAAAAACCCUUAUACCAUCAUACAUCAAGAAAAAAAAACAUAACUACCAACAAAAGCCACUAGAAGCACCACCAACACCACAACAAACAGCACCACCACCGCCACCAAACUACUAUUAACCCUCAUCAAAAAACAACAACAGCCACCAUGAGCAUCACCACCAAAAACCACCACGAGCACCACCACCAAAACCACUUCGAGCACCACCACAAAAGACCCAAAAUCAGCCCCACCAUGAAAACCACCACGAAGUACCACAAACCAACACAAUCAAAGAUUCUUCGAAACCAUAACAGCUCAUAGGCGAACUCAUAUCUGAUCCAUCACCACCUUUGUGACCAAUCCAUAACCACCUAAGUUGCGAGCAAACAUAACCUCCAUCCACAACCAAGAGAGAAAUCAAAUAUCAUAUCAACCACUGCACAACAAAAGAAGAAAACUCAAGCCAUCAUAGUUGAACAACCAGAGAAACAGAGUUGUAUUACAAUUCACGACCCCACAAGAGGUUGACCGUCGGAACCACUGCCAAAACUGUCGUGCAGGACCAUCCACAGAUCUGGAGGUAGCUGAUGCGGAGGACACAAGCCGCUCGUCACACCACCAUAAACGACAUCUAGAUCUUAAGGAGAUAGAUUUUAUUUAUGGGUGGCGGCGACAAGAUUUGUGUCGUUCAUUCUUUUCAAUCUAGUUUAAAUUAAAGGGUAAUAAAGUAAUUUACUUAUAUAAAACACAAUUAAUUUCUUAUUUUGUUGGUACUCCUUCUUCCAUUUCUCUGCACUAAUUUUUUUUUAACUUUGCACUUAUUUUUUAUGGACUUUGCACACAUUUUUUCUUUUGACGAAAAGAAGUCGAAAACUUAAUUUUUUCGAUCAAUUCUUUCGUAAAAGUAAUAUUAAUAGUUUGUUUUUCUUAAAUUGUUUUUUAUUACAUUUUUUUGUGUGUGGGGUAUAAUAUAGUUAUUGUGGGUGACGACUUAAUUGCGUUAACAACAUUCUAGUUUUUUUUUUCUUGAAAAAAAGAUUAAAUGUUUAAAAAAAACAUAGAGUGCUUUAGAACACAACAAAUAUUAAAGAAACAUGUGCAGAAGACUAGUGACCUACUCAAAAAAAUAUGGUCGCAAAUGUUUGCAAUGGAAUUUGACCGCCGCAAAAGUAUAUUUGAUUUGGCGAAAAUCACUACAAAAUGUAAGGUUUGAAAAAACUGCUGACAUUUGCUUGAGCCAAAAUCCGUCAGAACACAUUUUCUUUUAAAAAAAUUGCUUGGGCCAAAAGCCUCCAAAAUUGUUAUUGUUUUUUAUAAAAUGUUUUUGCGUCAGUUUUUAACUAUUGUAAACACUUGCAGAUUUUUUUUAUAUGUUUUUAUAAAGAGAGAUGAUAUUUGUACAACCAUUUUAUGAUAAUUUUUGCAGCAAACUUUCUCUUUUAUACUCACAUAAUGUUUUUACUUUAUCUCUCUAUUGUUUUGAUUUUUGUGUUAAUAUCUACCUUUUUUUUUUGUAAAUUUAUGGUUGUCCCAUAAGUUGUCAAUCAAAUGGUCGUUCAAAUAACACAUCUCUUUUAUAAAUAUAAUGAGAAAAGUAAACAAAUUUUUUUCAAUAAAUAAAAAUUGUAUAUAGUAAAUCAAAUAUGUAGCAAAUAUAUGAAUAAAAAACAAUUUAAAACUAAACAAAUAGUAAAAGAAAAAAACAUAAUAAUUUAAAAUUAAAUGUGAAGAGUGAAAACUUAACAAAAAAUAUAGAAAAAUUUAUAGAGAAUGAUGGUAGAGAAAAGAAAGAUCUUUUUGAGGCGUAUAGAGAAGUAUAUAUUUUUUUUGAACAUUAUGCAUUUGUGGAGGCAUUUAUCUGUCGCAAAAUUCAAUUUUUUCCUGUCUUGUAUUUGCGAUUGCUUUUGUUCGCCACAAAACUUAUAUUUAAAAAUACAAUUCUCGUUUUACAUCUGCGACAGAUUUUAUCUCCUGCAACAUUCCUCUUCUUUUUACCCCUUACAUAUGCAACAAUUUUUGUGUGCUGCAAUGUUCAAAAUAAAUUCAGUCUUACAUUUGCUGCAAAUUUUGUUCACCACAAAAGUCGUUUUCUUUUGUCUUACAUUUGUGAGUGACUUAGAUCCGCAGCAAAUGUUUGGACGAAAAAAAAUCCCGCCACAAAUAUCAUUUAAAAAAAAAAAAAAUUAACCUUUUCAUUUGCAUGUGACCUUGGCCGCCGCAAAAUUGCGUGGGUCUUAUGCCCCCUCAAAUUUCAGCUGCAAAAUCUGUAUUUCUUUUAGUAUUUUCAUUCAAAAGAUCUUGAUGUGUCUUUUAUAAAAGUUAAUAUUAUAUUGGCUCAAAUAAUUAGUAGAUAACGCUCUACUUAAUGUAUGUGUAAUUUUUGUGGGCACUUCUACGGUGCAGUCAAGAAACUGACUUUUUUAAAAAAGUUGUUUUUUUUAGCCAAUAGAAUAAGUUGGUGGUGGACGGUAGCUGCUGUUUUUCGUCUUUUCUUGGUGGCUGUUUUCUGCUUGCUAACUGUUGUUCCUAGUUUAGGGGUUGUUCUGGCAGCAGCUGCUGCCUGUUUUCCUCUGGGCCAGCAACAUGUUGCUGUUGUUGGGAUCUUGUCAGUAGGCAAGAGUUUUAGCUUGUGUGGUGUGUGUAUGGGGUUAAGAUGUUGGCUUAUAUAUGGAACCUUUGUAAUUUUCCUUACGAUUUUGCAGCUUGUGCGUCUUGUACGGGUUUGCUUUUCAAUAAAAUUUGCUAAUUCAAAAAAAUAAAAAUAAAAAGUAAAAGAUUCAGAAUAAGGAUUAUGUUUGUGUUAGAUUUAUCAUAUUUUCACUUAAUUGUGUAUAUUCGACUACUUACUUGCAUUCGAAAAUACACAAAAAUCAAAUGACAUUAAAUUUGAGGUCGAAAUUUUGAAGUAAUUCUCAUGACUUCACCAGAAAAGUCAUUAUCAUGACUUCACCAUAGAAUUUUUCAAUUUUUGUUCGCACUAUAUUGUUCACUGACAAAUUUUUCUUAUUUAAAUGAACAAUAUUUGUUUGCAUUGUAUUUUUGGAAAAAGGACAAUAUUGCUUAUUUUUGAAAAAUUGUUCAUUUAACAUAAAUUUUUUGGAUAAAUUAAUUUAAAAUUGUCUCCGUAAACUUUAGUUCAGUUGGUAGGGACAAUGCAUAAUAUAUACAAGGGACAUGUUCGAAUCCCGAACACCCAGCUUCUCCGUAUUUAUAAUGUGUGAAUUCUAUCUACUAUACUACUUGACAAAAAGAAAAUGAUUUAUUUUAUGUGUAAUUUUUUUGGUAAUUUAACAACAUUCAUACCUUUUGUGCGGGUUUUUACCUUACCUAUUAGGUAUGAGUCCAAUUGUCAUUCAUAAUAAAAGUAUACGUAAAGAUCAAUAAUCAAACGGUCCUCGUGAGUUUAACUCAGUUGGUAUGGACAAUGCAUAAUAUAUGCAAGGUCCGGAGUUCAAAUCUCAGCCACCACAAAAAAAAAAAAAAAAAUUACAUUGUGUAUACUCCUUAUAAGGUGAAUUCUAACUACUAGACUACCUGACCAAUAAAAAAGAUCAAUAAUGAAACGAUUUGACUUACAAUUAAUUGGAUUAAUAUCAAAUCAAUUAGAAAUACCAAGUUUGAUUGAUGAUUGAAAUAAUUAUUACCAGAUUUUACUAUCUCCACAUCAAACCGCACAUUAUUCUUAAAACAAUAUUCUUAAAAUUAAAAAUAUGCAUCAUAAUCAUUAAUUUAUCUCCUUAAAAAAAAUCAUUAAUUUAUCAUUCUCUAAAACAAUAUUCUUUCAAUAAAAAAUAUGAAAGAUUUCUCCAUUCUCCCUUAUAUUUCUCACCCUUCAAAGUUCUCUCUUUUCCUCCCCUCCAAACUCCUAAAAAACCUAAGUGAUCGUGUUCGAUUAAGAUUCAUUGAUCCAAAGGAUAUGAAUUUCGUGAAAGAAGCUCAAAGAAUACUAUUUGAAAAAAAAAAUAUUAAAAGAAUUUAGUGAUAAAAGUAAAAUUAUACUUUUCCUUAUGAUUUAACUCUUUAAUUUGACUUUUUCAAUAGUAGAAGAAUUUGACAAGUGCAACAUUGUGACUCCAUUUCAAUUGUGGGAAGGAUAAAAUAUGAAAACAGGACAUCAACUGUGGGGAAGGAGAAUAGAAGACUAUAUAUGUGGUUGAAAAUCCAAGUACAAAAAGCAUUUGAAUGGACAUCCAUCUUGGAAGAUUAUUUAUCGACUGCAGAAAGCAAAAAAAAUGUUUAAUACCGAAGAUGACUUCUUUUUUUUAAUACAUGAGAAAAAGAAAAGUAAAAGAAAAAUGAAAAACUACUACUCCCUAAUAAAAGAGGCACCUAAAACUUCGCGAAGAAAUCUGCACAAGCAUUUCAUUUCCGAAGAAUAUCAUCAAGAGAAAUCAUACAAUCCAUACUCAGAUAAACCUUUAUACGCUCCAACAAAUUAGAAUACAUGCAAAUAGUCAUAGUAACAUACAAAAGACUUUAUUUCCGCUUUGUAACACAAAUUCUAAAUCUCAGCAUGAAGGAUAUUAGACCAACCAACACUCCCGUGGAGCCCAAAUAUGAAGCUUCCAUCUUGCCUUCUAAAGAGACAACCAAAGCCUGCAAACUCUAGAUUCGUCGGUGCACUUCCAUCUACAUUAAGGAUCACUGAGUCUUGAUUAACUCGUUGUCAAGAAACCUCUCGACAAGGUUUAAGAGCAUUUUACUCCUUAAUAUUACCAAAGCAGUUCUAGCCACUUGAGGUUGAGAUAAAAUAGUUGUUUUGCAUUAAAAUUCCCUUAAAUAAACAAAUUGACUAAAAAAUUAGAAGCCUUCGUUCAUCAAGCAACAUAAGUCAAAUCCACUCAUAUGUAGUUAAAUUUAAGCACGUACUUUUGACAGCAAAUACAUCAUGUUUGUUUAAGGCCAAACUGACAUUUGUGUUCAAGAAUUGCCUUUUGUUUCGCUCUCCAGGGUUGGGAUUCAAACUUUAGUUUGCUAUAUUGUGGAAGUCUAACUCUCUACACUAUACUCAACCUCUGUUGAUCAAAAAUUGUCUUUCUAUUUUAGAAAUUUUCAAUUUCUACUUGUUUUUUAUAUUUAUAAUUAUAAUUCAGUAAAAAAAAAAUAUCAAGUGUUUAUAACUAGUACUAAUUAAAUAAUUUUCAAACAAUAUAUAUACUACAAAUUAAAUGAGUUUGUUUGAAAAAAAAUUCAAUGAAUCUUUAUAGAACUUUUUAAUUUGAUUUUGUAUGCAAAACACUUGUACUGAACACACUUUACUAUAUGUGAUAGAAAGUAGAAUACAUAGUGCAAAGCAAAAGUGGAAAUUAAACACACUUUAUUAUAUGUGAAUAAGAGCUCCCAAAUACAGCAGUGAUGUUGUAGUAAUAGUAGUGCAGACAUAGAGACAAUAAUUAUACAUAAACCUAAUCAUCACAUUGAUGUUAUUGGAAAGCAAAAGUGCACAACAUAUAUGAGGAACCACACACAAUUUUUUCUAAAUAGAGAUACUGUUGGGAAUUCCUCUGAAUGUUAAACCUUCUUCACUUGAACGAAGUAGCAAAGUGUAGGGCAAUUGCACUGGUCCGGUGCGGUUUCUCAAACUAGACUCAUUGUUCCUCUUAGUGAUUUUCCCUUCAAUUUCAGUUAGUUUGCUUCCAAACUUUUGGAAAGCUUGAACUGCCCUUGUAUCAGAUGUCCAAAACUUGUUAUUAUUCUCUCCAAGAUACACUUCAUCGGACGCAUGUCUUGACAAUAUCUCGAUCACAGAAAGAUCAACAAGGGUUUGAUACUUUGGUGUAAUAGUUCUCAAAUACGCCUUUUGAGGACUUUUCACCAUCUCAUCGUAUUCCGGAGUUCCUGGCUCCGGAAUAAAUCUUCUACUAAUUGUUGGACGGUUCAGGAUAUAUCCUCCGUAAGGAUAUUGUCCGAAAUUAACAGCUGCAUGAAGAGCAGAAGCAGUCCAUAUAAUAAUGGAGCAAGAUUGAACCAAGUCUUGAACAGUUUGCAUCUUAGGCCACCAUGGCUUGUCUUUCAAGUCACCGUGACCCUUUUCUACAGCUUCCUUCCACCAUUUUUGAAUUUCAGUGUCUUUUUGCACCGCCUCAUCUGUUGGAUAGUAUAAGGAGACAUAGUCUUGGACCCAUGCCUUAAUAGCAUCCCAUAUUUCUAGUCCAUCAACAGCAUAAGGGUAGUCCUCUAUCACAAGUCGAAGGCCGUGAGGGGAAGAGGGAUCCUCAACAGCUAAUCCUCUGAAUCAAACAAACAAUAUGUUAUCAAUGCCAAUUAACAAGUUGUCCUAACUUUUUAUGUAGUAAUAUACAUUUACUGUUACCAAUAAUUGCAGAACUUUUGAAUUAAAUUAUUUACACAUUUUAUCAUUGUUUAACAUGAAGAAAGUGUUAUUUUCUAUUUUCAAUUUAAAUUUUAGGAAAGGCAAUGAUGACAAUCAAAAUGACUAGAUUAUGGUUUCCAAUAUUAGAUGGGAAAAUCUUGAUCUUUAUCUGUCGAAAUUAUAUGUUCUCGUGAGUCUUGGUGAA
rnacentral:lncRNA from 1 species